rnacentral:lncRNA from 1 species
AAGACUUCAACUUCAUUUGCUAACUGAAAUUUUCUAAAUCAAAGACAAACUGUGUGCAACCAAGUUUCAUGUCAAGAAACCAUUUGUAAAUGUCUCUAACUAAAAUCUAACAGCUGGCAUUCAAAAUGUAAGUUUUUCAUAUAGGUAAAACGAGAGUAUUUGAAAUGUGAUAGCAACGAACUCAAAGUUUUAUCAUUCCUCACAUAAGCCAGAUAUUAAAGCGAGCAGAUAACAAAGGCAACUAGUGAGCUACCGUAGAUUCAUAUAUACUUAUAUCAUAUGGGGCAACCAAUACACUGUAGACAUACAUUUUAUUGAACCAACUGCUUACUCCAAAAGAUCUCUGGAAACUUGGACAUGACAAUCUCAUCUAAGGUCACUAUUUAGCAAAAGUAAUUAACUAGAGAGAAGCUAACCCAGGAUGGGCACUAUACUAUAAAUUUAGCAUGACUUAGUUGCCUUCUUCAACCCAACAUAAGGCAUUUGCCUCGAAAGAUCAAUUGGAACGGAAGGAUAAGCAGUAGCUCAUACCAGGUUGGCGUACUAAAUUUUGCGGGACUUGGCUGCCCUCUCCAACACAUCUACAAUGAUAUCAGGCGAAGAUCUUUUGAGUUGUACAUACCCUUGGCUUGCGACCGCAUCAUUCAUUCUAUUCGAAGAGAGCAUAAAUUCAAUGCAAGCAUCUUUGAGAUUUCUGCAGUUAUGCUGGUCAGCUAGAGCUAAUAUGGUCGCCACAUUCUCAACAUCAAGACUCUUGCAUAGCAUGCGUUCACAUACCAUCUUCAUCCUUUCCAUGGCAUACUUAUCUGCAGCCACAAGUAAGUGCUUAACCAUUUCUCUUUUGUCAUCGUCCUCGAGAUCGUCCAUGGAAGGCAUUGAAUCCGUGUAGAUGAAGUGAAGAAAUGACUUGAAAACAGCAGGCUGCAUGUCGUCAAUAGUUAUGUCCUGUGCCCCUUUGCCCCCCAUCGGCCCGUAGUACUCCGCGUCGAAGACCGCCGACCGUGUCGCAAGCAAAAUCUUGUGAGCAGAAAAAAACUCCCCUUGAACCUUGAAUGUCACGUCUGCUCCUUUCCCCUCUAGCAAUUUUGCAAGAUUAACCGAAAGGUCUGAGGGUGGCACAUGGAUCUCGAGUGUUUCCUUGAUAACACUGACUUCGCACUCGAUCACAAGACAAUCGUUCCGCAGGUACACGGACUCUACUUAAGGGGUGCUCUUCAUGAACUUUAGCAGGCCCCAUGAUGGCCAUUUACCGUUAAACACUCGUGGUUCCUUGAAAGAGUGCACCACAAUGGACUUCUCUUUAACCGGAUCCACAAGCAUAAAGCUGCAGAGCGCCGUCACCUCGGCGUUCUUGGUCAAGAGCUCGAGGUAGACAGAGACAUGGCCUUCGCCCUCCUCGGCAUCGGGGUAGUAGCGGACGCACCAUUCGUAGCCGCCGAUGGAGAAUGCAGGAGAACGGAGGAAUUUGCCUCUAAAAAGGCCCUUGUGCCGGCUGUAGCCGGCGAUCUCGAACGCGACCGUGGCCCGCGCCGUCUCUGCUGUGCACCUUGACGGCACCCUCGCUAUUCAUGCCAUUGUGGGAGUUGGAAGGAGGACGGGGGUCGGCGACGGUUGGAACCCUCGAUUAGGGCCAGCGAUGAUGGCAGAGGCGGUUGCCUCCAAGGGGAGGACUGGGAGGCGGCGGCGCGACGGAAAAGUGAGCGGACGGAUUGAGGAUGGUUCCAGAGCGGAGAGAAGAGGGUUUGGACAAGGGACAGUUAAGUUUUGUGAUGUAGCGGUUUUUUUAGUAGUAUUUUCUUAUGCGGUAAUUGUCUUUGGUUCCUAGGUGCAUAUGCACCUAUUGUCGAAAUACACAUUUUGAAAAGUUGAAAAAUUCGGAACAAAAAUCCCGCGUGUAUAUCCGGACAUUUUAUGUACGUGCACAAGGUUUCAGUGAAAAACGACGUUUUUUGUGGCUUGUGUAAAAAAGACAAUUUCAGAUGCUUCAUUCUAACUAUUCACGGGGCAUUUCUUUAUCUUUUUUACACAAGCCACAAAAAACGUCGUUUUUCAGUGAAACUUUGUGAACGCACAUAAAAUGUUCGGAUAUACACGUGAGAUUUUUGUUCCGGAUUUUUCAACUUUUUAAAAUGUGUAUUUCGACAAUGGGUGCGUAUGCACCUAGGAGCCAAAACUCUUUCGUAUGCCAUGUUUUUAACACGGUACAAACAUAGACCCUCAUACAUAUGUAUACUAGUAGAACGUCCGUGCGUUGCCACGGGUUUUUCGAAGAAAAAAAAUGCUACUCAUGGUGCUAAAAUAACCGAGAACAAUGUAUGUCUCAGCUACCACACAUCUCAGAUCCUCGGUUAUCAGGUAACACGCUUCUUCAAUCAAUUACAACUAUUUUUUUACAAAUUAAGAAAGUUCGACUCAGGUAGUAAAACUACAUAAAAUAAUGUAAUCAUGUCUUCUUCUGAAUAAAAAUAUUGUAGUACACAACAGAUUCAGUUACUGUGACCACUAUAAAUAUCUAUCUUCUAGUGCAAAUAUUUAUAUCCUCGGUUAUUGUGAUGGCUAUCUAUAUUUAUCUUCUAGAACAGAUACUUAUAUCUAGAAGACAUACAUCUGCAAGUGUUUCUUGCUGUCAAAACCUACGUUUAGCUAAAAUAAGUAGACGUAGUAUAAAAUUUGAGAUGAGCAUAGCACAACAAGGCCAGCUUGCCUCCAUGUCAGAGAAAACACAACUUGAUUGCUCCAACUUUCGCACGCAACAUCUGUGCUAGUACAUAACUAAGAGGACUACGAAAAAUGACGGGUGAUCACUCGACGGCCGCUGAUGCACAUUUUUUACACCGCUUCACUUCUUCGAAGAAUGAAUUGCUGCCGUGUUCACCAUGCAAAGAACGUUUUUGAUGCAAACAACAUAUGGCAGCAAAUACAACAUAGAUAUGUGUUCUCGUUUCAUACUAACCUGGGUGGAUGCAAUAAAAACGCCAUGGACAAAGCGGUCGCUAGGAUGAAGAUAUGAACACCAAAUGAACCGUAGAUAAUUCCCAAUAUUAAUAUGUGACAGCAUCUCUACUAGAUAGGGAAUAAUUAUCUCUAUCAAUAAGCAGAAGCAAACAACUGAAAGAAGAUAACUAUCUCAUUUCAAUCCUUGCAUUCACACGCCAAUUUGGCCUCACCUCCGCACUCCAGCCUCACUUUUGAAAGCCUGCAAGAGCGCGAGAGAUGGGAGUAAGCACAAUAUUCUGCAAUCAGAUGAAAGAUAGUCAGGGAGCAAUUAGCAUUUUUGCCGUGCUCUCCUGCUCAGACCAUAUCGGUGCCGCCACAUCUCGUUCAGAAAAAAAAAAAGCAGUAGCAAGAGCACCCAAUCCCCAUCAAGAUAUCUCAAGCAAGGUGCCCCUUCUCUUCUCUACACACCACCACUCCUCACCAUCCAGCACUGGCGGAGCCUCAUAGAGGCCAAACAGAUCAUGACCCCGCCUUCCAAAACUGCAAGGAAAAAAUUAUUACUAUGCAUACUAAGUGUUUGAUCCAACCCAUUAGUGAAUAAUACUCCUCCCAACCCCAUUAUUAUUAGAUGAAUACCCUCGCAGGAUACACACAUGCAUAUUCGUGUGUGAAGCUAGCUAGCUACUCCAUGCAACUUGAUUGAAUGUUGUAUGAGCAGCUUCCUGCUGCAUGUGCACAUAAUGCUUGCUUACUGCUACAUUAGAUGGAUUCACCCGGCUGGUGGCUGCCUGCUGCAUAUGUUGUCAUUAGGUCGAUUCGCCCCCUGCUUGCUGUUGCGCCUACACGGACCAUCUCGUGCUAUGCGCGCAAUCGCCAAGACGAUGAGCUGACGACCGUUGAUGAGCCAAGCUGCCAAAGGAUGGAAGGAGCAAGAUAUGUCCGAUUACAUGUAAUUUUACUUCUAGGCUAUUUUGAAUUAAAAAUUUGCUUUGAGUUGAAAAUUUGCCCCCCCCCCCCGCCCCCUUGAUUGNNNNNNNNNNNNNNNNNNNNNNNNNNNNNNNNNNNNNNNNNNNNNNNNNNNNNNNNNNNNNNNNNNNNNNNNNNNNNNNNNNNNNNNNNNNNNNNNNNNNNNNNNNNNNNNNNNNNNNNNNNNNNNNNNNNNNNNNNNNNNNNNNNNNNNNNNNNNNNNNNNNNNNNNNNNNNNNNNNNNNNNNNNNNNNNNNNNNNNNNNNNNNNNNNNNNNNNNNNNNNNNNNNNNNNNNNNNNNNNNNNNNNNNNNUGAUUGCUUGCCACGCUCCGCCACUGCCAUCGAGCGCUGCUCCUCCUCUUCUACAUCCAUCUCCCACAAGUGGCUUGCAUCACCCCUCCCCCAGCUCCCUCCUAUCAAUGGAUGGCCGUGCUCCACCCGCACCCUCGUCGCAACGCCCGUGCUCCAGCCACACUUAUGAAGCCGCAUAGGUAGCUCUGGCUCCCUUCCUCUUCCCUGACGGUGGCAAGGGUGAAGUUGCCGCCCCGUGCUCCCUAGACCUCCAUCCGCCCGUGAUCCAUCCCCAUACCAUCCAAAACGGGCAGAAAAAAAAAGAAGGGGGCCAUCCCGUACUCCCUUCCCCUCCUCCACAACCAAGCAACUGCCACAUGCUCGUCCACCAAGCCUCAACCGUGGCGCCCGGAUCGAGCAUGAAUGCACGCGCCACCUGCCGGAUCUGGCACGGAUGCGCGCAGUGGCUCCUGACUUUCCUGAUUUAUGGGAGACGCCGUGUUGGGUAUGCGAUGCCCUGUCGAUCGAUGGGGUGAGGGAGGCUAACGACACGAAACGACAAUGUACUCCCCUUUAAUAGUAGAGAUAUAUGGAAUUUUUUAUUAUAAAUCCUUGAUCAACCAAUAUUUAGCACCUGGGGAGCUGGGCCAAUAAAUAAAGCUUACAUGCUAUAAAACGAAUAGGAAGGCUCAUAUGGACACAAAAUCAAGCAUCUAUCCCCAUUGGAUGUACAUAUUUUAAGCACGAGCACUUUUGAGUUUCAGUUAUACAUGUUGUUUUAGUAAAUUUGAAGUGCAAAUGUGUGAUAUAUUAAGAGAUUUACUCACAUUGCAUGUGCAGUACAUGAGUGGCAGCCGACAGGCAUAGCAAACAACGAGAUUCUAAACUUCGCAGAAAACACAAGAUCACCUUCCAAUCUGAGUAUAAAAGGGUCUCAUUUAGAUCCAGAACUAUCAUAAAAGACAUGUCUUUUAGGAGGCAUGUCUAGGAGUUUUUCUGAUGAUGGUGAAACAAAUCCUUACAUUACAUAUAGUUUUUAGUAUCUCAAGGAGCGUACAGUUGACAAUAUACAAAAUGGUACACCAAUAACAAAAAGACUGCCCUUUUUUACUAACCUGAAUUUGAUCUUUAAUUUGGCUCCUGACUUCAAGUAGAGGUCAAUAUAGCAGCAGCAGGAGCUGCAUAAUAGAACAUACAAUUUAUACUAAGCAGGCAAAAAGAAGGAAUGACUGAACAGCUAAGCAACCUAAGCAGACAAUUAAGAUGUUACUACAGAGCCUAGCUAGCUGCUCAGGUUUAUCAGUAAGCUCACGGCAUGGUCCUUCCCUGUCAUAUGCAUUUGCAUAGAGCAAUCCAGAAUAUGCACAUAGAAACAUUACCAUGCAAUGAUUUACAUCCAGGUUGAAUAGAUUAUAGCCAAAAAUUUAGUAUGAAUGUCACCUUCCCUUCGUACCGAUCGGAGUAAAUAAAAACAUAUAAUUUGAUGCAUUUUUUUCUUCUGUUACAGUCUAAUGACAUGGUUGGUACAAUUUAACAUACCUUCCCUAGUACAAAGGGGACACAAGGUUCUAUUAAUAGUCCAAAGAGGAUAAGUAUGCAUGCUUAAACAAUACACCAUGUCUAUUUAGUCACAUGUGAGCUCUUCUUGAUCAUGAAAGGUACCAGGUACCACAAAAAUAGCUCAGCACCAUCCAAAUUAAAUAAGGACCGAAUAAAUUGGCAAUGAAUCCUAAUGCAAUGAUUGGAAUAAGAAUACGACAAAAAAAAUAGAAGCAACAUAAUAAACAGAGAAAGAUUAAACGGACAGGUGAUAUAAUGUCUGCCUCUUCUCAGAAAAUCUAAUGGCAACUCUAUCAAUUUCAAGUACUCUUAUUAUAGAUAACAUUAGCAUAAAACUUAUGUAUAUCUAUUGAUUCAAGGCUACAGAUUUCUUUCUUGAAAAGGAAGACAAUUUAUAUAUGAAAGGUAGCGGCUUUCAUCAAAAAAGAUUCUUGCUCCUGACACAUAAUUUCUUUACUGGUUUCUCAGCUUUGGAGAAGAAAACGAUUUCUUAGUCACACACAGAAUUAAUGGGCACCAAGAGCAUUUGCACAUUUCAAUUCACUUGAUGCUUCAAAAAAGUGUCUCCUCUGCCCGAACAACUGAACAAAUGUUGAAAACUCAGAGGCCAUGGCAUGCUAGAAAGGGAGGGAGGGAUAGGAGGAAAUAUUACAUGAACAGCAGCUCGGGUCUCCCAUGUCAGCUCACCCCCUCAAGCAGGCCCAGAUCUCUUUCCUUGCGCCCGCUCAAACAAUCGAUCCGUCCGUUGCGUGCAGGGGAUUCCACAAAUGCGUCCUCUCAUAGCCAUGGCGGUGAACCUGCAGAACAAACACAUGCAAUGACUGAAAUGAAUGGGAUGCUUUGGUCGGUUCUUCGAGGCCCAUGGAUACUCGAAUAGAUUAAUACCUGUGUUCAUCCUCCAAACAGGGCAUGGCCGGCACGGUCUCCUCCAAUCAGUGCAACGCGACCACGCCCUGCUCUGUUCGGCGGCGUCUGCAUCGUCCGUGGGGAUCCGCAGCAGCGGCGGAGGCUGUGGGGAUCCGUGGCCAAUUCUUUUAAUGAUCAAACAUGACUCUUGCAUAAGUGAUAUCAGUAUCCGAUUAAGAUGAUUUUUUAAGGCACCAAAACAAGAACUGGGUGAAGACCAUAAUAAUAUAUAUUAGUAUCCGAGUAAGAUGAUCUAGCUAAAUACCUGUGGGUUGCCACAAAAUAACUCCUCUUGACAUGCAUGUCAAUUGCCUCCCUUUAAUACCCCCAAAUGCAUAAGUUUACAACUACAAGUCGUGCGUGGGAACAAGAUCACAAACAUAUAUUCAUUUCAUUGAUCAAAAUAGAUUUAUAAUAACUAAUUUCAGUUGUCAAAAUAGACCAGUAAUCAUAGAAGAAGAAAAGUAAUAUACAACAUAUAUUAUAACUACGCACUACGGCCAACCGGCUACAUCACCCAUGCGGCUUCACCUUCGACAACUAAUAAAAUUUCUAAUAUCAUCCACCUUGAAUAAUAUAAUAACAUUCACUUUCAUUUUAUUUUUAUCUUGGGCCUCAUGGUCACAUGUUCUAGGAAUUUUUAAUUUCAGACAGCAAUGGUAUCUACCAGCAACACGAUUUCUAGAUGUCCAGAAAUGCAGUAUAUUUCUGUGUAUGGCAUCAUCACAAUUAUCCAUGCCAUUAUAGGAUCUAUCAAUUCAAAAUAAGUGAAAAUGAUGGGUGUUAUCCCAGUUUGCGAAAUUGAUGAAGUUUUACCUUAGCGUUGAAGCUGCUAGAGAACUACACCGCAAGCAACCCAGAGGACGAAGCUUCCUUGACUUCCUUUUGAUACUCAUUUGCUCAGUCCCAUGCUUAUCAAUGGUGGCUGCAGAAACUGGAAUCAAGGAGCAAGGUAUGCUUUUGCGUCUUUUUCUUGGCCCUCCUUAAAAAACAUUAAACAGUUAAGCAAUUAAUUCAGCAGGGUAAAUGCGGAAAAUUGUAUGUGAUUUUCCUAUCCUAGGAGUGAAUAUCCUAAGUAAAGUUGAAGCAAAGGAGAGCCAAUAUGCUAACAGUUCAUAGCACAAGUUUAACAUACAUGACAAAAAAAAUGCCGUUGCUGCAUUUUUGCAGAGCAUGCCUACCAUGAGAUGAAUAUUAGAAGACUGAUUGGGUCGAGAAGGCUGAGAAAGAUGAUCUUGAUGGUGCUGGUAAACACAUCUUGGGUUGGUUGGCUGGAUUAUACAUUCACUCUCGAUGGAAAUCCCCAACCAGAAUGUACAUUUUCUAAACCAGCAGAAUAUCAAAGAAGAAAUUCUGGUUUUUUGUUGGUGGGACAUCAAUCCACAUAUUAAAUUGAUUCUAAACGCAGAACCAACACUGCAAGCACAACAUUAAGUUUAUGGGUUCGAAAGGUACAUCAAAAAGUAUCGACAAACAGUUUAACUUCGAAACAAGAGAUUGAGAUGCAUGUCCAUAUGUAGGUUUAUUUGUUUUCUUAGCGGUGAAAGUAGGAGAGACUCUUACUGUUCAAUUAGGCUAUAGAAAAAACAAGUCCAUUUCUCUUGUCAAGCAAAAUAACUAAGGAAGCUAAUUAAUAGUGCAAACGGAGCUUACUUUUUUCUAAGGAAAUUAUUUGCUUCCCUAGUCCAAAGGGGACACAAGCUUCUAUUGAUAGUCCAAAGAGGCUAAGUAUGCAUCCUUAAACAAUACACCAUGUCUGUUUAGUCACAUGUGAGCUCUUCUUGAUCAUGAAAGGUACCAGGUACCACAAAAAUAGUUAAGCACCAUCCAAAUUAAAUAAGGACCGAAUAAAUUGGCAAUGAAUCCUAAUGCAAUGAUUGGAAUAAGAAUAAGACAAAUAAAGAGAAGCAACAUAGUAAACAGAGAAAGAUUAAACGGACAGGUGAUAUAAUGUCUGCCUCUUCUCGGGAAAUCUAAUGGCAACUCUAUCAAUUUCAAGUACUCUUAUUAUAGAUAACAUCAGCAUAAAACUUAUGUAUAUCUAUUGAUUCAAGGCUACGGAUUUCUUUCUUGAAAAGGAAGAAAAUUUAUAUAUGAAAGGUAGCGGCUUUCAUCGAAAAAGAUUCUUGCUCCUGACACAUAAUUUCUUUACUGGUUUCUCAGCUACGGAGAAGAAAACGAUUUCUUAGUCACACACAGAAUUAAUAGGCACCAAGAGCAUUUGCACAUUUCAAUUCACUUGACGCUUCAAAAAAGUGUCUCCUCUGCCCGAACAACUGAACAAAUGUUGAAAACUCAGAGGCCAUGGCAUGCUAGAAAGGGAGGGAGGGAUAGGAGGAAAUAUUACAUGAACAGCAGCUCGGGUCUCCCAUGUCAACUCACCCCCUCAAGCAGGCCCAGAUCUCUUUCCUUGCGUCCGUUCAAACAAUCGAUCCGUCCGUUGCGUGCAGGGGAUUCCACAAAUGCGUCCUCUCAUAGCCAUGGCGGUGAACCUGCAGAGCAAACACAUGCAAUGACUGAAAUGAAUGGGAUGCUUUGCUCGGUUCUUCGAGGCCCAUGCAUACUCGAACAGAUUAAUACCUGUGUUCAUCCUCCAAACAGGGCAUGGCCGGCACGGUCUCCUCCAAUCAGUGCAACGUGACCACGCCCUGCUCUGUUCGGCGGCGUCUGCAUCGUCCGUGGGGAUCCGCAGCAGCGGCGGCGUCCGUGGGGAUCCGUGGCCAAUUCUUUUAAUGAUCAAACAUGACUCUUGCAUAAGUGAUAUCAGUAUCCGAUUAAGAUGAUUUUUUAAGGCACAAAACAAGAACUGGGUGAAGACCACAAUAAUAUAUAUUAGUAUCCAAGUAAGAUGAUCUAGCUAAAUACCUGUGGGUUGCCACAAAAUAACUCCUCUUGACAUGCACGUCAAUUGCCUCCCUUUAAUAGCCCCAGAUGCAUAAGUUUACAACUACAAGUCGUGCGUGGGAACAAGAUCACAAACAUAUAUUCAUUUCAUUGAUCAAAAUAGAUUUAUAAUAACUAAUUUCAGUUGUCGAAAUAGACCAGUAAUCGUAGAAGAAGAAAAGUAAUAUACAACAUAUAUUAUAACUCCGCACUACGGCCAACCGGCUACAUCACCCAUGCGGCUUCACCUUCGACAACUAAUAAAAUUUCUAAUAUCAUCCACCUUGAAUAAUAUAAUAACAUUCACUUUCAUUUUAUUUUUAUCUUGGGCCUCAUGGUCACAUGUUCUAGGAAUUUUUAAUUUCAGACAGCAAUGGUAUCUACCAGCAACACGAUUUCUAGAUGUCCAGAAAUGCAGUAUAUUUCUGUGUAUGGCAUCAUCACAAUUAUCCAUGCCAUUAUAGGAUCUAUCAAUUCAAAAUAAGUGAAAAUGAUGGGUGUUAUCCCAGAUUGCGAAAUUGAUGAAGUUUUACCUUAGCGUUGAAGCUGCUAGAGAACUACACCGCAAGCAACCCAGAGGACGAAGCUUCCUUGACUUCCUUUUGAUACUCAUUUGCUCAGUCCCAUGCUUAUCAAUGGUGGCUGCAGAAACUGGAAUCAAGUCCUAUGCUUUUGCGUCUUUUUCUUGGCCCUCCUUAAAAAACAUUAAAUAGUUAAGCAAUUAAUUCAGCGGGGUAAAUGCGGAAAAUUCUAUGUGAUUUUCCUAUCCUUGGAGUGAAUAUCCUAAGUAAAGUCGAAGCAAAGGAGAGCCAAUAUGCUAACAGUUCAUAGCACAAGUUUAACAUACAUGACAAAAAAAAUGUCAUUGCUGCAUUUUUGUAGAGCAUGCCUACCAUGAGAUGAAUACUAGAAGACUGAUUAGGCCGAGAAGGCUGAGAAAGAUGAUCGUGAUGGUGCUGGUAAACACAUCUUGGGUUGGUUGGCUGGAUUAUACAUUCACUCUCGAUGGAAAUCCCCAACCAGAAUGUAAAUUUUCUAAACCAGCAGAAUAUCAAAGAAGAAAUUCUGGUUUUUUGUUGGGGGGACAUCAAUCCACAUAUUAAAUUGAUUCUAAACGCAAAACCAACACUGCAAGCACAACAUUAAGUUUAUGGGUUCGAAAGGUACAUCAAAAAGUAUCGACAAACAGUUUAACUUCAAAACAAGAGAUUGAGAUGCAUGUCCAUAUGUAGGUUUAUUUGUUUUCUUAGCGGUGAAAGUAGGAGAGACUCUUACUGUUCAAUUAGGCUAUAGAAAAAACAAGUCCAUUUAUCUUGUCAAGCAAAAUAACUAAGGAAGCUAAUUAAUAGUGCAAACCGAGCUUACUUUUUUCUAAGGAAAUUAUUUGCUUCCCUAGUCCAAAGGGGACACAAGCUUCUAUUGAUAGUCCAAAGAGGCUAAGUAUGCAUGCUUAAACAAUACCCCAUGUCUGUUUAGUUACAUGUGAGUUCUUCUUGGUCAUGAAAGGUACCAGGUACCACAAAAAUAGUUAAGCACCAUCCAAAUUAAAUAAGGACCGAAUAAAUUGGCAAUGAAUCCUAAUGCAAUGAUUGGAAUAAGAAAGACAAAAAAAAAGAGAAGCAACAUAAUAAACAGAGAAAGAUUAAACGGACAGGUGAUAUAAUGUCUGCCUCUUCUCGGAAAAUCUAAUGGCAACUCUAUCAAUUUCAAGUACUCUUAUUAUAGAUAACAUCAGCAUAAAACUUAUGUAUAUCUAUUGAUUCAAGGCUACGGCUUUCUUUCUUGAAAAGGAAGAAAAUUUAUAUAUGAAAGGUAGCGGCUUUCAUCGAAAAAGAUUCUUGCUCCUGACACAUAAUUUCUUUACUGGUUUCUCAGCUACGGAGAAGAAAACGAUUUCUUAGUCACACACAGAAUUAAUGGGCACCAAGAGCAUUUGCACAUUUCAAUUCACUUGAUGCUUCAAAACAGUGUCUCCUCUGCCCGAACAACUGAACAAAUGUUGAAAACUCAGAGGCCAUGGCAUGCUAGAAAGAGAGGGAGAGAUAGGAGGAAAUAUUACAUGAACAGCAGCUCGGGUCUCCCAUGUCAGCUCACCCCCUCAAGCAGGCCCAGAUCUCUUUCCUUGCGCCCGUUCAAACAAUCGAUCCGUCCGUUGCGUGCAGGGGAUUCCACAAAUGCAUCCUCUCAUAGCCAUGGCGGUGAACCUGGAGAGCAAACACAUGCAAUGACUGAAAUGAAUGGGAUGCUUUGCUCGGUUCUUCGAGGCCCAUGCAUACUUGAACAGAUUAAUACCUGUGUUCAUCCUCCAAACAGGGCAUGGCCGGCACGGUCUCCUCCAAUCAGUGCAACGUGACCACGCCCUGCUCUGUUCGGCGGCGUCUGCAUUGUCCGUGGGGAUCCGCAGCAGUCGCGGCGUCCAUGGGGAUCCGUGGCCAAUUCUUUUAAUGAUCAAACAUGACUCUUGCAUAAGUGAUAUCAGUAUCCGAUUAAGAUGAUAUUUUAAGCCACAAAACAAGAACUGGGUGAAGACCACAAUACUAUAUAUUAGUAUCCGAGUAAGAUGAUCUAGCUAAAUACCUGUGGGUUGCCACAAAAUAACUCCUCUUGACAUGCACGUCAAUUGCCUCCCUUUAAUAGCCCCAAAUGCAUAAGUUUACAACUACAAGUCGUGCGUGGGAACAAGAUCACAAACAUAUAUUCAUUUCAUUGAUCAAAAUAGAUUUAUAAUAACUAAUUUCAGUUGUCGAAAUAGACCAGUAAUCGUAGAAGAAGAAAAGUAAUAUACAACAUAUAUUAUAACUCCGCACUACGGCCAACCGGCUACAUCACCCAUGCGGCUUCACCUUCGACAACUAAUAAAAUUUCUAAUAUCAUCCACCUUGAAUAAUAUAAUAACAUUCACUUUCAUUUUAUUUUUAUCUUGGGCCUCAUGGUCACAUGUUCUAGGAAUUUUUAAUUUCAGACAGCAAUGGUAUCUACCAGCAACAAGAUUUCUAGAUGUCCAGAAAUGCAGUAUAUUUCUGUGUAUGGCAUCAUCACAAUUAUCCAUGCCAUUAUAGGAUCUAUCUAUUCAAAAUAAGUGAAAAUGAUGGGUGUUAUCCCAGUUUGCGAAAUUGAUGAAGUUUUACCUUAGCGUUGAAGCUGCUAGAGAACUACACCGCAAGCAACCCAGAGGACGAAGCUUCCUUGAAUUACUUUUGAUACUCAUUUGCUCAGUCCCAUGCUUAUCAAUGGUGGCUGCAGAAACUGGAAUCAAGGAGCAAGCUAUGCUUUUGCGUCUUUUUCUUGGCCCUCCUUAAAAAACAUUAAAUAGUUAAGCAAUUAAUUCAGCGGGGUAAAUGCGGAAAAUUGUAUGUGAUUUUCCUAUCCUUGGAGUGAAUAUCCUAAGUAAAGUCGAAGCAAAGGAGAGCCAAUAUGCUAACAGUUCAUAGCACAAGUUUAACAUACAUGACAAAAAAAAUGUCAUUGCUGCAUUUUUGUAGAGCAUGCCUACCAUGAGAUGAAUACUAGAAGACUGAUUAGGCCGAGAAGGCUGAGAAAGAUGAUCGUGAUGGUGCUGGUAAACACAUCUUGGGUUGGUUGGCUGGAUUAUACAUUCACUCUCGAUGGAAAUCCCCAACCAGAAUGUAAAUUUUCUAAACCAGCAGAAUAUCAAAGAAGAAAUUCUGGUUUUUGGUUGGGGGGACAUCAAUCCACAUAUUAAAUUGAUUCUAAACGCAAAACCAACACUGCAAGCACAACAUUAAGUUUAUGGUUUCGAAAGGUACAUCAAAAAGUAUCGACAAACAGUUUAACUUCGAAACAAGAGAUUGAGAUGCAUGUCCAUAUGUAGGUUUAUUUGUUUUCUUAGCGGUGAAAGUAGGAGAGACUCUUACUGUUCAAUUAGGCUAUAGAAAAAACAAGUCCAUUUAUCUUGUCAAGCAAAAUAACUAAGGAAGCUAAUUAAUAGUGCAAACCAAGCUUACUUUUUUCUAGGGAAAUUAUUUGCUUCCCUAGUCCAAAGGGGACACAAGCUUCUAUUGAUAGUCCAAAGAGGCUAAGUAUGCAUGCUUAAACAAUACCCCAUGUCUGUUUAGUUACAUGUGAGUUCUUCUUGGUCAUGAAAGGUACCAGGUACCACAAAAAUAGUUAAGCACCAUCCAAAUUAAAUAAGGACUGAAUAAAUUGGCAAUGAAUCAUGAUGCAAUGAUUGGAAUAAGAAAGACAAAAAAAAGAGAAGCAACAUAAUAAACAGAGAAAGAUUAAACGGACAGGUGAUAUAAUGUCUGCCUCUUCUCGGAAAAUCUAAUGGCAACUCUAUCAAUUUCAAGUACUCUUAUUAUAGAUAACAUCAGCAUAAAACUUAUGUAUAUCUAUUGAUUCAAGGCUACGGCUUUCUUUCUUGAAAAGGAAGAAAAUUUAUAUAUGAAAGGUAGCGGCUUUCAUCGAAAAAGAUUCUUGCUCCUGACACAUAAUUUCUUUACUGGUUUCUCAGCUACGGAGAAGAAAAUGAUUUCUUAGUCACACACAGAAUUAAUGGGCACCAAGAGCAUUUGCACAUUUCAAUUCACUUGAUGCUUCAAAACAGUGUCUCCUCUGCCCGAACAACUGAACAAAUGUUGAAAACUCAGAGGCCAUGGCAUGCUAGAAAGGGAGGGAGAGAUAGGAGGAAAUAUUACAUGAACAGCAGCUCGGGUCUCCCAUGUCAGCUCACCCCCUCAAGCAGGCCCAGAUCUCUUUCCUUGCGCCCGUUCAAACAAUCGAUCCGUCCGUUGCGUGCAGGGGAUUCCACAAAUGCAUCCUCUCAUAGCCAUGGCGGUGAACUUGGAGAGCAAACACAUGCAAUGACUGAAAUGAAUGGGAUGCUUUGCUCGGUUCUUCGAGGCCCAUGCAUACUCGAACGGAUUAAUACCUGUGUUCAUCCUCCAAACAGGGCACGGCCGGCAUGGUCUCCUCCAACCAGUGCAACGCGACCAUGCCCUGCUCUGUUCAACAGCUUCUGCGUCAUCCCUGGGGAUCCGCAGCAGCGGCGGUGUCCGUGGGGAUCCGUGGCCAAUUCUUUUAAUGAUCAAACAUGACUCUUGCAUAAGUGAUAUCAUUAUCCGAUUAAGAUGAUUUUUUAAGGCACCAAAGCAAGAACUGGGUGAAGACCACAAUAAUAUAUAUUAGUAUCCGAGUAAGAUGAUCUAGCUAAAUACCUGUGGGUUGCCACAGAAUAACUCCUCUUGACAUGCACGUCAAUUGCCUCCCUUUAAUAGUCCCAAAUGCAUAAGUUUACAACUACAAGUCGUGCGUGGGAACAAGAUCACAAACAUAUAUUCAUUUCAUUGAUCAAAAUAUAUUUAUAAUAACUAAUUUCAAUUGUCGAAAUAGACCAGUAAUCGUAGAAGAAGAAAAGUAAUAUACAACAUUUAUUAUAACUCCACACUACGGCCAACCAGCUACAUCACCAAUGUGGGUUCACCUUCGACAACUAAUAAAAUUUCUAAUAUCAUCCAGCUUGAAUAAUAUAAUAACAUUCACGUUCAUUUUAUUUUUAUCUUGGAGCCUCAUGGUCACAUGUUCUAGGAAUUUUUAAUUUCAGACAACAAUGGUAUCUACCAGCAACAAGAUUUCUAGAUGUCUAGAAAUGCAGUAUAUUUCUGUGUAUGUCAUCAUCACAAUUAUCCAUUCCAUUAUAGGAUCUAUCAAUUCAAAAUAAGUGAAAAUAAUGGGUGUUAUCCCAGUUUGCGAAAUUGAUGAAGUUUUACCUUGGCGCUGAAGCUGCUGGAGAACUACACCGCAAGCAACCCAGAGGACGAAGCUUCCUUGACUUCCUUUUGAUACUCAUUUGCUUAGUCCCAUGCUUAUCAAUGGUGGUUGCAGAAACUGGAAUCAAGGAGCAAGCUAUGCUUUUGCGUCUUUUUCUUGGCCCUCCUAAAAAAACAUUAAACAGUUAGGCAAUUAAUUCAGCGGGGUAAAUGCGGAAAAUUGUAUGUGAUUUUCCUAUCCUUGGAGUGAAUAUCCUAAGUAAAGUCGAAGCAAAGGACAGCCAAUAUUCUAACAGUUCAUAGCACAAGUUUAACAUACAUGACAAAAAUAAUGUCGUUGCUACAUUUUUGCAGAGCAUGCCUACCAUGCGAUGAAUAUUAGAAGACUGAUUGGGCCGAGAAGGCUGAGAAAGAUGAUCGUGAUGGUGCUGGUAAACACAUCUUGGGUUGGUUGGCUGGAUUAUACAUUCACUCUCGAUGGAAAUCCCCAACCAGAAUGUACAUUUUCUAAACCAGCAGAAUAUCAAAGAAGAAAUUCUGGUUUUUGGUUGGUGGGACAUCAAUCCACAUAUUAAAUUGAUUCUAAACCCAGAACCAACACUACAAGCACAACAUUAAGUUUAUGGGUUCGAAAGGUACCUCAAAAAGUAUCUACAAACAGUUUAAAUUCGAAACAAGAGAUUGAGAUGCAUGUCCAUAUGUAGGUUUAUUUGUUUUCUUAGCGGUGAAAGUAGGAGAGACUCUUACUAUUCAAUUAGGCUAUAGAAAAAACAAGUCCAUUUCUCUUGUCAAGCAAAAUAACUCAGGAAGCUAAUUAAUAGUGCAAACGGAGCUUACUUUUUUCUAAGGAAAUUAUUUGCUUCCCUAGUCCAAAGGGGACACAAGCUUUUAUUGAUAGUCCAAAGAGGCUAAGUAUGCAUGCUUAAACAAUACACCAUGUCUGUUUAGUCACAUGUGAGCUCUUCUUGAUCAUGAAAGGUACCAGGUACCACAAAAAUAGUUAAGCACCAUCCAAAUUAAAUAAGGACCGAAUAAAUUGGCAAUGAAUCCUAAUGCAAUGAUUGGAAUAAGAAUAAGACAAAUAAAGAGAAGCAACAUAAUAAACAGAGAAAGAUUAAACGGACAGGUGAUAUAAUGUCUGCCUCUUCUCGGGAAAUCUAAUGGCAACUCUAUCAAUUUCAAGUACUCUUAUUAUAGAUAACAUCAGCAUAAAACUUAUGUAUAUAUAUUGAUUCAAGGCUACGGCUUUCUUUCUUGAAAAGGAAGAAAAUUUAUAUAUGAAAGGUAGCUGCUUUCAUCGAAAAAGAUUCUUGCUCCUGACACAUAAUUUCUUUACUGGUUUCUCAGCUACGGAGAAGAAAACGAUUUCUUAGUCACACACAGAAUUAAUAGGCACCAAGAGCAUUUGCACAUUUCAAUUCACUUGAUGCUUCAAAAAAGUGUCUCCUCUACCCGAACAACUGAACAAAUGUUGAAAACUCAGAGGCCAUGGCAUGCUAGAAAGGGAGGGAGGGAUAGGAGGAAAUAUUACAUGAACAGCAGCUCGGGUCUCCCAUGUCAACUCACCCCCUCAAGCAGGCCCAGAUCUCUUUCCUUGCGCCCGUUCAAACAACCGAUCCGUCCGUUGCGUGCAGGGGAUUCCACAAAUGCAUCCUCUCAUAGUCAUGGCGGUGAACCUGCAGAGCAAACACAUCCAAUGACUGAAAUAAAUGGGAUGCUUUGCUUGGUUCUUCGAGGCCCCUGCAUACUCGAACAGAUUAAUACAUGUGUUCAUCCUCCAAAUAGGGCACGGCCGGCACGGUCUCCUGCAAUUAGUGCAACGCGACCACGCCCUGCUCUGUUCAGCGGCGUCUGCGUCAUCCCUGGGGAUCCGCAGCGGCGGCGGCGUCCGUGGGGAUCCAUGGCCAAUUCUUUUAAUGAUCAAACAUGACUCUUGCAUAAGUGGUAUCAGUAUCCGAUUAAGAUGAUUUUUUAAGGCACCAAAACAAGAACUGGGUGAAGCCAACUGAGGAAGUCCUCGACUAGGGGGUGUCCGGAUAGCCGAACUAUCAUCAUCGGCCGGACUCCAAGACUACGAAGAUAAAAGAUUGAAGACUUCGUCCCGUGUCCGGAUGGGACUUUCCUUGGCGUGGAAGGCUAGCUUGGCGAUACGGAUAUGUAGAUCUCCUACCAUUGUAACCGACUCUGUCUAACCCUAGCCCUCUCUGGUGUCUAUAUAAACCGGAUGGCUUUAGUCUGUAGGACGAACAACAAUCAUACCAUAGGCUAGCUUCUAGGGUUUAGCCUCCUUGAUCUCGUGGUAGAUCUACUCUUAUAACACACAUCAUCAAUAUUAAUCAAGUAGGACGUAGGGUUUUACCUCCAUCAAGAGGGCCCGAACCUGGGUAAAACAUCAUGUCCCUUGUCUCCUGUUACCAUCCGCCUAGACGCACAGUUCGGGACCCCCUACCCGAGAUCCGCCGGUUUUGACACCGACAUUGGUGCUUUCAUUGAGAGUUCCUCUGUGCCGUCGCGAUCAGGAAGGAUGCCUUUUCUCGUCUUUAAAGACGGCGCCAUCGUCAAGGGAGCCUUGGCCGCCGGCCAAACUAUCCGGCUAGGUGGUUUUCUUAUGACCGCCUGUUCAGCCACCGCUCCGACGAUGACCUCUCAGGUCAUCAAAAGCAAUCUUCACGUCAGCUCAGAAUUCGUCGAGCAGCUAGAUCCGAUGGAGCUCUCCUCCGUAAACGAGCUCUUGGAUCGCAUCGCCACCCUGGGAGUCGCUACCGACUACGAUCAGAUUGGGCUUAAAACCGAUUUGAGAGAAAUUAACUCUCCCCAGGCUACCCACCACGUUGUUGUGGUAGAGGAACAAUGCGGCGACUCUUCUUCUAUUUUGAAAACCAACUAUGUCCGGAUUCCCGAUCCCUCCAUGCCGGAUUCCCGCGGAGGGACGGACGCCAAUCAAAUACUGAACCUAAAGUCAGGCAUCAGACCAGAUUCGUUGGAAAGCAUCCAACAAACCAAGCUUCCAAAUCCGGAAGCUUCUUGGCCUUUGAGCCUCAGAUCGGGCGGGGUUCCGAACUUAAUUCCACCUGCCCACCCAAACAUAAGCGAUCUAUCUCAAAUACGGCAAGAGCCCGAUGAAACAGUACAUCAUUACUGGGCCAGAUUCCUCCUGGUUAUGAAUAGGAUAAAAGACUGCCGUGAAAAAAGCAUGAUUUCAAUUUUCUGCAACAAUUGCACGGACAAGGGAAUCAUAAACGCCAUCAGUCAUCGCGAAGUUACACGCUUCGCCGACCUAGCGCCCAUUGUACAAAAAUACUGCGCGAUGGAGAGUGCCUGGAAAACCGAAACUAGGUUUUGGGACAAUCCGGCCCUGAAUACAACCCCAGUCCGAAAUAAAAGAGUGCGUCAUACUCAAGCACCUGGUUUAAAAACCAAAAAGCAAAACCCUCCUAAAGGGUACGGAACCGUACUGGAGGGAUGGCUCAACGGACCCUGCAAAAUCCACAGUACGGAGGGCGCCACUGCAACACAUAGCCUUCGAGCAUGUUGGAUACUACGGCAGGUGGCCAAAAGUGGCGAAGGCUUUUUAGCCCCGGGCAACCUGCCCAGCAGUACCAGUACGGUACUAACAGUCUUCGAGACUUUCGCCUCAAAUAACAUGCGGAAACGAACAAUCCGUAGCCUCGCCGAAGUCUACAAGUAGCAACAGCAAAUCCAUGGAGCGACACGGCUAUCACCUUCAAUGCCAGCGACGAACCUAAAUUCCAAACAGCUAGAGCUCCAGCCGCAUUGGUCCUCAGUCCGAUAGUGGACGGCUUUCGUCUUACCAAGGUACUCAUGGAUGGCGGCAGCGGAUUAAACCUUAUCUACGAAGAAACCCUUCAAAAAAUGGAAAUUGACUGGAGCCGCAUUGAGCGAAGCAGCACAACCUUCAGGGGAAUAAUCCCUAGUCGAGAAGUACGCUGCACGGGAAAAAUCACGCUAGAUGUAGUGUUCGGCUCGCCGGACAAUUACAGGUCCGAAGAGGUCACAUUCCAAGUGGUCCCAUUCGGCAGCGGAUAUCACGCCUUGUUAGGGCGAGAGGCAUUCACAAUCUUCCAAGCUAUACCCCAUUACGGGUACAUGAAGUUCAAAAUGCCCGGACCCAAUGGAGUAAUCACUCUCGCCAGUGAUCCAGAUACAGCACUCCGCGCUGAAAAUAAGACAGCCGCACUGGCCCUAGAGGCAUUAUCCGAAGCCCUAGCGGCAGAGGAACUAACUGCGUUGCCCUCCACGGCAGAUAGGGACGAUGUGAUACUCGAUAAGAGGUCCAAGUCCACCUCUUUUAAACCAGCAGACGAAAUAGUCAAAUUCCAGGUCCAUCCAACGGACCCCACAAAGACGGCCUCCAUUGGGGCACAAUUAAAUCCUGAUGUAGAAGCCGCACUACGAGAAUUCCUUCGGGAAAAUUGGGACAUUUUUGCCUGGCACCCUUCAGACAUGCCAGGAAUCCCAGGCAGGCUGGCAGAGCACAGCCUAAAUAUCCUAAAAGGAUUCAAGCCAGUCAAACAAGCUCUUCGGCGAUUUUCCGAACCCAAAAGACAGGCAAUGGGAGAGGAGCUAGCCAAACUCUUAGCAGCCGGAUUCAUCGGAGAUAUAAAACUUCCGAACUGGCUAGCCAACCUAGUAAUGGUACCAAAAAAGGACAAAUCCUGUUGCCUUUGCGUCGAUUUCAAAGACCUUAACAAGGCCUGUCCAAAGGACCCUUUUCCUCUCCCUCGCAUCGACCAAAUCAUCGAUGCUACCGCAGGGCACGAUUCAUUGUGCUUCCUCGACGCAUACUCUGGAUACCAUCAAAUUACGAUGGCGGAAAAAGACCAGACCGCAAUGGCAUUCAUUACUCCAUAUGGGCCAUUCUGCUUCAACACAAUGCCCUUCGAACUCAAAAAUGCCGGCGCAACAUAUCAGCGCAUGAUUCAGACAUGUCUGGCUACCUAGAUAGGCAAAACAGUAGAGGCAUACAUAGACGAUGUGGUCGUCAAGACCAAACAUGUCGAAACUCUAGUAGACGACUUGAUGGUGACAUUCGACAACCUCCGAGCAUAUGACAUUAAGCUCAACCCGGAAAAAUGCGUUUUCGGCGUACCAGCCGAAAAGCUCUUGGGCUUCAUUGUAUCCGGUAGAGGAAUUGAAGCAAACCCAGCCAAGAUCCGAGCUCUGUCACAAUUGGAUAUCCCAAAAGACCUCAAGCAAAUACAAAAACUAACUGGAUGCAUGGCGACUCUAAGCCGCUUCAUCUCCCAUUUGGGAGAAAAGGCACUGCCCCUCUAUCGCCUCCUCCGGCGCACCGAACAUUUCGAAUGGACGGAUGCUGCCACGGCCGGACUCGAAGAAAUAAAGGCCGUAUUGGCAACAAAUCCGGUCCUGGCCGCGCCCAACCUGGGCGAACCAAUCCUGUUAUAUAUCGCAGCAACACAUCAAGUUGUCAGCGCGGUACUCAUCAUCGAACGAGAAACAGAAGGGCACAAAUUCCCCCUUCAAAAACCAGUGUACUACGUAUCCACUGUCUUAACUCCAUGCAAGUACCGGUACCCACACUAUCAAAAGAUAGCGUAAGCGGUGUUCAUGGCAUCCCGGAAGCUGCGACACUACUUUCAAGAGUGUUCCAUAACGGUGGCCUCCGAAGUACCUCUCAACGACAUUAUAAACAAUCGUGAUGCGACGGGCAGGAUUGCAAAAUGGGCCAUUGAGCUCUUACCAUUUGAUAUAACCUACAAACCACGGCGAGCUAUCAAGUCGCAAGUUCUGGCUGACUUCAUCGCCGAAUGGACCGAAGCCGAACUCCCUAAAGAGUAUGGCGCAUACUCCAAUUGGAUCAUGCAUUUCGACGGCUCCAAAAUGUUGGCUGGCUUGGGAGCUGGCGUCGUCUUGAUGUCCCCAACCGGAGACACAGUCCAAUACGUGCUUCAAAUAAUGUACACUGACUCCAACAACGCAGCCGAAUACGAGGCCCUUCUACAUGGCCUCCGGAUGGCAAUCUUCAUGGGUAUUCAACGCCUAGAUGUGCACGAGGAUUCAAACAUCGCAAUAUCCCAAGUAAAUGGAGACUUUGACGCCAAGGAUGGCAGCCUACCGAAACACUGUCCUAAAAAUGUCAGCCCGAUUCAAAGGACUCGAAUUCAACCAUGUAGCCCGGGAUAAUAACCAGGCAACAGACGUGUUGGCACGCAUCGGCGCAAAACGCGACACCGUCCCUCCAAACAUCUUCCUGGAGCGGCUCUUUAAGCCAUCCGUAUUAUGGGAAGAGGAGUCCGGAAAUAACAAUCCGGAACCACCUGCAUCACCUAACACAGAACAUUCUGACACAGUCGGUGGCUCAGCCAAUGAAAUAACAGAUUCAGCCCAUGAAAUACUAGCAGUAAUUGCCCCGUGGAUGGAACCAUUCCUAGCCUACCUAAUCCGGCAGGAACUUCCCGAAGACCAAAAUGAGGCCCGCUGCAUAGUUCGGCGAUCUAAAGCCUACAAGGUCCAUGAGGGAGAACUUUAUAAGAAAAGCACAACCGGAGUCCUUCAAAGGUGUAUCUCCGAAGAGGAAGGGCGAAAUCUCCUGGCUGAAAUUCACGUCGGACUCGGCGGGCACCACGCCGCCGCCCGGGCCCUUGUAGGCAAGGCCUUCCGUACAGGAUUUUAUUGGCCAACCGCCCGGGCAGAUGCUCAAGACUUAGUCCAACGAUGCAUCGGUUUCCAGCUCUUUGCUAAUCAGAGCCACAUGCCACCCACCGCCCUCAAAACUAUACCCAUUACUUGGCCGUUCGCGGUCUGGGGGCUUGACAUGGUUGGACCCCUUAAAGGGGGAACCCACAAGCACAAAUACUUAUUGAUCAUGGUGGACAAAUUCACCAAAUGGAUAGAGGCCAAGCCGGUUAAAACGGCAGAAUCCGGACCUAUGAUAGACUUCAUAUCCGGGGUAGUACACCGUUUUGGCGUCCCCCACAGCAUCAUCACUGAUAAUGGCACGAAUUUCACGGCCGAUGAGGUUAAACUCUGGUGCAAAAACAUGGGCAUCAAGCUCGACUACGCUUCAGUCUACCACCCUCAAACUAAUGGUCAAGUGAAACGGGCAAAUGGUCUCAUCAUGAGCGGCAUUAAACCCAGAUUAGUGUGUUCCCUCAUGGAAUCUAACACGCACUGGGUAGAGGAGCUCGACUCCGUACUCUGGGGGUUACGGACCACGCCAAACCGCACAACCGGAUUCACACCAUUUUUUAUGGUAUACGGCGCUGAGGCAGUUCUGCCCUGUGAUAUAAUUCAUGACUCACCUCGCGUGCGCAUGUACGAGGAAAGAGAAGCCGAGCUGGAUCGGCAGGACAGUUUGGACGCUUUAGAGGAGGAGCGCGACGUGGCAAAAUCCCGUUCUGCAUUCUAUCAACAGCAGGCUUGAAGAUAUCAAAGCAGAGAAGUAUGGGCCAAAACUUACAAUGUUGGCGAGCUAGUUCUACGCCUGCCGGACAAGAAAAAGGACAAACUUAAGCCCAAAUGGGAAGGUCCCUUCAUCAUCGACCAAGUCUUUACCGGCGGUGCAUAUCGUCUACGCAACGCAUCUGACAACCGACUCGAGCCAAACCCAUGGAACGCAGCCCGUCUCCGAAGAUUUUACGCCUAGCGCCGGACUCAGGGUUCGUCUCCUUCCUCCGUCCACCUUUCAGGUUUUUUUGCUGUCUUCGUUUUUGCUCCCUUUUCCUCCCUCUUUCAGUACAAACCUCUUGAGGGCUAAUCUACGCUUCGUUCGCACUCGCUCGAUGUGCUACUCGCACUCGUUAUACCUGGGGGCUUCUUUAACAGAAGCUUAUUUAUAUGGGCUUCAUGCCCACCACAUGUGUCACACUUCCGCAUGUACCUUUUGAUCACCAUUAUAUGCAUCGAUAUGACUUAAGUUUUGGCCAAGCCGGGUUGCCUGGCUCCUGUGCUUACCCCUACGUUCCCGAUUGUUCGGCUAGGAGGUAAAGGGAGCACCUCUUCGAUUGUUACUGCCGGGUCAGCCGGAUGUGUACCUCAGACUGGGUGAAGCCGAAGGCUAGCGUUCUUAAGGGAAUAUUCGGUCGAUGGCCUGAAAGAUGAUUUAUUACUUACUUAUUUAUCUGCCCCCAGAUGCUUUUUCUGCUAUUUUCGCAGUCCGAACAUGCACUUUAGGGCAUGCCUCCCAGGGAAAGGAACCCUUAACGGAACUAUUCUCCCUGGAAGAUGUUUCUUACUAACCAUAUAAUAUAACAUAGCUAGUUGGGCACUUGUCUGAUAAAGCAAUUAUGACCCCUACGCCUUGUCUCCAUGCAUGCCCCGGUUCUUUUAUAACCGUCAGGGUAUUCGGACACACUCCGGACUAUUGGGUCCCGAGGUUGAAGCGAAAAGGUCCGCAAAGGCAAACGAUCUACAAUCCGGCUAGAAGGCAUUUUACAUGUCAUUUUAAAAUUACAUCAUCAAACUGACUGAUUGUACUCCUCUUCAAUCCCAUCUAACAGGCUAUCUAAUUUACAGUCCUGUUGGGAAUAUUUCGCGGCCAGCUCUACUUGGCCGUACAUCAAGCUCACAGGGAUCUCCUUCCCAUCAGGCCCCACAGGUCCGACCUCGGCCAUGUGGUUUUGGUCAGCCUUUGGGUACCGCGUCUUCACCAUGGCCCAGGCCUCCCUGGCGCCUUGACGGCAGGCCGAUAUCUUCCACAGACGGAGACGUCGCCGUACUCCCUGAAGCUUCUCAGCAAGCCCUCCAAGGCCCUCAGGUAGGGAGACGGAAGGCCAUAAGGCCUGAACGACGCCACUCAUCGCCUGCCGAACACGUUCAAGCAGUUGCACCAGCUCGGGAAGUUGGUCACCCGUUGAACCGGGCAUUUCCUCCAUAGGGCGACCUGUGAGCACACCUACAGACAUAUUUCUGUCAACCGACUUCCUUGCCGAACUCUUCUUUUCAAAAGAGUUUGCUCAAGCACUUACUAUAGAUGCCGCGACGAAGCCGCUGAUUCUCCUUCAAGGAGCCAGACAGCUGGGCCCGAACACCUUUUAGCUCUUCUCCAAGCUGGGUGUGGGCAUCUUGGAGUUUGUUCCUCUCCUGCUGCACCUUCAUAGGCACCCUCUCGCCGGCCUUCAAUUGGCGCAGUAGCUGUUGCUUGUCCGGAUCAAGUCCGGCAACAUCUGCAAUAUUAUUGUCAGAUUUAUAUGCACGCCGCACGCCAUAAAACAUUUUUGAAAUAUGUGUUACUGGAGGGGGUCUCUGUGUCUCCACCUGCGGCGGUCAGUGCGGCCUCAAGUUGGGCCUUGCACUCUUGAAGCUCCUGGGACAGGUGGGCAUUCUUCUUCGUAAGAUCCUGCAUAGUAGAUGAUCCUUAAAUCAGUUAUUUUAACUAUUUUAAGUCUCGGGGGCUACUGGCAUAUAUAACUAUUAAAAUUACUUACCCGUAUGUCCUUCACAUACUGCUCCGUGGCUCUGGUUAAAACAUCUUGAGCGGCACGGAGGUGCGCGUCUCGCGCAUCAAAGGCAUUCAACGCCUCCGGGGAGAAACACACGUCACGAAGAACUGUCCGGCGACGCCUGUGAUUCAUGACGCUCUCCACCUCAGAACGGGUGGCGGACAGCCUGUCGGCAUCCUCCGUUGGAGGAGCAUCCGGCUCAUGCCUUGUGUUCGCCUCCCUUCCGGACCACGCAUUGGAGCAUGGCUGGCGGAGGCUUGAUUCGCAACCUCUCCAGACAUUGGCCGGCGAGCGCUCUUUCUCCUGGAAAAGUUAUGGGCAUUAAUAUACCUCCUAGGGAUCCUUCCCUUAAAAACAGCGGUGCGCCGUACCAUUGCGGCGACGUUUUGAUUCGCGUCGCACUCCUUUUCUGCCUGUUGGGCCGAACUGACCCUUGCUGGUCAGCCGCCGCGGGUUCGGCUUCUCGCCUUGAAGGCACCUCCUGCAAGACACCGUUGGUAUAGGGUGACCUGAAAUACGCAAGGACAAAGUAAUGGUGUCAGAACUCCAGUCAUAAUUACCUGAGAAGCUGGACAUAAACCGGGGUAGUCAGCUGUAAUGGCGACUAAAGCAUUGUCCAUGCUGAGUUGGUGGAACACCCCGUCAAUUAGCUCCACCUUUAUGUUCCGGAUCAAGGGAUCUUCCCGGAUCCUCGGGUUGUGGAGCCAGACUGUGUAUGCCCUCCACAUCCCAACGCAGUUCCUGCGUCGAAAUCAUAAAGUCAGGCAUUUAACUUUGAAAGCACGGGUCGGAUGAAUAAAUGUUCGCUUACCCAGCUCCGAGGGUUAUUCAUGGAGAACCCAUUCAGUGGGCUCAUCUGGAGGAAGUCCUCCUUCUCCCCCUUGUACAAGCCGGACAUGAUCUUCACCAGAUCCGCGGCCGAUCCCGGCCCCUUGCGGCCAUGACGGGUGGCGUCGUUCUCCCCGUUGAAAUCCCACAUGGGGUGGCCCCGGUAUUGGAGCGGCUGCACCCCUCGCAUAAUGCACGUGGCCAUGAUUCCGAUCAUGGUCAAUCCGGAGUGGGCCAGUAACCUAAUCCGGCCCAUCAUAUAAUGGACGCUCCCAUCAUCCUCCCGUUGAGGGCUCCACGGGCGCCAACUCAGGCGUUUCUUCAAGGGAGCAUUGCUGAACUCCGGGAGGCCGAUCCGAACUGGAUCCGGCAGAGGGGCGUCCUCCAUGUAGAACCAUUCCGAAGGCCAGUCUUCGGACGCCUUCUUCGGGGUGCCGGAUAGAUAUCCGGUCCCGGCGAUGCGCCAUAUUUCGGCUCCGCCCACUUGAUAUAUCGACCCCUCGUGAGAACGGGGUACGAGGCAAAACAAUCUCUUCCACAGCGCAAAAUGGGGCUCGAUGCCCAAGAACAGCUCGCAAAGAGCUACAAAGCCCGCGAUGUGCAAAAUGGAGGCAAGUGUAAGGUGGUGAAGCUGGAGUCCGUAGAACUCCAAGAGCCCCCGGAGAAACGGAUGUAUGGGAAAUCCGAGUCCCCUUAUUAGAUAAGGGAUAAAGCAUACCCGCUCUCCUUUGGAGGGGUUGGGGACGCUCUCCGCCUGCUUUCCACCCCCUGAAGGUGGCCAGUCCGGCUCGAACCGGAACCAUGAAGGUUGGGGGAAGAUAUCCCUCGGUUUGGAGCGCCACUAGCUCGCUGUGUGGAACUGAGCAUCUUCCCCAAUCUCCUGGCUUAGGGCUGGGAGCGCGAGAGGAGGAGCCGCGUCGGCUAUCCAUGAUAGAGUGGAUUUUUGUCAAAGGCGCUUCGAUGAGUACUUGCGGAAGGAGAAUGGUGUGAGUUGGAUCUAGAUCCUCGCCUCUCUUAUAGGCGGCUCGUUCGCACGGCUAGGGGGGAAAAUGUAAAAAUACCCUAGCUUUUCGCAUUCAUACGACACGUGGAAGAAGGCCAUUAUUGGGCGUACAAGCCAAGGAGCGCAACAUUUAUAAGGAAGCCGCACACUAUUCAACAGGAACAUGAAGUUUGAAGGAGAACCCGCCUUGCAACCCCGAAGACAAUAUACGCGCCGGACUCAUCGUCAUUGAAGCCUGGUUCGAGGGCUACUGAGGGAGUCCUGGACUAGGGGUGUCCGGAUAGCCCAACUAUCAUCAUCGGCCGGACUCCAAGACUAUGAAGAUAAAAGAUUGAAGACUUCGCCCCGUGUCAAGAUGGGACUUUCCUUGGCGUGGAAGGCAAGCUUGGCGAUACGGAUAUGUAGAUCUCCUACCAUUGUAACCAACUCUAUGUAACCCUAGCCCUCUCCGGUGUCUAUAUAAACCGGAUGGCUUUAGUCCGUAGGACGAACAACAAUCAUACCACAGGCUAGCUUCUAGGGUUUAGCCUCCUUGAUCUCGUGGUAGAUCUACUCUUGUAACACACAUCAUCAAUAUUAAUCAAGCAGGAUGUAGGGUUUUACCUCCAUCAAGAGGGCCCGAACCUGGGUAAAACAUCGUGUCCCUCGUCUCCUGUUACCAUCCGCCUAGACGCACAGUUCGGGACCCCCUACCCGAGAUCCGCCGGUUUUGACACCGACACCAACAAUAAUAUAUAUUAGUAUCCAAGUAAGAUGAUCUAGCUAAAUACCUAUGGGUUGCCACAGAAUAACUCCUCUUGACAUGCACGUCAAUUGCCUCCCAUUAAUUGCCCCAAAUGCAUAAUUUUAGAACUAAAAGUCGUGCGCGGGAACAAGAUCACAAACAUAUAUUCAUUUCAUUGAUCAAAAUAGAUUUAUAAUAACUAAUUUCAGUUGUCGAAAUAGACCAGUAAUCGUAGAAGAAGAAAAGUAAUAUACAACAUAAAUUAUAACUCCGCACUACGACCAACCGGCUACAUCACCCAUGUGGCUUCACCUUCGACAACUAAUAAAAUUUCUAAUAUCAUCCACCUUGAAUAAUAUAAUAUCAUUCACAUUCAUUUUAUUUUUAUCUUGGAGCCUCAUGGUCACAUGUUCUAGGAAUUUUUAAUUUCAGACAGCAAUGGUAUCUACCAGCAACAAGAUUUCUAGAUGUCCAGAAAUGCAGUAUAUUUCUGUGUAUGGCAUCAUCACAAUUAUCCAUGCCAUUAUAGGAUCUAUCAAUUCAAAAUAAGUGGAAAUAAUGGGUGUUAUCCCAGUUUGCGAAAUUGAUGAAGUUUUACCUUGGCGCUGAAGCUGCUGGAGAACUACACCGCAAGCAACCCAGAGGACGAAGCUUCCUUGACUUCCUUUUGAUACUCAUUUGCUCAGUCCCAUGCUUGUCAAUGGUGGCUGCAGAAACUGGAAUCAAGGAGCAAGCUAUACUUUUGCGUCUUUUUCUUGGCCCUCCUAAAAAAUCAUUAAAUAGUUAGGCAAUUAAUUCAGUGGGGUAAAUGCAGAAAAUUGUAUGUGAUUUUCCUAUCCUUGGAGUGAAUAUCCUAAGUAAAGUCGAAGCAAAGGAGAGCCAAUAUGCUAACAGUUCAUAGCACAGGUUUAACAUACAUGACAAAAAAAUGCCGUUGCUGCAUUUUUGCAGAGCAUGCCUACCAUGAUAUGAAUAUUAGAAGACUGAUUGGGCCGAGAAGGCUGAGAAAGAUGAUCGUGAUGGUGUUGGUAAACACAUCUUGGCUUGGUUGGCUGGAUUAUACAUUCACUCUCGAUGGAAAUCCCCAACCAGAAAGUACAUUUUCGAAACCAGCAAAGUAUCAAAGAAGAAAUUCUGGUUUUUGGUUGGUGGGACAUCAAUCCACAUAUUAAAUUGAUUCUAAACCCAGAACCAACACUACAAGCACAACAUUAAGUUUAUGGGUUCGAAAGGUACAUCAAAAAGUAUCUACAAACAGUUUAACUUCGAAACAAGAGAUUGAUAUGCUUGUUCGUAUGUAGGUUUAUUUGUUUUGUUAGCGGUGAAAGUAGGAGAGACUCUUACUGUUCAAUUUGGCUAUAGAAAAAACAAGUCCAUUUCUCUUGUCAAGCAAAAUAACUCAGGAAGCUAAUUAAUAGUGCAAACAGAGCUUACUGUUUUCUAAGAAAAUUAUUUGCUUCCCUAGUCCAAAGGGGACACAAGCUUCUAUUGAUAGUCCAAAGAGGCUAAGUAUGCAUCCUUAAACAAUACACAAUGUCUAUUUAGUCACAUGUGAGCUCUUCUUGAUCAUGAAAGGUACCAGGUACCACAAAAAUAGUUCAGAACCAUCCAAAUUAAAUAAGGACCGAAUAAAUUGGCAAUCAAUCCUAAUGCAAUAUUGGAAUAAGAAUAAGACAAAAAAGAGAAACAACAUAAUUAACAGAGAAAUAUUAAACGGACAGGUUAUAUAAUGCCUGCCUCUUCUCGGAAAAUCUAAUGGCAACUCUAUCAAUUUCAAGUACUCUUAUUAUAGAUAACAUCAGCAUAAAACUUAUGUGUAUCUAUUGAUUCAAGGCUACGGAUUUCUUUCUUGAAAAUUAAGACAAUUUAUAUAUGAAAGGUAGCGGCUUUCAUCGAAAAAGAUUCUUGCUCCUGACACAUAAUUUCUUUAAUGGUUUCUUAGCUAUGGAGAAGAAAACUAUUUCUUAGUCACACAUAGAAUUAAUGGGCACCAAGAGCAUUUGCACAUUUCAAUUCACUUGAUGCUUCAAAAAAGUGUCUCCUCUGCCCGAACAAUUGAACAAAUGUUGAAAAAUCAGAGGCCAUGGCAUGCUAGAAAGGGAGGGAGGGAUAGGAGGAAAUAUUACAUGAACAGCUGCUCGGGUCUCCCAUGUCAGCUCACCCCCUCAAGCAGGCCCAGAUCUCUCUCAUUCCGCCCGUUCAAACAAUCGAUCCGUCUGUUGCGUGCAGGGGAUUCCACAAAUGCGUCCUCUCAUAGCCAUGGCGGUGAACCUGGAGAGAAAACACAUGCAAUGACUGAAAUGAAUGGGAUGCUUUGCUCGGUUCUUCGAGGCCCAUGCAUACUCGAACAGAUUAAUACCUGUGUUCAUUCUCCAAACUGGGCACGGCCGGCACGGUCUCCUCCAAUCAGUGCAACACGACCACACCCUGCUCUUUUCAGCGGCGUCUGCGUCAUCCCUGGGGAUCCGCAGCAGCGGCGGCGUUCGUGGGGAUCUGUGGCCAAUUCUUUUAAUGAUCAAACAUGACUCUUGCAUAAGUGAUAUCAGUAUCCGAUUAAGAUGAUUUUUAAGGCACCAAAACAAAACUUGGUGAAGACCACAAUAAUAUAUAUUAGUAUCCGAGUAAGAUGAUCUAGCUAAAUACCUGUGGGUUGCCACAGAAUAACUCCUCUUGACAUGCACGUCAAUUGCCUCCCUUUAAUAGCGCCAAAUGCAUAAGUUUACAACUACAAGUCGUGCGUGGGAACAAGAUCACAAACAUAUAUUCAUUUCAUUGAUCAAAAUAGAUUUAUAAUAACUAAUUUUAGUUGUCGAAAUAGACCAGUAAUCGUAGAAGAAGAAAAGUAAUAUACAACAUAUAUUAUAACUCCGCACUACGGCCAACCAGCUACAUCACCCAUGUGGCUUCACCUUCGACAACUAAUAAAAUUUCUAAUAUCAUCCACCUUGAAUAAUAUCAUAACAUUCACGUUCAUUUUAUUUUUAUCUUGGAGCCUCAUGGUCACAUGUUCUAGGAAUUUUUAAUUUCAGACAACAAUGGUAUCUACCAGCAACAAGAUUUCUAGAUGUCCAGAAAUGCAGUAUAUUUCUGUGUAUGGCAUCAUCACAAUUAUCCAUGCCAUUAUAGGAUCUAUCAAUUCAAAAUAAGUGAAAAUAAUGGGUGUUAUCCCAGUUUGCGAAAUUGAUGAAGUUUUACCUUGGCACUGAAGCUGCUGGAGAACUACACCGCAAGCAACCCAAAGGGCGAAGCUUCCUUGACUUCCUUUUGAUACUCAUUUGCUCAGUCCCAUGCUUAUCAAUGGUGGAUGCAGAAACUGGAAUCAAGGAGCAAGCUAUGCUUUUGCGUCUUUUUCUUGGCCCUCCUAAAGAAACAUUAAAUAGUUAGGCAACUAAUUCAGCUGGGUAAAUGCGGAAAAUUGUAUGUGAUUUUCCUAUCCUUGGAGUGAAUAUCCUAAGUAAAGUCGAAGCAAAGGAGAGCCAAUUUGCUAAAAGUUCAUAGCACAAGUUUAACAUACAUGACAAAAAAAUGUCGUUGCUGCAUUUUUGGAGAGCAUGCCUACCAUGAGAUGAAUAUUAGAAGACUGAUUGGGCCGAGAAGGCUGAGAAAUAUGAUCGUGAUGGUGCUGGUAAACACAUCUUGGGUUGGUUGGCUGGAUUAUACAUUCACUCUCGAUGGAAAUCCCCAACCAGAAUGUACAUUUUCUAAACCCGCAGAAUAUCAAAGAAGAAAUUCUGGUUUUUGGUUGGUGGGACAUCAAUCCAGAUAUUAAAUUGAUUCUAAACCCAGAACCAACACUACAAGCACAACAUUAAAUUUAUGGGUUCGAAAGGUACAUCAAAAAGUAUCUACAAACAGUUUAACUUCGAAACAAGAGAUUGAGAUGCAUGUCCGUAUGUAGGUUUAUUUUUUUCUUAGCGGUGAAAGUAGGAGAGACUCUUACUGUUCAAUUAGGCUAUAGAAAAAACAAGUCCAUUUCUCUUGUCAAGCAAAAUAACUCAGGAAGCUAAUUAAUAUUUCAAACGGAGCUUACUUUUUUCUAAGGAAAUUAUUUGCUUCACAUGACAUUUGUUCCUGCAAUAUUAUAAUUAUAAUAUCAAGUAUUGUUGGUAAUGGGCAAAUUUAUAUCUGAACAAAUUCUAUGAGAAAGCGACCCUGCUCCAUGAAACUACACGGCUCCCUGAAAUUACGCAUUAUACCCUUUGUGUUAGUCAAGAUAAAAAAUAGCUAGGCAUUGGUAAUCAUGAUUGUACCUUAUAAUCAAGUUAUUUGUUGUGUUGAUGUCUGGGUUGAAGUAUAUCUUUUCACUGCUCUGUCAUACGCAAGAUAGCAUCUGAAAUUCAGUGCAUACAAUCAGAGGCAUGUUACCUCCAGAAAUCCCUAUCAGAAGACACCAAUUUACUUCCCUGCAUUACAUAUGCCAAAAGAUACUAAGCAUAACAUUAACCCAUUUAGUUGUCUAGAUAACCAGAUUAAAUCAUAAGCAUUACAUGGUUCUUAUUUCAAUGAAAAGGAAUACCGUUGAAUAAUGAUUACCAAUGCAUGUCAGCAUGCAUAAUUCAGAAACCACAUGUUUAAUCAUUUAGGGGGCAGAUACAUUUGUUUUCAGAGCCUGCAACUAUGAAAUGCUAGACAAGUUUAUUGUCCUACUAAAAAUAUGAGGAAAUUAUCAAUGUCAAAGUUGUUGUGUCUAGUGCCAAAAUUAACUACUAUAUCAGGUUAGGUCUGCUAGAAAUAACAGUGGUAAGUAAGAAACGUGACAAAAAUUAAGCAUCGACUCAUAUGUAUACCUACAGAUCUAGCCAAAAGCUUUGACAUGCAAGAACAAUACUAACAAUGAACCUGCUCGAGUCUGGGCAUAUACUUGACUUCCUGUGCAAAUCUAUUCGCUAUAUUAUUUACCCAUAAAUCACUCUUCAUCAUCUUCUUAUUUCUCUAACAACUAUAUCCGCAUGACCAAUCAAAGUUCACCACCUCUAUUAAUGGCAUAUCCAACCCACAACUUAGAAUUUCAAACACUUGCCGGUGCACUUGUCUUCCACAACUCAUUAAUAUUUACAUGGUGUAAUGUAACUUCUCGAACUUCAUCCCGGCUCAUUAACUCCACCACUCCAGCUCACACACAAAAUAUUGAUUAUGCUCUAUAGAACAAAGAACAAAAAUGACUUCACAUGCUAAAUAUUGAUUCUAACAAUGACAUACUGUUUCGAGAAGCUGAUUGAUACGUCUCUGUCGUAUAUAUAAUUUUUGAUUGUUCCAUGCCAAUAUUAUUCAACUUUCAUAUACUUUGGCAACCUUUUAUACUAUUUUUGGGACUAACAUAUUGAUCUAGUGCCCAGUGCCAGUUCAUGUUCGUUGCAUGUUUUAUGUUUUGCAGGAAACCCAAAUCAAACGGAAUCCAAACGAGAUAAAAAUGGACGGAGAAUAUUUUUGGAAUAUUUGGGAUUUUCCGGAGGAAGAAUCAACGCGAAACGGUGUCCGAGGUGGCCAGGAGAUAGGGGGCGCGCCCACCCCCCUGGGCGCGCCUCGCACUCUCCUAGGCCACCCAUAAGGCGGUUGACGCUCUUCUUUUGCCGCAAGAAAGCUAAUUUUGCGAGAAAAAUCUGGGCGAAAGAUUCACCCCAAUCGGAGUUACGGAUCUCCGGAUAUAAAAGAAACGGUGAAGGGGCAGAAUCUGAGAACGCAGAAACAGAGGGAUAGAUCUAAUCUCGGAGGGGCUCUCGCCCCUCCCAAGCCAUGGGAGCCAAGGACCAGAGGGGAAACCCUUCUCCCAUCUAGGGAGAAGGUCAAGUAAGAAGAAGAAGAAGGGGGGCUUUCUCCCCCUUGCUUCCGGUGGCGUCGGAAUGCCGCCGGGGGCCAUCAUCAUCACCGCGAUCUUCACCAACACCUCCGCCAUCUUCACCAACAUCUCCAUCACCUUCCCCCAUCUAUAUUAAGCGGUCCACUCUCCCGCAACCCGAUGUACCCUCUACUUCAACAUGGUGCUUUAUGUUUCAUAUUAUUAUCCAAUGAUGUGUUGCCAUCCUAUGAUGUCUGAGUAGAUUUUCGUUGUUCUAUUGGUGGUUGAUGAAUUGCUAUCAUUGAUUUAAUUUGCUUGAGGUUAUGUUGUUGUCCUUUGGUGCCCAUCAUAUGAGCGCGCGCGUGGAUCACACCAUAGGGUUAGUUGUGUGUUGAUAGGACUAUGUAUUGGAGGGCUAGAGUGACAGAAGCUUCAACCUAGCAUAGAAAUUGAUGCAUACGGGAUUGAAGGGGGGCCAAUAUAUCUUAAUGCUAUGGUUGGGUUUUACCUUAAUGAACGUUAGUAGUUGCGGAUGCCUUCUAAUAGUUCCAAUCAUAAGUGCGUAGAAUUCCAAGUCAGGGAUGACAUGCUAGCAGUGGCCUCUCCCACAUAAAACUUGCUAUUAGUCUAGUAAAGUAGUCUAUUGCUUAGGGACAACACAACUCCUACCACCACUUUUUCCACACUCGCUAUAUUUACUUUAUUGCUUCUUUAUCUAAACAGCCCCUAGUUUAUAUUUACUCGUUCUUUAUUAUCUUGCAAACCUAUUCUAUCACACCUACAAAGUACCUCUAGUUUCAUACUUGUUCUAGGUAAAGCAAAUGUCAAGCAUGCGUAGAGUCGUAUCAGUGGCCGAUAGGACUUGAGAGAGUAUUUGUUCUACCUUUAGUUCCUCGUUGGGUUCGACACUCUUAAUUAUCGAAAGAGGCUACAAUUAUCCCCUACACUUAUGGGUUAUCAAGACCUUUUUCUGGCGCCGUUGCCGGGGAGUCAUAGCAUGGGGUGAAUAUUCUCGUGUGUGCUUGUUUGCUUUAUCACUAAGUAAUUUUUAUUUGCUGUUUUAAGUUGUUCUCUAUCUUUAGUUGUGGAUAUGGAACAUGAAAUACCAAAAAAAUUAGGUGUACUUGCUGCUCAUGGAGAUGGGGAACCUCCUAAAACCCUCGAUGCUCGCUAUGUUCGAGAUAUUAUGUACUACUUUGAUAAUCCUGAGAAAACCCCAUUCAAUUAUGUUAUGGGAGACACGUUGGAUCAACGUGAAUACUUUAGGGAUUAUCAUUGACACAAAAAGGGAAACUAUUAUGGGAUUAAAUUUCUGUGUUGCGUUGGUAUGCCCAGAAUCUAUGCUUGAGAUAUGAUAUUACUUGUUGCUCUAGGAUGAAGGCUCCACACCUUCCCUUUUCAUGCAAAUUUAAUGAUAAUGAAACCUUAGCUUCUUAUGCUAGAGGUAUAUAUGAUUAGUAUGAUGUUGAACAAAUUGAAGAAUUUGUUGCUUUUAAGGCUGCUUAUGAAAUUGAAUAUUUGUUUGAAAAGUAUGAAGCUUUAGAUGAUGAUGUUUAUAGGCCUGAAAAUUAUGCUAUAUUGAGAUAUUGCUAUGAAAAUUAUGAAUAUAAUUACAAUAUUAAUGCAUUUAUUGAGAAAGUCUCUGCUGUCCAAGAAGAGACUAAUAUUUUGUAGGAAGCUAUGGAAGAAGAAAUUGAUGAAACUGUGAGCUCAUCGGAUGAAAAAGAUGAUGAGGAGAGCGAAGAACAAAAGGAGGAAGGGCGGAUGAUCACCCGUUCCCACCUUCUAAUGAGAGUAACUCUUCAACUCAUAUAUUGUUUAAUUCCCUUUCAUGCUUACCGAAGGAUGAUUGCUAUGAUCCCGUUGAUUCUCUUGAAAUAUCCCUUUUUGAUGAUUCUUGCUAUGCUUGUGCCCAAGAUGCCAAUAUGAAUUAUGCUUAUGGAGAUGAACUUGCUAUAGUUCCUUAUGUUAAACAUGAAAUUGUUGCUAUUCCACCCACGCAUGAUAGUCAUGUUAUCUUUUUGAAUUCUCCAAACUACACUAUAUCGGAGAAGUUUGUGCUUAUUAAGGAUUAUAUUGAUGGGUUGCCUUUUACUACUACACAUGAUGAUUUUGAUAGAUAUAAUAUGCAUGUGCUUGCUGCUCCUACUUGCAAUUAUUAUGAGAGAGGAACUAUAUCUCCACCUCUCUAUGUUUCCAAUAUGAUAAAAUUGCAAGAAACUGCUUAUACUAUGCAUUGGCCUUUACUUGGUGUGCAAGAAUUGUUCUUUUAUGACUUGCCGAUGCAUAGGAAGAGAGUUAGACUUUGUUGUUGCAUGAUACAUGUUACUUUGUGCUCACUACCAAAUUACAAAUCAUUGUUAAUUAAAAUUGGCUUUGAUAUACCUUGGGAUUCGGGUGGAUCCAUUACUUGAGCACUAUAUGCCUAGCUUAAUGGCUUUAAAGAAAGCGCUGCCAGGGAGACAACCCGGAAGUUUUAGAGAGUCAUUUAUUUAUGUUGAGUGCUUUUAUAUAGUUUAAAAACAAAAAAAAAUAAAGAGGGGAACCUAAAAACUUUUCAAAAAGGAAUGUGAAAGUGAGAAAGACAAGCAUUGUUGAAGUGGGAGCUAGCCUUGAACUUUGUUCAUGCUCACGGAAACUUUGUGAAUCUUGAUUACAGAAACUUUUCAACAAAAAUAAUUAUCCCCUUGUACAAUUCCAUUGUAUUAUAAAAAUAAUGUGCUAAGGUUUGCCUUUAGGAUGUUUACAAUGCUUGUUGGUUUGUACGGUGCAGGACAGAAACUUUGGCUGUAGUGCGCGAUUUUACAUUUUUAACUGGAAUGCCAAAUGGUUCUGAUUCUUUUUGCACUGUAUUUCUGUAAAUUGUUUUUAUUUUUCCUAAUUUUGGUAGAAUUGUUGUGGUACCGUAAGUAUUCUGAAUGUUCAGAUUGCUACAGACUAUUCUGUUUUUGACAGAUUCUGUUUUUGAUGCAUAGUUUACUUAUUUUGAUGAAACUAUCAAUUUAUAUUAGUAGAUUAAGCCAUGAAAAAGUUAUAUUACAGUAGACACAAUGAAAAAACAAAAUAUGAAUUGGUUUGAUACAGUACUUAGAGUGGUGAUUUGCUUUAUUAUACUAACGGAUCUUACCGAGUUUUCUAUUGAAGUUUUGUGUGGAUGAAGUGUCUAAUCGAGGAGGUCUCGAUAUGAGGAAAAGGAAGAGAGGCAAGAGCUCAAGCUUGGGGAUGCCCGAGGCACCCCAAGUAAAUAUUCAAGGAAUCAAGUGUCUAAGCUUGGGGAUGCCCCAGAAGGCAUCCCCUCUUUCUUCAACAAGUAUCGAUAUGUUUUCGGAUUCGUUUCGUUCAUGCAUUAUGUGCAAGUCUUGGCACGUCUUUUGCAUUUAGUUUUCAUUUUUCCUUUACACACCAUGAUGGUAUGAGAUAGUCCUUGGUUGAUUUAUAGAAUGCUCAUUGCACUUCACUUAAAUAUUUUGAGUAUGGCUUUAUAGAAUGCUUCAUGUGCUUCAGUUAUAUCAUUUGAAGUUUGGAUUGCCUGUUUCUCUUCACAUAAAAAACCGCCAUUUGUAGAAUGCUCUUUUGCUUCAUUUAUAUUUUUUUGAGCGUGGGCAUAUCUUUUGUAGAAAGAAUUAAAAUCUCUUGCUUCACUUAUAUCUAAUUUAGAGAGAUGACAGGAAUUGGUCAUUCACAUGGUUAUUCAUAAAAUCCUACAUAAACUUGUAGAUCGCUGAAUAUGGUAUGUUUGAUUCCUUGCAUUAGUUUUGCGAUAUAAAGGUGGUGAUAUUAGAGUCGUGCUAGUUGGGUAAUUGUGAAAUUGAGAAAUACUUGUGUUGAGGUUUGCGGGUCCCGUAGCAUGCACGUAUGGUAACUGUUGUGUGACAAAUUUGAAGCAUGGGGUGUUUCUUUGAUUGUCUUCCUUAUGAGUGGCAGUCGGGGAUGAGCGAUGGUCUUUUCCUACCAGUCUAUCCCUCCCGGGGCAUGCGUAGUAGUACUUUGCUUCGAGGGAAAGUAGACUUUUGCAAUAAGUAUGUGCGUUCUUUAUGACUAAUGUGAGUCCAAGGAUAUACACACACUCACCCUUCCACUUUGCUAGCCUUUAUUAUGUCGCGCAACCUUCGCCGGUAUCAUGCACCCAUUAUUUACCUUCCUCAAAACAGCUACCAUACCUACCUAUCAUGGCAUUUCCAUAGCCAUUCCGAGAUAUAUUGCCAUGCAACUUCCAUCAUCAUCAUAUACAGCCUUGAGCAUUCAUUGUCAUAUUGCUUUGCAUGAUCGUAAGAUAGCUAGCAUGAUAUUUUCAUGGCUUGUCCGUUUUUUGAUGUCAUUGCUAUGCUAGAUCAUUGCACAUCCCGGUACACCACCGGAGGCAUUCAUAUAGAGUCAUAUCUUUGUUGUAAUAUUGAGUCGUAUGUAAAUAAAAGUGUGAUGAUCAUCAUGUUGGAAAUAUGCCCUAGAGGCAAUAAUAAAAUGGUUAUUAUUAUAUUUCCUUGUUCAUGAUAAUUGUCUAUUAUUCAUGCUAUAAUUGUGUUAUCCGGAAAUCGUAAUACAUGUGUGAAUACAUAGACCACAACAUGUCCCUAGUGAGCCUCUAGUUGACUAGCUCGUUGAUCAAUUGAUAGUCAUGGUUUCCUGACUAUGGACAUUGGAUGUCGUUGAUAACGGGAUCACAUCAUUAGGAGAAUGAUGUGAUGGACAAGACCCAAUCCUAAGCAUAGCACAAGAUCGUGUAGUUCGUUUGCUAGAGCUUUUCCAAUGUCAAGUAUCUUUUCCUUAGACCAUGAGAUCGUGUAACUCCCGGAUACCGUAGGAGUGCUUUGGGUGUACCAAACUUCACAACGUAACUGGGUGACUAUAAAGGUAUACUACGGGUAUCCCCAAAAGUAUCUGUUGGGUUGACACGGAUUGAGACUGGGAUUUGUCACUCCGUAUGACGGAGAGGUAUCUCUGGGCCCACUCGGUAAUGCAUCAUCAUAAUGAGCUCAAUGUGACCAAGUGUUUGGUCACGGGAUCAUGCAUUACAGUACGAGUAAAGUGACUUGUCGGUAAUAAGAUUAAACGAGGUAUUGGGAUACCGACGAUCGAAUCUCGGGCAAGUAACGUACCGAUUGACAAAGGAAAUUGUAUACGGGGUUGCUUGAAUCCUCGACAUCGUGGUUUAUUCGAUGAGAUCAUCGUGGAACAUGUGGGAGCCAACAUGGGUAUCCAGAUCCCGCUGUUGGUCAUUGGCCGAAGAGCUGUCUCGGUCAUGUCUGCGUGAUUCCCGAACCCAUAGGGUCUACACACUUGAGGUUCGGUGACGCUAGGGUUGUAGAGAUAUUAAUAUGCGGAAACCCGAAAGUUGUUCGGAGUCCCGAAUGAGAUCCCGGAUGUCGCGGGGAGUUCCGAAAUGGUCCGGAGGUAAAGAAUUCUAUAUAGGAAGUCCAGUUUCGGCCACCGGGAAAAUUUCGGGGGUCACCGGUAUUGUACCGGGACCACCGGAAGGGUCCCGGGGGUCCACCGGAUGGGGCCACCUAUCCCGGAGGGCCAAGUGGGCUGAAAGGGGAAGGGAACCAGCCCCUGGUGGGCUGGUGCACCCCCCCUUGGGCCUCUCCUGCGCCUAGGGUUGGAAACCCUAGGGGUGGGGGGGCGCCCCACUUGACUUGGGGGGCAAGUCCCCCCCUAGGCUGGCGCCCCCCCUUGGAGAUGGGAUCUCCAGGGCCAGCGCACCCCCUAGGCCCCCUAUAUAUAGAGGGGGGAGGGAGGGCAGCCGCACCCAAGUCCUUGGCGCCUCCCUCUCCCCCCGUACCACCUCUCCCUCUCGCUGAGCUUGGCGAAGCCCUGCCGAGAUUGCCGCUGCUUCCACCACCACGACGUCGUGCUGCUGGAUCUCCAUCAACCUCUCCUUCCCCCUUGCUGGAUCAAGAAGGAGGAUACGUCUUCCCCAACCGUACGUGUGUUGAUCGCGGAGGUGCUGUCCGUUCAGCACUAGGAUCUUCGGUGAUUUGGAUCACGACGAGUACGACUCCCUCAACCCCGUUCUCUUGAACACUUCCGCUCGCGAUCUACAAGGGUAUGUAGAUGCACUUCUCUCUCUCGUUGCUAGAUGACUCCAUAGAUUGAUCUUGGUGAAGCGUAGAAAUUUUUUAUUUUCUGCAACGUUCCCCAGCACAUCAUUAUUAGAGCAUUGCCCAAGUGAGGAAAGGAUGAUGGAGACUAUGAUUCCCCCACAAGUCGGGAUGAGACUCAUGACUUUAUGAAAAAUAAAAGAGGCCAAAGAAUCCCAAAUAAAAAAAGAGGCCAAAGAAGCCCACCAAAAAAAGAGAAAAAAAUAAAAAAAUGAGAGAAAAAGAGAGAAGGGGCAAUGUUACUAUCCUUUUACCUCAUUUGUGCUUCAGAGUAGCACCAUGUUCUUCAUAUAGAGAGUCUCUUGAGUUAUCACUUUCAUAUACUAGUGGGAAUUUUCAUUAUAGAACUUGGCUUGUAUAUUCCGAUGAUGGGCUUCCUCAAAUGCCCGAGGUCUUCAUGAGCAAGCAAGUUGGAUGCACACCCACUUAGUUUCCAGUUUGAGCUUUCAUAUAUUUAUAGCUCUAGUGCAUCUGUUGCAUGGCAAUCCCUACUCACUCACAUUGAUAUCUAUUAAUGGGCAUCUCCAUAGCCCGUUGAUAUGCCUAGUUGAUGUGAGACUAUCUUCUCCCUUUUUGUCUUCACAACCACCACCAUAUACCACAUAUAGUGCUAUGUCCAUGGCUUGCGCUCAUGUAUUGCAUAAGAGUUGAAAAAGCUGAAGCGCGUUAAAAAGUAUGAACCAAUUGCUCGGCUCGUCAUCGGGUUGUGCAUGAUGGGAGCAUUUUGUGUGACGAAAAUGAAGCAUGGCCAAACUAUAUGAUUUUCUAGGGAUAAGCUUUCUAAGGCUAUGUCAUUUGAUAAGACAUAAUUGCUUGGUUGGUAUGCUUGAAGUAUUAUUUUUUUAUGUCAAAUGAUAGACUAUUACUUUGAAUCACUCGUGUCUUAAUAUUCAUGCCAUGAUUAGACAUAUGAUCAAGAUUAUGCUAGGUCGCAUUCCACAUCAAAAUUUAUCUUUUUAUCAUUUACCUACUCGAGGACGAGCAGGAAUUAAGCUUGGGGAUGCUGAUACGUCUCCGUCAUAUCUAUAAUUUUUUAUUGUUCCAUGCCAAUAUUAUUCAACUUUCAUAUACUUUUGGCAACUUUUUAUACUAUUUUUGGGACUAACAUAUUGAUCCAGUGUCCAGUGCCAGUUCUGUUUGUUGCAUGUUUUAUGUUUCAUAGGAAACACAUAUCAAACGGAAUCCAAACGGGAUAAAAACAGACGGAGACUAUUUUUGGCAUAUUUGGGAUUUUUCAGAGGAAGAAUCAACGUGAAACAGUGCCUGAGGUGGCCAGGAGAUAGGGGGAGCGUCCACCCCCUGGGCGCGCCUGGCACUCUCCUGGGCCACCCAUAAGGCGGUUGACGCUCUUCUUUUGCUGCAAGAAAGCUAAUUUUACGAGAAAAAUCUGGACGAAAGAUUCACCCCAAUCGGAGUUACGGAUCUCCGGAUAUAAAAGAAACGGUGAAGGGGUAGAAUCUGAGAACGCAGAAAUAGAGAGAUAGAUCCAAUCUCGGAGGGGAUCUUGCCCCUCCCAAUCCAUGGGAGCCAAGGACCAGAGGGGAAACCCUUCUCCCAUCUAGGGAGAAGGUCAAGGAAGAAGAAGAAGAAGGGGGGCUCUCUCCCCCUUGCUUCCUGUGGCGCCGGAACGCCGCCAAGGGCCAUCAUCAUCAUCGCGAUCUUCACCAACACCUCCGCCAUAUUCACCAACAUCUCCAUCACCUUCCCCCAUCUAUAUUCAGCAGUCCACUCUCCCGCAACCCGCUGUACCCUAUACUUGAACAUGGUGCUUUAUGCUUCAUAUUAUUAUCCAAUGAUGUGUUGCCAUCCUAUGAUGUCUGAGUAGAUUUUUGUUGUCCUAUUGGUGGUUGAUGAAUUGCUAUGAUUGAUUUAAUUUGCUUGUGGUUAUGUUGUUGUCCUUUGGUGCCCAUCAUAUGAGCGCGCGCGUGGAUCACACCAUAGGGUUAGUUGUAUGUUGAUAGGACUAUGUAUUGGAGGGCUAGAGUGACAGAAGCUUCAACCUACCAUAGAAAUUGAUGCAUACGGGAUUGAAGGGGGGCCAAUAUAUCUUAAUGCUAUGGUUGGGUUUUACCUUAAUGAACGUUAGUAGUUGCGGAUGCUUGCUAAUAGUUCCAAUCAUAAGUGCAUAGAAUUCCAAGUCAGGGAUGACAUGCCAGCAGUGGCCUCUCCCACAAAAAACUUGCUAUCGGUCUAGUAAAGUAGUCAAUUGCUUAGGGACAAUUCCACAACUCCUACCACCACUUUUUCCACACUCGCUAUAUUUACUUUAUUGCUUCUUUAUCUAAACAGCCCCUAGUUUAUAUUUACGUGUUCUUUAUUAUCUUGCAAACCUAUUCUAUCACACCUACAAAGUACCUCUAGUUUCAUACUUGUUCUAGGUAAAGCGAACGUCAAGCGUGCGUAGAGUCAUAAUAGUGGCCGAUAGUACUUGAGAGAGUAUUUGUUCUACCUUUAGCUCCUCGUUGGGUUUGGCACUCUUACUUAUCGAAAGAGGCUACAAUUAUCCCCUACACUUGUGGGUUAUCACUGAUCAAUACUCGUAAGAUCUAUAGUAGGUACAAAUGUUGCAUAAGUUGAUGUACUUUUUGAAGCCGGAAUGAACAUGCUAGAAAAGCAAGUUGUUUGCAAAUCUUAUUGGAUGAAUAAACUGGAAGUACAAAUGUACUUAAAAUAAAGAAGUUUUGAUCAAGUUCAUUAAUAAAUAACAUGCACCAAACCACUUGUUAGAAUAAGGAUGCUAGAGAGAUUACUUGAAAUCCAUACAAGCGAGCAAUUAGAAUUACGUGGUGCAGAAGAAUGAUUUUGGGAUGUUAAAAAUAAAGAACAAUGAUUGUGUCUAUCUAUACACGAUUUUCCUCUGCUCAAGCAAGCAAGCAAGAAUCAAACAACAUAAUAUACAGCAAUUUGAUUGCACACACGUUCAAACUGGACGGAUACGUGCACAUUAGCAAACACCACCAAGUUGUGUCCAGACCAUUUGCAAUCAAAAGAUGAGAUGUGCAGGGAAGGGGGUGGAGCUCACCACACCAGGACAGGGGGUAGGAGGAUGGAGUAGGCAGCCGCAGCAACGAUGAGGGAGGGCUUGUCCUCGUCCACCUGAAGCAGUAGGUGGAGCAGCUGGUCUAGAUCCGAGCAACCUGCACAGAAAACAAAGGAAAGGAAAGGAAAGGAAAGGAAUCACAAGGAUGGGCAUGAAGAAACCGACAAGACAAGGGAAGGAGGCGUGCGCACAAUGGUCGGAGGUCGUUGGAGAUGGCCUGCAGCCGGCGCACGUCUUUUCCUUGGAGGUUGAGGCGUCGGACCUCCACGGGUAGCUAGGGAUUCGGGCGUCUCAGUCCAUGUCUGCAGCCGGGUCGGACCUCCAUGGACGAUCUCGAGGGACGGCGGCCCGCCGGUGCGGCUGCGGAUAUGGGCGUUGCCUCUCCUUGCCACUGGAUCCCUUCCAGUCCCUUCCCUCCCUUGGGAGAGAGAGAGAGAAGGUGAGGGGGAGGAGGACGCCCGACAAGGCUCCUCCCGCCUGCCCGCAACGAGAGGUAACGGGGGCGGUCGCGACAGGAGGUGGGGGGGCGGCGGCGUUUGAGGGAGGGGAUCGGCGGCGGCUAUGAGGGCAAAGGAUCUGGUGAGGCGGCGGGGCAGAAGCUGCAAGAGACGGUGGAGGGGACCUCGAGGCCGAGCUCAGGCCAUGGCUUCCCUGGCUCCAAAGGCCAUGGCGGCGCUAGACGUAGCGGCGGGGCAAGGAGGAGGCCGGCCGUCGGGGAGGCAGGAGCUCCUUGUCCCCUUGAUCCAAAUUGGGAUCGAGGAGGGAACAACAGGGGCGCGAGGGAGCGGGCGACAGGUCGGGGCGUAGGUUAUUUUCGUAGGUUAACCGUCGUAGAUUUUUUUAGGACGAUUUUCUGUCGAUGAACCGUAGUGUUUCACAACUGGCAUCGUGGUAGCAUACCGUUUUUUUGUCGGUCUCGUGGGCGGAAGGGGGGAACCGCUGGGUUGUGGGAGGUGGGAUCGAGGACGAAAAUUAACCGUCUCUGGUGGAACGAAAAUUGACCGGCGGAGACUACCAACUGCUCCAUUAGGAGUAGAGAUACAUUUAUCUUUAUAAAUGCACGCAUGCACACUCUAACUCUACGAGCAUCUCUUAGAGACUGAGCCGGCACAUCCUCUUAAGAUCAACGAACACUAGUGCAGAACCGGGCAAUAGCACCGGCUCGUAAGGGCUAUUAGUGCCGGUUUUGUAACCGGCACUAAAGGGUGGGGACAAAAGGUCCCCCACUUUAGUACCGGUUCGUCACGGACCGCCACUAAAGUGCCACCACAUGGCACGAGGCAGGGCCGGGUGUGGGGAGACCUAUAGUACCGGUUGGUAACACCAACCGGUACUAAAUGUUCGGGUGUUUUUUUCCUUUCACUUUGUGUUUUCAAUUUAAUUUAGAGAUUAUUUUAACAUUAUAAUGAGUUGUUAAAUCAUUAGGUGAAAGUACCCGCAGAUUAGUUUCAACUGGAUGCAUGCAUGGAUCCUGGCUAAGUGAUCAAAGUAUAUAUGCCAUAUCCAUAUAUAUUACUUGAUCACUUAUAUUAGGUGAGCAAGUAAUUAAUAUGGAUAUGGCAUAUAUAUACUUGAUCACUUAGCUAGCUAGGAUCCAUCCAGUUAAAACUAAUCUGCAGUUUCUUUCAUAAAUGAUAUAAUAACUCAUCAUCAUCAUAUUAAUAUAAAAACUAUUGCAUCAUAUAUAUCAUCACCAACAAGUUAUAAUGGUAUACUAGCUAGCUAAAAAUCAUUAUAGUCGUCAUUACCACUAUUUAAUCAUCAUAGUCAUUACUGCUAUCUAAUCAUCACCAAUACCAGCUUAAAGAAGAAACAUUCACUUUGUACCAGAAGGAAAGAUAUCAUCGAGUUCAACAUGAUCACUCUUUGAGAUUAAGUUCAGGACGAAAAACACGGACAUGAGAGGACAAGUACUAAGAGCAUGCUAAUCACUCCUGCUGCUCUGUCUCGGGUAAAAUGACAUAGAACAUGUGUAGCUGUCCUGAUUCAUCAUAUUGGAGCAUGGAGAUGAACCUGUCUCCUAAUCGUGGGUUGCGCUUCUGCUUGUUGACUCCUAGUACUUCUCUGUGAUCAUUCACAAUUUUGCUCCUGUCUUUCAGUAUUAAGCAUUCCUCGGUUCUAGAAAUCUUGAAUGCACUCAUGUGCAAUGUAGGAUGUCUUGGCCGUAAGCUAACAAUUGACAUGCGACCGUUAGUCGAGAUCCACUAAGGCAGAACUAUCAUCGGGAGUCCCUGUUGAAGAGAACAUCGUAUAGUAUCAUACUUAGCAACAUGAAGUUUAGCUUAAAAAAUAAUGUAUGCAAAAGAUACACUGAGGACAAAUAGUAAAAAUCUUACCAUCUUUCCUAAAUACAUGUGACCGUAGUUCAAUACGAAUGCUAUUGGUCGCACGUUUUGAGUACUAAGAUAUGCAAGUCUAAGAAAAUAAUGUCUCUUGACAGCAUCAAGAUCCUCAAGCCAUGAAACAUAUUGACUUAUCUCCUCGCAGUUUAGUUCAGCCCCGGGACAGUGGACGGUCCUGUCUACCAAGCAUUGGACACGUUUGCUUGAAUGGAAAUAAGUUGUCAAUUGAAAUUAUAGUUGUCAACUAUUUUUGAAAAAACAAUAUCAACAUAAAUAUGGCAUGAGAUACUCACAUAAUGGUAGAACUGGAGGCUUCUGCACAUCGACCCAAAUGUCACUAUUACCUUCAAUGUCAUCUUCGGGACGAAUAUGAAAGGUGAUAAACAUAUCAGGCUCAAAUGCAUAAGCCUUGCAUAGUUCUUGCCAAGUUUUGCAUUCAAAGUGGGUGUAGGUUUCUUGAUUGUAUAAUUUCACGUUGAAGGUAUAACCAUGCUCGGUCUUCAAGUAAACUCUCUUUACCUCCAUAGUUUUGUCAGGACUAAAACCUAUUUUAUCCAAGACAAAUAUUCUUGCAUGGCAGGGGAUACGCUAGUAUAAUAGUGAAAAUUUGAAAUAAUAAGUUCAAGCAAAUGAAGCACAUAUAAGUCAUGCUUAAUUACGAAAAAAGACUUGUCGUUGUGACUUACUGUAUCCACUUCGAAGGUCUCAUCUAGCUUGAUGCUGAAGAGCCUAUCAUCAACUAGGAAAUUUCUGUUGCACAGGCCGCGUUGGUCUUCGCAGUCUUCGCACAUAAUGAAAUCGUUUUCGUCGUCAUACGACAUUUCCUAUGUUCAUAGGUGAAACAUUAAACACUUAUUAGUUAUAUAUUAAUUCAACUAAUUAGACUAGUUCUAUUAAUUCAACUAGCUAGUUCAACUAAUCAAUUCAACUAAGCACUAACUAAAAAUAUACCUAAAUAAAAAAUAUAUAGCUCCUAAUUAAACUAAUUCAACUAAUUAACUAGUUCAACUAAUUCAACUAAUUCAACUAAACUAGUUCUAUUAAUUUUCUUACUAAAAAUAAAUUAGCUAGUUUUAUAUACACCAAUUUUAAUUGGAUGAUCAAAUCUCGUAUACCUAAAUUUAGUAUAUAUUAUUUCAUCUAACAUUAAUAUAAAUUCAUCUACUAAAAAUAUAAAAAACUAACUUUCAUCUAACAUUAUCUAAUUAUUAUAUAAUCUAACAUUUAUAUAAUCUAACAUUUUGACAUUAAACUUUUAUGUGUGUGUGUGUGUGCUUGUGUGUGUGUGCAUGUGUGUGUGUGUGUGUGUGUGUGUGCGUGUUUGCAGGAGGCCGCCGGCGAGCGGCNNNNNNNNNNNNNNNNNNNNNNNNNNNNNNNNNNNNNNNNNNNNNNNNNNNNNNNNNNNNNNNNNNNNNNNNNNNNNNNNNNNNNNNNNNNNNNNNNNNNNNNNNNNNNNNNNNNNNNNNNNNNNNNNNNNNNNNNNNNNNNNNNNNNNNNNNNNNNNNNNNNNNNNNNNNNNNNNNNNNNNNNNNNNNNNNNNNNNNNNNNNNNNNNNNNNNNNNNNNNNNNNNNNNNNNNNNNNNNNNNNNNNNNNNNNNNNNNNNNNNNNNNNNNNNNNNNNNNNNNNNNNNNNNNNNNNNNNNNNNNNNNNNNNNNNNNNNNNNNNNNNNNNNNNNNNNNNNNNNNNNNNNNNNNNNNNNNNNNNNNNNNNNNNNNNNNNNNNNNNNNNNNNNNNNNNNNNNNNNNNNNNNNNNNNNNNNNNNNNNNNNNNNNNNNNNNNNNNNACGUACGGUGACGGGGACGGCGACGACGACGAUGUAUGGCGACGGGGGUGGUGCAGGGGCGGCGCGCGCAACGUACGGGGGCGGCGAUGACGUACGCCGACGGGGGCACGCGGCGAAGGGGGUGGCGAUGACAGUGACGGCGGUGGCGCGCGCGAGGACAGGGCGCGAUGAAGAUGAUAACUGAAAAUUUUCGUAAGUGCUGGUUAUAUAGGGGAAGCCUUUAGUACGGUUGGAGCCACCAACCUGUACUAAAGGUUAAAUUUGGCCAGGCGAAGCGGCAGGAAGUGACCCCCUUUAGUACCGGUUGGUGGCUCCACCCGGUACUAAAGGCCACCCUUUAGUACCGGUUUGUGCCACGAACCGAUACUAAAGGGGGUGCGCUCCGUGCUCAUUGUUUAGUCCCACCUCGCCGAGCGAAGGGCAACCGCACUGGUUUAUAAACCCAGCCGCGGCUGCUCCUUUGAGCUCCUCUAUAAUGCAGGCCUCUGGGCCUAACUUUGCCGCGCUGCCCUGUGAGCCUGCUGGGCCUUAUGGGCCUGCAUAUGCACGCCCAAGGCCAGGCAGGCCCACUAGGCAAUGCGGAAAUAUAUUUUUUUAUAUAGUUUUUUGCUUUUGUGGUUUAUAUAUUUUCUUCUAUUUAUUUGUGAGUAGUUUUUUGCUGUAUUUAGAGUUUCUUAUAUUUAAUAUUAGUGUGUUUUAUCAUUAUAUUCAUAUUUGUAGUGAUUUUUCAGUUCAUUUUGUACUGCUUUUUUUCAUAUAGUUUUUUUUUCUUUUGUGGUUUAUAUAUUUUCUUCUAUUUAGUUGUGAGUAGUUUUUUGUUGUAUUUAAAGUUUCUUAUAUUUAAUAUUAGUGUGUUUUAUCAUUAUAUUCAUAUUUGUAGUGAUUUUUCAGUUCAUUUUGUACUGCUUUUCACUUUCACGGUGAUUUAGCUCUGAAAACAAAUCAGUAAAUGCAUCAAAAAUAGCAAAUUAUGUCAGAAAGGGUUGAAAGUUGAUGACGUGGAUUUGAAUUAUGCAUCUGAACGCAAAAAAGUGCGGAGUUGUACUAAGUUAUUAAAAUAUGGAAUAGCGGGUCUAACAGAUGAGUUUUUUUCUGAAACCCUGAUACUUCCUAAGAGAUUGUCCAGUUUGAACACGACGUGCAUCCAGUUUUUGCCGUAACCCUCUCUACUUUUUUGCACAUGCUAUGCGGGUGAAAUGAUGAUACCUUGCCAAGUUUCAACCUUUUUAGAGUUCAUUUUGUACUGUUUUUCACUUUCGUGAUGAUUUAGCUCUAAAAACAAAUCAGUAAAUGUAUCGAAAAUAGCAAAUUAUGUCAGAAAGGGUUGAAAGUUGAUGACGUGGAUUUGAAUUGUGCAUCUGAACGCAAAAAAAGUCCGGAGUUGUACUAAGUUAUUAAAAUACUGAAUAGCCGGUGUAACAGAUGCGUUUUCAUCUGAAACCUUGAUACUUCCUAAGAGAUUGUCAAGUUUGUACACGACGUGCAUCCAGUUUUUGCCGUAACCCUCUCUACUUUUUUGCACAUGCUAUGUGGGUGAAAUGAUGAUACAUUGCCAAAUUUCAACCUUUUCAGAGUUUAUUUUGUACUGCUUUUCACUUUCACGGUGAUUUAACUCUGAAAACAAAUCAGUAUAUGCAUCGAAAAUAGCAAAUUAUGUCAGAAAGGGUUGAAAGUUGAUGACAUGGAUUUGAAUUGUGCAUCUGAACGUAAGAAAAGUCUGGAGUUGUACUAAGUUAUUAAAAUAUUUAAUAGCCGGUGUAACAGAUGAGUUUUCGUCUGAAACCCUGAUACUUCCUAAGAGAUUGUCCAGUUUGUACAAGACGUGCAUCCAGUUUUUGCCGUAACCCUCUCUACUUUUUUCACAUGCUAUGGGGGUGAAAUGUUGAUACCUUGCCAAGUUUCAACCUUUUCAGAGUUCAUUUUGUACUGCUUUUCACUUUCACAGUGAUUUAGCUCUGAAAACAAAUCAGUAAAUGCAUCAAAAAUAGUAAAUUAUGUCAGAAAGGGUUGAAAGUUGAUGACAUGGAUUUGAAUUGUGCAUCUGAACGCAAAAAAAGUCCGGAGUUGUACUAAGUUAUUAAAAUAUUGAAUAGCCGGUGUAACAGAUAAGUUUUCGUCUGAAACCCUGAUACUUCCUAAGAGAUUGUUCAGUUUGUACACAACGUGCAUCCAGUUUUUACCGUAACCCUCUCUACUUUUUUGCACAUGCCAUGCGGGUGAAAUGAUGAUACCUUGCUAAGUUUCAACAUUUUCAGAGUUCAUUUUGUACUACUUUUUACUUUCACGGCGAUUUAGCUCUAAAAACAAAUCAGUAAAUGCAUCGAAAAUAGCAAAUUAUGUUAGAAAGGGUUGAAAGUUGAUGACAUGGAUUUGAAUUGUGCAUCUGAGCGCAAAAAAAGUCCGGAGUUGUACUAAGUUAUUAAAAUAUUGAAUAGCCGGUGUAACAGAUGAGUUUUCGUCCGAAACCCUGAUAUACUUCCUAAGAGAUUGUCCGGUUCGAACCGGCUGUUGUGUAAACAUGUAAAAAUAUAAAUAAAAUACAUUGAUCAGUACCGCCUUUCAGCCAAAAACGCGCUACUGCUACAGAGAAAUACAUCAAAAUACAUUGAUCAUCGAUGAUCUUUUUGUGUAGAAUCUGAAUUGUCAAUAUGAGUCGUCCCCGGUAGGAACCGGAGAAGACUCAUAUUGCGGCCACAAAUUCUACACAUAGAGUUCAAUAAAGACCAACUGCUUGUGAUAGUUUGAGAAGUAACAUAUUUAAGGUGGUAAAAACUCUGUAGCGAGGUGGGACUAAAAAACCACUAUGAACUAGGAACCUCUAGUACCAGUUUGUGUCAUGAACUGGUACUAAAGGUGCGGGUGGCCCCCCAGCCUAACCACAGCCUGCAACAGCCACUCUAGUACUGGUUCGUGGCACGAACCGGUACUAGAAGGUCGCCACGAAUCGGUACUAAUGGUCUCCACCCCUAGCCGUUUGGACCGGCACUAAUGAUCACAUUAGUGUCGGCUUUGUUAUAAACCGGGACUAAUGUGCUUCACAUUAGGCCCUUUUUCUACUAGUGGAAGUCACCACAUGCACCUCCAUAAUCGACCGGAACAAAUUCUCACUCUAAAAGAACAUUGCCGUAAAGGUCUGGAAAAAAUCAGAAAAAUACGAGCAUCAAUGUCAAGUCUAGGACAUUCAUAGGGUAGUGUGUGUGUGUGCAUUCACAGGAUGAGUAUAUGUGUGUGUAUGAGCAUCUACAUCUGUAUUGUAUUAAAAAAAACUAACCAUUUGAGUUGGGCUCCCGUGGCUGAUGCCGAGCAGGAGUUAAAGGAGAGGUCUUUACUCCUGCCGUGGUGGGUGCACCGUGAUGUGGGCGGUUGGUGGUGUCUCGGACAUGGAUACUGGGGUGGUGAUCCCAGAUGGUGGUCCGCAUGGUUUGCUUUCUGGCAGGCACCAUGGGAGCGGUGUUGGCCUUCCCUCUUGGUUGUGUGGGCGGCAAGAAGUGGAGUGGCGGGUGGCUCAGGCGUGCUUUCUGUCACCUGGCAGUGGCUCCGCCCCGAUCUGGAUAUGGAGUUCUGACUUUGACGCACUCGUUCUGGAGCCUUCCUCUUCUGUUCAUGGCGCUAGGAGAGAUGCAUUCAUAUAAUCAGUAACACGCCUUUUCACUUUAUUCAAAACAGGGAUAGAUGGUACAUGAACAUCUGAAGUAAAAAGAUGUUGAAAGUAUUGACUGAUCAGACUUCUCGUAGACUCAUUGUCUUCCUUCCAAACGCGACCAUCAUCCCGCAACCGCUUAAUGUGAUUUCUCUUCUUCCUGGCUGACGCAAAGUUAUGGAAAAAUUAGUAUUGCGGUCGCCAAACUUUAACCAGUUAGCAUGACCGCGUUGGAUCCAGUAUAUCUCCUCCUUCUGUAGAUUUUCUUCAAUUUUUAUUAGCAGCUCAUGUUGCCGUUUCGCCCACUCAUCAGAAAGUGGGCCUGAUCACAACAAUUGCACCUUCGUGUUAAGUUCCUUCAAACACCGAGCUCAAUCCCAUUCAUGCAUGGCCUCAUGCACGCUUGCUGUUCGCGCGGCAAAAGUCGCCAAGGGAUGAGUAUGUUCCCAAGCUUCUAAAAUGAGCUCCGCCAAACCUGAACAAAUGGGCCAGCCCGGUCCGGCCUGGCAGGAGUUAAACAAGAGUCAGGCACGACACGUCCUGACCAGGCACGCUAAGUACACAGGCCGUGCCGGGCCGACACACGUACUGCCCUUUUUUACCCAAGCACGGCCCCUCACUACACGGGCCAACACGGCGGCCUGUUUGACACGCCUGCACGGUUAGCCCAAGCGACAGACGAAGGCAUGCUCCGCAGAUCGCCUCAUUCGCUUGUGGCAUCGAGGCACAAUUGUGCACUCAUGCAGCCUGCUAGGAGGACACAUGCCUCCAUGUCCUUUUUUUCUUUUGACAGUACGCCUCUCUGUCCUUGCUCCCCAUUACUUCCAAAACUAAUAAAAUAAAAUGCAUAUAUAUCACUAAACGGGUCGUGCCGUGCUGGCACUUGUGCCCACCCUCAUGGCCCAAGCAGGGCCCUAGGCGAGCGCCGUGCCGGCACGACCCGAUUAUAAAUGUGUGGGGCUAGGCCCACACGGUCUGGGCACGCGGGCUAUCGGGCCGACAUGCUAAGACUGGCCCAUUUGGCCAGGUUUGGGUUGCACCACAUUGUCCUCUUGAAACCACCUCGACUCAAAUUUCUUUUGAUGUACAAGAUGUUGGUCCCCCUAUCACCUCUCCUUCCGUAUCAACAAAAACAGGUAUGUGAUCAGACUUGGUAUGCUCUGCGUUGAUCACCCUAGCAUGCGGGGAAAGGCCAUGAAACCGGCCAUUACAGACUGCUCUAUCCAAACAUUCCGGGAGGCUCCUUCUUCGCCAGGUAAAAGGAUCACCCGCGAAGCCCAUGUCAUCAAGUUCAUAAUCUAAUAGGGCAUCUCGGAAACUUUGCAUCAUGUGCAUCAGCCGUGGUGCGCCACCCUCCUUCUCAUUAGAAUAUAGGACUUCAUUAAAGUCACCAGCUACCAACCUUUUAUUACCCCUUUGCUAAAUUAAAUCAUUCAUAUAUUUUAUUUUUGAAAUUUUUUAUAUAUUUGAACUCCUCAUGUCAAAGCCUAAAACAAGACCAAUCUUGAAUACAAUUCAAACACAUUUAAAUUUCAAAUGUUUCACAUUUCAUAUGAAACAUACUCAUUUCACUAAUAUUCUUUUGAAAAAAACUUUUAAUAGAAAUAUGUUAAACCAAUGCAUUUCACUAGAAACCAAUUAAACCCAAAUAGGAAACUGAAAUGUCAACUUUGUGAAAUUGAUUUUUUUUUAAUGUGUAACAAAUUUUUUUAAUGGAGUGAAAAUGCCUUUUGAAAUAUGUGCAAUUUUUGUGAAAUAGUCCAAUGAAAUGUAAACUGUAGGUUCUAAAUUGUGAAAUUAUAAACACAAAAAAUGAACCUACCAAUGUGAAAUUGCUUAUUUCAAAAGAGUGAAAUAUGUUAUUUAAAAAAUGUGUAAUUGAAAUAGAUGCGAUUUCCGUGAAACAGGCCAAUGAAAUGUAAAAUGUAGGUUCUGAAUUGUGAAAUCGUAAUCACAAAAGGUGAAAUUAUAAUGUAUAGUGAAAUUGCUUAUUUAAAAAAGUGAAAUAUGUUAGUCCAAAAAAAUAUGUAAUUAAAAUAGAUGUCAUUUCUGUGAAAACAGGCUAGUGAAAUGUAAAAUCUAGGUUCUGAAUUGUGAAACAGUAACCACAAAAAAAUAAAAUUAUAAUAUAGCAGUGUGAAACUAAUUUAUUCAAAAGAGUGAAAUAUGUUAUUUUGAAAAAUGUGCAAUUGAAACAAGCCGGUGAAAAGGAAAAUGUAGGUUCUGAAUUGUGAAAUAGCAACUACAGAAAUUUUGUAACGUAUCAUUGUGAAACCGAUUUUUGAAAUGUGAAAUAUACGUCCGAUUUGAAACAUGGUUGAAAAUAUCCAAAAUUUGAUCCUAUUUUAAAGGUUUUGAUGCAAGGAGUUCAAAUAUAUGAAAAGUUUGAAAACGAAUAUGCGCUUUAAAAGAUAUAGAUGUUUUAACUUAGCCAAGAUGGAAAAAUGAUUGGAUUUAUUGAGAGAGAGAGANNNNNNNNNNNNNNNNNNNNNNNNNNNNNNNNNNNNNNNNNNNNNNNNNNNNNNNNNNNNNNNNNNNNNNNNNNNNNNNNNNNNNNNNNNNNNNNNNNNNNNNNNNNNNNNNNNNNNNNNNNNNNNNNNNNNNNNNNNNNNNNNNNNNNNNNNNNNNNNNNNNNNNNNNNNNNNNNNNNNNNNNNNNNNNNNNNNNNNNNNNNNNNNNNNNNNNNNNNNNNNNNNNNNNNNNNNNNNNNNNNNNNNNNNNNNNNNNNNNNNNNNNNNNNNNNNNNNNNNNNNNNNNNNNNNNNNNNNNNNNNNNNNNNNNNNNNNNNNNNNNNNNNNNNNNNNNNNNNNNNNNNNNNNNNNNNNNNNNNNNNNNNNNNNNNNNNNGAGAGAGAGAGUUGUUCUUCCAUAUUACUGCGAUGCAUACGUGUGAUGUACAAUGGUGAGGUUGAAAAGAGAGAGCAGAAAUACGGAGAUGAGAAAUAGAGAAAGAAGUGCAAUACAAAGAUAGUUGGCCCACGGAGUAUUAGGUGUCUGCUUUCUAUUGGAGCCAACCUUGCCUGUACAUAGCACUACCGUGCAAUUUUCAUUUCAGUCUCCCGUUUGGCAUAGUUUGACCUGGUCAUACCAAAAAAAUUCCCCUCACUAGUCACUACGGGCAGCGUAAGACCGUACGAAGCCGAUCGUGAGACCCUCUCUCGCGUGCGACGCGUGGCUAUAUACGAAUCUCAAAGCAGCAACCGUCUGGUUCCCCACUUUCUCGUUUGCAAAUCACGAUUCAGGAUGUGUUUGGUUUGUGCUCAAGAUUGCCCCGCCAAAGCAUUGGCUAGCCAAAAUUUUGGUUGAGAAUUUGGUUGCCCAAGAUUUAGCGAAUAUUGAUAGGAAAAAUGAAUUAGAGUUGGCUAGAGUUUAUUGGCAUGCUAAAAAAAUUGGCAACCAUUCAAAUAAAAACCAAUUUUUGAGUCAUGACCAAAAUUUUGGUAGGAUGCACUUUGGCUACAAUCCAAACAAACCUUCAAUCUCUAGAACGCUCCCAAAUUCCAGCCGCCAGUGUGAUACUCCCCGAUGCUCACCACAUCACCGCCGAUGAGCUCCUCGACACCAAGCACACACACUUGGUGCGAUUCAUCCCCGUCGGGCGGCCCAACUCGUAGCACCGCCCAGCUACUUCUCCCCGCCGGCCAGGGCGAUGCUCACGGGCGCCUCCACUCGCGGCAUCGCCAGCGCAUAUACCCCUUGGCUGCGGCCAAGCUUCUCACGUGCAGGUGUGUUACUCGCCGUCCAUGGCCACCCUCCUCAGUUUGGCUCUGCUGGCUACCUUACUCUACAUUGACCUGCUGGCUGCAUCGUAGUAAAAGGAUAACUUCAAGUUCACAGCAUGUUUGCUCAUCUGCAAGUUGCAACACCGUUUCUGCUCCGGUGCUCCCCCCUGGGCUGAACGCGAGGUGGAAAAACACAUCGACGGCUAGGAUGAACCAAAAAUGGUUCAUUACGAGGGGCACAAUCAUCUUUGUUGCCCUCGCGUAUAGCUGUCGAGGAGCCCUGGGAGGCCCAUGCGGGCCCGGUUAGAUCGUAUGCCCGGUCGUAUACAUAUUUGUAUACGGCGGCAUUUCGUUCACGCAUGCAGCCGCAGGAGCGUGGGGCAGCACGUGUCACGGGUAGUUGCCAAAACCGUCCCAUCAUAUAAAUGUGGACGACAAGCACCUCCGGCCGAAUCGCCCACCAUUUCACCCCGCCGCAUCGUCCCCCUCUCUCCACUCCCCACUCCCUCUCCUCUCCAACCUCCUCGUCUCCCUCUUCCCAACCGCAUCCUCUCCAUCGCCAUGGCGGACGCAGGAGGCGAGCACCUCACUUGGGGCACAGAUCUGGUGGAGCAGGCGCGACAGGUCGCUGCGGGCACCUUUGUGAUGGGACGUGCUGGCGUCCAGCGCGGUGCUCCCCCCGCUGCAGAUCUGGAGAAGGUGGGGGCGGGCUGCAGCGGUGCAGUCCAGCCAAAUGCGUCUGCUCUGGCGAUCUCUGACGAUUCGUAAAAGGUGUAGGCAGGCUCUGGCGAGGCGCAGAAGAUGGAGGCGGGCUUUGGCGAGGCGCACGAGGUGGAUAAGGUGGAGAAUGUGGAGGCCGGCUCCGGUGAGGAGCAGGUGGAGCAGAAGGUAUCUGUUUGUCCCUUUUAGUUGGUAGUUUUUAGAUUCUAGUGCUUUUGGCCAGAAGUUUCUUGGGUUAGAUUAGUUGGAUGGAGGGUUUUCUCUGCAUUAGGGUUCUUUUGUAUUUGAUUCGUGCAAGACUGGUGGACCAUAUAUGAUUAUUAGAUUAGGUUAGCGGUAGCUGGAUUGAGGGAUGGAGUUUUUCAGAUGCUUAUUAGAUUAGUAGUGGAACUUUUUCUUGUUAGAUUUUAAUUAGUAUGAGGUUGAACACCUUAUUUAAGGGGGAAUUAAAGGUCAAAUAGACCAUAUAUGAUUAUUAGAUCUGUAGUUCAAUGCUGCAGACAUAUAUGAUUAUUUGAUUUGAUAUGUGGUUCAAUGAUACUGGAUGGAAACAUAUUUGAUUUGGAAUGCAUUAAUUUUGAUGUGCCAAUGAAUUGAUUUAGAUGAUACAAGAUUCAUCUAUAGUAUAAUUUGUUGUUGUUUAGGUAAUUAAUGAAAUUUUAGAUGUUUGUUGGAGAUGUAUGCAUUUAUAGUUGAAGUUGUACCUAAUUAACUACUGCAUUAUGUUAAUAUGUGUAGGAGCUUUGCUACAUUAUCCCAUAAAAUGCUUAGGUACAUAUGAAUUAUUCUUUUGUAGAGGUUUCCUGUAAUUAGAAAGUUUUCCAGAAUAUGUAUUUAUAUUAGCUAUCUUGUUCAGAUUGUGUGCAUGAAAAUGGAAAAUGCAAGUAUGAUCAUAGUUUGGAUAAGCUGAUCAAUGUGUCAUGUGUGCAUAUUAAAAUUUGUAGUUGGCUUCUGUAAUUAGUAGCAAUGGAUGUAUUUUUAUAUUCACUGUACAAUUGCAGAAGGGUGGACUCAAAAACAGUAACAUGGCCUUGAAAUAUUGUCCUUGUACAAAAUUUUAUAAACCAAAUGUUGUCGGCAGGCCUAUUGUCCAGCCUCAUAAAAUUAACCAGGCCAGAGAUUUUCCUCUUGUGAAAAUGAACGUGUAUGUUCAUAACCCAAAUGUUUAAUGUGUAGAUAGCUUAAUAUAUAGUCUAUCAAUUAGUUGUUGAAAUGUACAUACCAUGUGUAACGAGUGCACUUUUUCAAUAUAGAUUGGAGCUUUCCAUCAUUAUGCAAAAAGAAAUUGUUUAGGUAGCUUUAUUUUUUUAUCUGUAGGUUUCAUAUUAAAUUAUUUUGCAUUGGAAAAUAUAUUGACAAUAUUGGUCACUUGCAACAUACCAAUGUGGUUCACAUUCACAAUUUUGUUUGUAAUGACAUUCUUUGAACUGCAAUUCAAUUCAUUGUAAUUGAUGUGCUUGUUUGACAAUAUAGCAGGAGGAGGAUCUUGUGGGAAACAAGAGGAAGUGGGACAAGACUGGGUUCUACCCAUAUGACAGUGAUGAAGAUGAGCCGUACGAGGUAAGGCCUAGUUGAAAUGUUAUUUGUGCAUUGAGUUAGUGUUAGAUGUUUAUAGUAUUUGAAUGCAUAAUGUAUUAGUGUCAGUCAUUAAUGUGUGCAGUAUGAAUCUGGAGAUGAUGUGGUCGAGGGGAACGUCGAGUCCUUUGAAGAGAAGGUGGUGGAGAAGAUCAGGGCCCAAGCAUCUGGUACGUACUACAACUGGAGGACGGACAAGUACCGCUGCCCCUACUGCAUUAGGCCCAAGCACAGGUCUGGGUUGCUGGAGCAUCUGAUGGAACAUUGUCGGGCUACAUCCAUCAGCAGUGAUGAGUACAAGAUCAGGGCUCAGCAUUCUACCCUCCACAAGGUCCUGAGAAACCCUAACAUGUAGUUGUCAUAGACCCUGGUUGACAUAUGAUGGAGGAAGCCUCAGUCAUUUUGGUGAACUUUAUGUGGUAGUCUGAUGGUGGAAACUUGAAGUGGUAAUGUAGUAUGAACUUUAUCUAAGUGUAGUACUGUGAUGUGUGCUCUGAAUUUAUCUAAUGCUAGUGGUUCGAAAUUGGAGGUGUCUGCAUCAGAAAGUGUGUUGUGUGGAUGCUGCUAUUUAUGGUAGUAUUAUAUAUUUCUAUCUAUAUUUGUGUCCCUUAAAUUUGCCAUUAUGGUUCCAUAGAUGUAUGAUUUGUUUGAAUUUACCUGCUACAAUGAUCAGACAUGCUGCAUCAGUGUUGCUUCACUGAUCAGGCAUGCUGCAAACACUUCCCAUGCUGUGGCCAUGUGGAACAUGGUGUGGCAAUGGUGCAAUAAAUUCCGAUGUUGUGGCCAUGUGCAACAUGCUCUGCCCAUAUCAAAAUCGUACCAAAUGUACAACUUUGCGUUAAGUUAAUUAAUGUUGUUUAGUGAAGUAAGUGGAAAUUGUUCAUCCACACAUAUGACAUAUUUCCAUCAUUUGAGUAAGCAAAAAUAGCAAAUACUCCACCAUAUGAUCAAAUAUUCCAAUAACUGAGCACAUAUUCCAUCAUUUCAUCAAAUAAUAUAAAAAAGUAGUUAAAUAUGGUGUGUGUGUGUGUGUGUGCAAAAAACAACAUUUUAAUAAAGUUGUAAUGAUUACUUGUAAUCUGAAGGAGUUUUUUCAUGAAAUGCAAGUUGAUUUUUUGUAAUAUGAAAGAUCUCCUUUUCUUCAAUUUAUAGUGGCUCCGUGAAGCUACAAGUUUUCUUUUACAUGGUGACCCACAUGUGCCAAACAUGGCUAUCAAAGAAAAUUUGGAAAAAAGAAAUUUUACAAUGCCCCCUUGAGGUAUAUACCGAUGUUUGGACCAGUCAGUCUAUAGGGCAGUAUAAAUUCAAAAAAAAAUAAAAAUUAUAUAAAACCUUGGAAACCUAGCUAUAUUUGUGCAAGAGAUCAUGUGUGCAAAAGUUGAGGUGAUUUGGAGGUGGUCGAAAAAAUCACCGCAUUCCGGAGGGACCAUUUGGUCUAACUUAAGCCAGUUUUUGAGCAAAGGCCAUUUUUCCACCACCUUACAUNNNNNNNNNNNNNNNNNNNNNNNNNNNNNNNNNNNNNNNNNNNNNNNNNNNNNNNNNNNNNNNNNNNNNNNNNNNNNNNNNNNNNNNNNNNNNNNNNNNNNNNNNNNNNNNNNNNNNNNNNNNNNNNNNNNNNNNNNNNNNNNNNNNNNNNNNNNNNNNNNNNNNNNNNNNNNNNNNNNNNNNNNNNNNNNNNNNNNNNNNNNNNNNNNNNNNNNNNNNNNNNNNNNNNNNNNNNNNNNNNNNNNNNNNNNNNNNNNNNNNNNNNNNNNNNNNNNNNNNNNNNNNNNNNNNNNNNNNNNNNNNNNNNNNNNNNNNNNNNNNNNNNNNNNNNNNNNNNNNNNNNNNNNNNNNNNNNNNNNNNNNNNNNNNNNNNNNNNNNNNNNNNNNNNNNNNNNNNNNNNNNNNNNNNNNNNNNNNNNNNNNNNNNNNNNNNNNNNNNNNNNNNNNNNNNNNNNNNNNNNNNNNNNNNNNNNNNNNNNNNNNNNNNNNNNNNNNNNNNNNNNNNNNNNNNNNNNNNNNNNNNNNNNNNNNNNNNNNNNNNNNNNNNNNNNNNNNNNNNNNNNNNNNNNNNNNNNNNNNNNNNNNNNNNNNNNNNNNNNNNNNNNNNNNNNNNNNNNNNNNNNNNNNNNNNNNNNNNNNNNNNNNNNNNNNNNNNNNNNNNNNNNNNNNNNNNNNNNNCCCCCUUGAUGUAUAGACCGAUAUUUGGACCAGUCAGUCUAUAGGGCAGUAUAAAUUCAAAAAAAAAAUAUAAAACCUUGGAAACCUAGCUUUGUUUGUGCAAGAGGUCAUGUGUGCAAAAGUUGAGGUGAUUUGGAGGUGGUCGAAAAAAUCACCGCAUUCCGGAGGGACCAUUUGGUCUAACUUAAGCCAGUUUUUGUACAAAGGUGAUUUUUUCCACCGCCUCCAAAUCACCCAAAUUUUCUUGUACAUGGUGACCCACAUGCGCAAAACAUGGCUAUGAAAGAAAAUUUGGAAAAAUAAUAUUUUACAAUGCCCCCUUGAGGUAUAGACCGAUGUUUUGACCAGUCAGUCUAGAGGUCAUUAUAAAUUAAAAAAAUCAAAAAAUAUAAAACCUUGGAAACCUAGCUUUGUUUGUGCAAGAGAUCAUGUGUGCAAAAGUUGAGGUGAUUUGGAGGUGGUCGAAAAAACAGUAGAACACUGCCUCGGCGUGACGCAACGUGCGUUUUGUGUCCGAGUUCGUGCACACCUUGCCUGGGGGGCCACAUUGGCAGCUCCCAAAAGUUGGGGUCAUCUCAUGCAUGCCUCCACAUGCACCAUGUACAAGCCGGACCAUUCGGGUCUGUCGGAGGGCAAGUCUGAAAGAGGUUUUCCUUGUCGGUCACUAGUAGAAAAAGGGCCAUUUGUCCCGGUUCGUAAGGGCCUUCUAUCCCAGUUUAGGAACCGGGACUAAACGGUCGUUACUAAUGCCCUUGGCCUUUAGUCCCGGUUCUUGCACGAACCGGGACAGAUGGGCCUCCAUGUGGCCGCUGCGCCCAGCCCAGGCAGGGGGGCCUUUAGUCCCGGUUGGUGACAUAAACCGGGACCAAAAGGCAUCCACGCGUCAGUAGCUGGCUAGAGCUGAGGUUUUUUUGAAAGGGGCCGGUUUAGGGGUUUUGGGGGUUAAUUUAGGUUGUUAUUAGCUAGCUAAUAGAGUGAAGUGUCCUCUCUUAUAUCUCUAUGCUUCAUUUACCAACGCCACUGCUAUGUUCAUUUCACCCGCUGAUAUAUAAUAACUCUUCAUGCUCGCAUCAUGCAUCAUCAUAUAUAAUAACAAGUCCUACUAAUCAUGCAUCAUCAUACAACUGCUACUCGUUAUUAAUAACAAGUCAUACGAUUAUCAUCCUCAUAGUUAUCGAACCAACCCUACUUAAUUGUUCUUAGCACAUGAUCAUCAGUAUUAGGUAGGACCUAAAUACCCUUAAGGUAAAAUAGCAUAAAACAAUAUAGACCCUGACUCUCCAUUAUGGAGAAUGGAGAUCAUCCUGUCUCCAAUUCUUGCGCUUCGCUUCCUUUUGCUUCCAAGAACCUCCUUACAACUGUCCAUACAUUUUUUCCAUUCUUUGAUUGUCAUGUCUCCACUUCUUUUAGAAAUCCGGUAUGGACAAUUGAGAUUCGUAGGAUGACCUGGUUGUAUGUUCAAAACAUCAAGGCGACCAUGCUGAUACAUCAGAUGAGGCACACAAUCAUUCGGGAUUAUCUGUUGAAAAAGAUAGUAAUAACUUCGUAGUUAGCAAUGAUGUACUAGUUUUAGAAGUAUGCAAAAGAUGCGUCGUAAUAGUAAAAAAUCUUACCAGGGUAUCUCCAUGGUAGUUACCGUAGUUCAACACGUGCACUAGUGGCACGUAUUGACCAUAAUGUCGAGGAGUUCGAUUGUAGAUAUUGUAAUUCUCAAGAUCAGUACAAAAUGCGAUCAGAUGAUUUUUCUCCUGAUAAGUUAAUUCGGAGCCAUCGGUGUAGUGGGUUUUGUCUACCAUCUUCCACACAUUCUUUGAAGAAUGAAAAUAAGCUGUCAAUGGAAAUAAGAUGUCAACUAUUUUGAAAUAAACAAUAUAAAUUACUUAAUAACUAUAUUUGAGAAGCUCACAUAGGGUAAGAAUUGGAAGCGUAUCAACAAGAACCCAAAUGUCCAUAUUGUCUUGCUCGAUUUUAGGAUCACCAGGAUCCAUGGUGACAAGCAUACCCUCAUCAAAACCAUACAUCUUGCAAAGUGCUUCCCAAUUUUUGCAACCAAAGUGGGUUACACUCUCAGAAUUGUACAGCUUUACUUCAAAAUCCACACCAUGAUGGGCCCUUAGGUGAAUUUUCUUUGUUUCCAUACUUUCAUGGUCUUCAAAACCCAUCCUCUCCCAGACAUAGCGUCUUGCAUAGCAUGGGAUAAGCUAGUCGAAUUGGAAAAGAUGAAAUGUACACGUUGAAAUAGUUGAAGUCGUGCUUAAUUACAAAAAAACUCUUGUCGUUGUUGCGUACCAUUUCAACAUCGAAGGUCUCCUCGAGCUUAAUGCUGAAGUGUCGAUCUUCAUCCAGCUCAAGGAACCUGUCGCACAUACCUCGGUCGUCGUGGCACCAGUCGCACUCCCCCGGGCGGUUUUUGUCGUCCGAGUACGACAUUUCCUAUGUUCAUAAUUCAAAUAUUAAACUUGUACAAUUAAAUAUAUGUACUAAAAAACCUAAAUUAGAUCAUUAUUAUUCAUCACGGGUUGACUAUCGGUCUGUCGAGCCUUUUCUUGAAAACUCUCAGCUCAUGUGGUGUACAUAUUCGACUGUCGGUGAUGGUAGUUCCGCCUUUCAUUCCCGAGUGCAUUACAACAAAUUGUCUAGCACACGGGAAUGAAGGAGAAGCUACCCCCACGACAACAGUCGUGAUACUUCGUCGUCUCAUAUAUAUAUAUAUGGUUGGAGACUCUCCCUCACUGAUUCCUCUCUGACAUUUGCGACCGUCGGUGAUGGUAGCUCCUCCUUUCGUUCCCGAGUGCAUUACACCAAAUUGUGUCUAGCACACGGGAACGAAGGAGAAGCUACCCCCACGACAACAGUCGGGAUUCUUCGUCCUCUCAUAUAGGUGGAGACUCGACAGACUUAAAGUCAACCCGAUCGAGGACUCAUAUUAUAGGACUCAUAUUGACAUGGAGAUUUGGCUGGUCUCACCUCGAGGUCGGAGGGGGGUCUGUGACGGGGACGACGGCACGGAUGAUGGAGGGGGCUCCUAGAUUUCUGCAUAGUGCUCUCCAAUUUUAGCAUUCAAAGUAGGAGUACUUUUCCAAUUUGAGCAUUCAAUAAGCAAAAUCAAAUCGUAAAAUAAAUUAGUAUUCAAAUUGGCAUGCAUUCAAUUAUAAGCAAAACUACAUCAUCUCUUGUGUCCGUACAUCGUCGAAUAUUAUCACUAAUACUCCUCGAAUACUAUCAUUUAUAUAGCAUCGCUAAUACAGCUAGAACCGUAGCGCCCGACGGGUAUCGUCGCGGGUGGUGGACACCCAAAGAGAAGGAACCAUCACCGGAUCAUAGCUCCAGUGAGAUCCCUGAAGAACCCGUCAGGUAUUGUCGAACCUGCCCUCCAACGCAAUCAUGUAGCGACAGACGUGCUUGUCUUCCUCGCUGACACAGUGACGUACCACCUCCGCGGUGUCCGGAAGCCUCGGCACCAUCACUGGCCCACGCGACCGCCACCAAACAAGGAUCGGGUCAACAACGGGCUGGCUCCUCGCCAACCUACGCCCCCAAGAAGGUAGCACCUCCCAAUACCAUCCCGGCGGAGCCCAGUCCCGGACAUGGCCCCUCUGAUCAAGCCGGCCUCCUCCGCUGAGUCGACAGCAAGGAUGCGGGAUAGGCAUCAUUGACAUCGAUGCGGGAUUAAUUGCUUGAACUAAAAAAAUAAACUAGUUCUAUUAAUUUUCUUGCUAAAAAUAAAUUACUUCUAUAUAUGGUAAAAUAAAGUAGUUUUAUUAAAUCAACUAGUUCAACUACUAAGCACUUACUAUAAAUAAAUAAAAUAAAGUAGUACUUACUAAAAAUAAACUACUUCUAUGUAUAGCAAAAUUUAAUAAAGUAGUUUUAUUAAAUCAACUAGUUCAACUACUAAGCAUUAACCUAAAAUCGAUAUCGACUAACCUAAAUAAAAAAUUAAUACAUAUAUGAAAAAAAACAUAUAUAAACAAAAAAAUGCUAUGAACAUUAUAUUCAUACAUACAUAGCCACAUCCAUUCAUCAUAUAGCUACCACAUUAUUCAUACAAACAAAAAAAUGCAAUGAGCAAAAAAAACAAUACAGAUUAUAUGAAGAAAAAAAGCACUGAACAGAGCCGUGGCGGCGGCGGCUCACAUCAGGGGCGGCCGGAGAGGGCGACGGCGGGGGCUGUGAGGGCAUCGGUGACGACCACGGUGGGGGCGCGAGCCGGGCAGGGGCGUGGUCGGCGACGGCAGCGACGGUGGGGGCGGGUCGUGGCACAGGGGGGCGCGGUUGGGCGCUAUCGGGGGCGACGGAGGGAGACGGCGUGGGCGAUGAACGGUGUCGGCAUUGGCUCGGGGGCGGCGGACGGCGUCGGUGUGGGCACGGGCGACGGCGAUGGCAGUGGGGCAGCCUGGCGGCGUCGAGGAGGUCAGCGCGUCGCGGGCAACUGGCGAUGGAAAUCUGAAAAUUUCCUAAGUGCUGGCUUAUAUAGCAAAGGCUUUGGUCCCGGUUCGUCGCACCAACCGGGACCAAUGCGCCCUUUAGUCCCGGUUGGUGCCACCAACCGGGAUCAAAGGUCUCUUUUCAGCAGCACAAAGGGCAGGAAGUAGAGGGCUUUGGUCCCAGUCGGUGGCACCAACUGGGACUGAAGGAGGGCAUUGGUACCGGGUGGUGCCACGAACCGGGACCAAAGUUGUGCAUUGGUCCCGGUUCAUGGCACCAAUCGGGACCAAUGUCCUGCUGCCAAAGCCGCGAUGCGGUGGGAUGUUUAGUCCCACCUUGCUAGCCGAGGGGCGGCAGGACCGGUUUAUAAGCCCUGCCCCGCCAGCUCCAUUGAGCUCCUCUCAGCUACAGGCCUCUCGGCCCAAUCUCGCACUGCUCUGCCUGUGGGCCUGCUGGGCCUUCUGCGGGCCUGAAUCCUGUCCCAUGGAUGGGUUUCUAGUUGUAUUCAAGCCAUGUUGGCCUAGUAGGUGGCAUUUUUUAAUUUUUUCCCAGUUUUUUUUUGCUUUAUUUAUUUUAUUUUGUUUCUACUUACAACAAAAUACUUACUGUUGCUAUUUUAUUUAUUUUAGGAAAGUUCUUUUUGCUUAUAAUGUUUUGAACAGAAAAUACUUUGGUAAUUUUAGGUCCAUAAAUUUUAUUUAUGUUAUUAAAGUUCAUUUUAUUUUAUUUUAUUUUGUUUCUACUUAUAUAUUUUAUUAAAGUUUAUUUUAUUUUAUUUCGUUUCUACUUACAUCAUCAAUUUUCAUCCCUUUCUGACUUCAUUUGUUAAUUUUCAUGCAUUUACUGAUUAUUUUGAGCUAUAAGACCCUGAAAUUGGAAAGCAUUUCAAAUGAACUCUGAAAAGGUUGGAAGUUGGCAUGGUAUCAUCAUUUCAUCCACAUAGCAUGUGCAAGAAAGUUGAGAGGGUUACGGCAAAAACUAGAUGCACUUCAUGUACAAAACGGACAAUCUCUUUCAAAGUAUCAGGAUUUCAACGGAAACUCGUCUGUUACAAAGGGAUUUCAUUUUUUAUAACUUAUUUGAACUCCUGACUCUUUGUGUGCUCAAAAUGCACCAUUCAAAGCCACAUCAUCAAUUUUCAACCCUUUCUGACUUCAUUUGUUAUUUUUCAUGCAUUUACUGAUUAUUUUGAGCUAUAAGACNNNNNNNNNNNNNNNNNNNNNNNNNNNNNNNNNNNNNNNNNNNNNNNNNNNNNNNNNNNNNNNNNNNNNNNNNNNNNNNNNNNNNNNNNNNNNNNNNNNNNNNNNNNNNNNNNNNNNNNNNNNNNNNNNNNNNNNNNNNNNNNNNNNNNNNNNNNNNNNNNNNNNNNNNNNNNNNNNNNNNNNNNNNNNNNNNNNNNNNNNNNNNNNNNNNNNNNNNNNNNNNNNNNNNNNNNNNGAGAGGGUUACGGCAAAAACUGGAUGCACUUCGUGUACAAAACGGACAAUCAAUUUUGAAGUAUCAGGAUUUCAUACGAAAACUUGUCUGUUACAAAGGGAUUUCAUUUUUUAAACUUAUUUGAACUCCUGACUUUUUGUGUGUUCAAAAUGCACCAUUCAAAGCCACAUCAUCAAUUUUCAACCCUUUCUGACUUCAUUUGUUAUUUUCAUGCAUUUACUGAUUAUUUUGAGCUAUAAGACCCUAAAAUUGAAAAGCAGUUCAAAUGAACUCUGAAAAGGUUGAAAGUUGGCAUGGUAUGAUCAUUUCAUCCACAUAGCAUGUGCAAGAAAGUUGAGAGGGUUAUGGCAAAAACUGGAUGCACUUCAUGUACAAAACGGACAAUCUCUUUCGAAGUAUCAGGAUUUCAUACGGAAACUUGUCUCUUACAACAGGCAUUUCAAAUGAACUACGAAAAGGUUGAAAGUUGGCAUGGUAUCAUCAUAAUAGUUGUGGAGAAAUUCUUCACUUUUUCUUCGCUCGUGUCCUUUCCUUAUUGCGCCGUAACCAUGGAUAAUCUUCAUUAUUUAUCAGGAUGCUUGGGUCAGCCUUGACUUUGAAGGGAGGAAUUUCAUGGAACUUUUCAUAAUCUUCGGACAUGUCUGUCUUGCCCUCCACUCCCACGAUGUCCCUUUUUCCUGAAGGAACUAUGUGGUGCUUUGGCUCAUCGUAUGAUGUAUUCGCUUCCUUAUCUUUUCUUUUUUCUCGGUUUGGUAGACAUGUCCUUCACAUAGAUAACCUAUGCCACAUCAUUGGCUUGGACGAAUGGUUCGUUAGUGUACCCAAGAUUGUUCAGAUCAACUGUUGUCAUUCCGUAUUGUGGGUCUAACUGUACCCCGCCUCCUGACAGAUUGACCCAUUUGAAUUUAAACCAAGGGACCUUAAAAUCUACUCUGUAGUCAAGUUCCCAUAUGUCCACUAUGUAACCAUAAUAUGUGUCCUUUCCCCUCUCUGUUGCUGCAUCAAAGCGGACAUCGCUGUUUUGGUUUGUGCUCUUUUGAUCUUGGGCGAUCAUGUAAAAUGUAUUCCCAUUUAUCUCAUAUUCUUUGUAAGUCAAUACAGUUGAAGAUGGUCCCCUGGACAACGAGUACAGCUCAUCACAAAUAGUGUUGUCACCUGUGAGACGUGUUUCCAACCAACUGCUGAAAGUCCUGAUGUGUUCACAUGUAAUCCAAUCGUUGCACUGUUCUUGUGUUCAUCAACGUACGGGGUCACCAAGGUAGAGUUCUGUAGAAUAUCCGUCCCUGCAUAUUAUUGAGUCCCCUCCAAGCGUGCCUUUUCCAGUCAGUCUCCCCUCAUACCGCGAUUCAAGGAGACCUAUCUUCUGAAGGCCAGGAAUGAAGUCAACACAAAACCCAAUGACAUCCUCUGUUUGAUGGCCCAUGGAGAUGCUUCCUUCUAGCCUAGCGCGGUUACGGACAUAUUUCUUUAGGACUCCCAUGAACCUCUCAAAGGGGUACAUAUUGUGUAGAAAUACGUGGUCCAGAAUGACAAUCUCGUCAACUAGAUGAACUAGGACGUGUGUCAUGAACUAGGAAGUGCAUUAUAUAUAAUUAUGUGUGUCAAAAGUAAGAAAAUCAGACAAGUAUCUAUCUAAAGUAAGAAAAUUAGAGAAGUAUCUAUCUAAAGUAAGAAAAUCAUAAAGAAGAUAAGAACAAGAGGCUCACCAUGGUGGUGUCGGCGACGAGAUCGGCGUGGGCGAUCAACGGAGGCGAAAAUGGGGACGGGGCAUGAUGGACCGCUAAAUCUAGACAAAUCUCGGGAAAAAUGGAGCUCCAAGGUCGAGCUUCGAGAGGAGAAAGCUUAACUACUGUGGCUCAGGCAUUUCACCUCAUGUGCAUAGGAGGUGAGCUAGAGCACCCAAAUGCCCUCCCCUCGCCGGCCAGAAAAACAGAGCACUUUGGACUGCUCUGUCACGGUGAUGGGUAUAUAUAGGCAAAAUAUUUAUCCCGGCUUGUGGCAGGAACCAGGACUAAAUUUACCCUACUAUACCGGUUCAGGGAAGGAACAGGUACCAAUGGCUGUGGGCCACGAGCGCGGUCCAUUGGUCCCGGUUCGUGCCUAGAACCGGGACAAAUGGAUCCAGACGAACCGGGACCAAUGCCCACGAGGCCCCGGCCGCCCCCCCUGGGCUCAUGAACCGGGUCUAAUGCCCCCCAUGGGUCCCGGUUCGUGAAGAACCGGGACUAAUGGGCUGGCCAGGCCCGAACCAAAGUCAUGUUUUCUACUAGUGGGUCCGACCAAAUGAUCCCAAACUUUAUGCACACCCUACCAUGACCAUGGCAUGCAUGUGGGAGGAGAAUUCAUACACCACGGCCUCAUUUUUCUUGAAAUCCCAUUAAUAGCCAUGUGUAUUACAUGUAAGUGAGCAUGUGUAAAAUUUAUUAGGUGAUUGGAAGGUCAAAACAUGAACUUGUCAUAUAUGCAAAAAAAUGUGUAUUGAAUGCAAGUGAGCAUGUGUAUAAUUUAGUGUGUGAUUUGAAGAUCAAAACACAUGACAAUAUGCCAAAAAAAGUGCCCACCUACCAGAGCAGGAGAAUUCAUAGACCACGGCCUGCAUACGACUAGGAACCCAGCCGUUCAUGGGCCAGGAUGCAGGCUUGUGGUGCAGAAUAUCUCUGCUGCUAGUAGGCCCCAUGGGGCAGAGGGGACGAGAGUUAGGCAAUAUACUGUCUGCAUAUGAUAGGAGCUUGGGAGGGGAGUCGCAGCCGGGUAUAUAAACCGGUGCAGCGCUCUGUCGCUUGGUGAGGUGGGAGUAAACUCCCACCACCCGACGGUUGUGUGUUGUGCUGUACCCUGCGCAGCUCUCCUUGGGCCCAAUUCGGGUGGGCUGGCCCAGGGCAGCCUUACCCGCGGCGCGCUGAUCUGUUUUAUAAAUUACGUUCUUUUUCACUUCUUAACUCCAAAAUUUAUUUUCUUUUUUAUAUUUCUAAUACUUAAAAUCAAAUCUCUUUUUUUCUAUAUUAUUUCUAACAGUGUUUACUAAAAUUUAAAAAUAUGCCAAAUUAUGUUGUGUUUUAUUUCAUUUGUUCGUCCUCUUUUUUAUAUUGAUAAUAUUUGUGAAAUAUAAACUAAGAUGGUGUGUUUUAUUUCAAUUCUUCAUUCUAAUAUUUCUUAUCUUUAUUAUAUUUGAAAUAUUUUUUGUUUGUAAGAUAAAAUGUUCUGUUUUAUUUCACUUCUUCAUUCUAAUAUUUGUUCUCUUCUUUAUAUUUGAAAUAUUUUCAAAAUGUAAGAUAAUAUGUUAUCUUUUAUUUCACUUCUUCAUUCUAAUAGAUCUUAUCUUUUUUACAUUUGAAUUAUUUUUUAAAUGUAAGAUAAUAUGUUGUCCUUCCUAAUUAUAAAUUUUCUUUUUUGUUCGAUACUUGAAAUAUUAUUAAAUCAAAUCUAGUUGGGACAACGCAUGCAUGCCUCCACAUGCACCAUGUACUACAAGCAGGUUUACCUUGCCGGUCCCACCAAAUGAUCCCAAACUUUAUGCAUACCCAAGGAUGACCAUGACAUGCAUGCAUAACAAGUAUCGUUCAUUUCCGACACUCGAUGCAUUUUCUAUGGUUUUUCCGGUGACAAAACCCUACAACACUGCUCCCACUUGACGCAACAUGCGUUUUGUGUCCGAAUUUGUGCACACCUUGCCUGGGGGACCACAUUGGCCAUGCCCACAUGGUCCCAAAAGUUGGGGUCAUCUCAUGCAUGCUUCCACAUGCACCAUGUACAAGCAGGACCCUUCGGGUCUGCGGGAGGGCAGGUCUAAAAGUGGUUUUCCUUCGCGGUCCCACCAAAUGAUCCCAAACUUUAUGCAUACCCAAGGAUGAUCAUGGCAUGCAUGCAUGACNNNNNNNNNNNNNNNNNNNNNNNNNNNNNNNNNNNNNNNNNNNNNNNNNNNNNNNNNNNNNNNNNNNNNNNNNNNNNNNNNNNNNNNNNNNNNNNNNNNNNNNNNNNNNNNNNNNNNNNNNNNNNNNNNNNNNNNNNNNNNNNNNNNNNNNNNNNNNNNNNNNNNNNNNNNNNNNNNNNNNNNNNNNNNNNNNNNNNNNNNNNNNNNNNNNNNNNNNNNNNNNNNNNNNNNNNNNNNNNNNNNNNNNNNNNNNNNNNNNNNNNNNNNNNNNNNNNNNNNNNNNNNNNNNNNNNNNNNNNNNNNNNNNNNNNNNNNNNGGCAGGUCUGAAAGUGGUUUUCCUUGCCGGUCACACCAAAUGAUCCCAAACUUUAUGCAUACCCAAGGAUGAUCAUGGGAUGCAUGCAUGACAAGUAUCGUUCAUUUCCGACACUCUAUGCAUUUUCUAGGGUUUUUUGGCGACAAAACCCUACAAUACUGCCCCCACGUGACGCAACGUGUGUUUUGUGUCCGAAUUUGUGCACACCUUGCCUGGGGGACCACAUUGCCCAUGCCCACAUGGUCCCAAAAGUUGGGGUCAUCUCAUGCAUGCCUCCACAUGCACCAUGUACAAGCAUGACCAUUCGGGUCUGCCAGAGGGCAGAUCUGAAAGUGGUUUUCGUUGCCGGUCCCACCAAUUAGGAAGUCAUAAAUAGGACAAUAUUUAAUCAUACAUAUUUGAAAUGAAAUUGAAAACUAUGAGAAGAAGUGAUAUGGAAUUAUGAAACAUGAAAAAACAAUUAGGAAUAAGAAGGAGAAAACAUAAAAUAACAGGAAAACCAAAUUAAAAGGGAAAGAGGAACAAUACAUUUGAAUAUAUAAUAUUGCAGAAAUGAUAGAGAUACUAUAAAUAUUGUUGAACAUAUACAAGUAUACAAUAACUAAUAGGUGUCACAAAUAUUUUUAUGAGGGAAGAACCAAUGAUAUUUAUUUCGAGGGAAGAAACAAUGUAGAGGUAGGUGGGCCGGCCCAGAACGCAAAUAACUAUCGGAUCCAUAUUGUGGGGGCCCACCACGCUGCGCUUUCCAUGCACGUCGAUCACGGGAGUAGUUGUCGUUCUGUUACACAAUUCCGUGAUCAUGCUAAUCCAUAUGUUCCUAAUCCCUACGAUUGAGGAGCACGUUCAGCCUCGCUUCAACAAUGGAAAAUAUAGAUCGCGAGAUUGGCUACAGGGAAGUUACGACGACCUAGGAGUCGACCUCGUAUAUAAUCUCCACCUCCUCACACAUGUCGCCGACUAGAUUGCCUCCUGCCAGCGAGUCGUCGACAGCUCCGUCCACCGCAUCCCACACGCGACAAAAACCCCGAGAAGAUCAAGGUCGUCCGCACGUGCUGGCCGCCCUCAACGAACUACGUCGACAACGCAUCGCCGACUUCUUUCAUAUUCGUCGACCCAUCAAGUAAGUUGUCCUCCUUACCUCGCGACUUCAUAGCAAGCUAGUUCCUCCGUCUCGUUGCUUUGAUGGACUUAGGUUUACCACAUAUUUUCAACUAGUAUCAACUCGACUAGAUGCGUUCUGAUCAGAUGGCGUACAUGAACUAAAUCUUUGGUUCUUUCAUAGCAUGGAAGAAUAAGAUGUUGUUUCUCAAGAAACAUGAUGCAAUAGAUUUUUUGUCACAUGAUCCAAUUAUAUUUUUGUCACACGAUCCUAUUAUAUUAUUGUGCACAUAGAACAUUAAAGAGUUAUAAGCAUUAGAUGUUGAUGAACCUCAAAUAGGUACCAUUGCUAUACACCGUAGUUAUUUACAGCUAAUCAAUUUGUCACCCUGUUAAUAAUUUAUCUGAUACUCAAAGAACUUGAUCAGAUGGAAGUAAAUUCAAUUACCAAUUGUAGUUAUUUUUUAUUGCCUCAUAUCAGCACACACUUGGCUGCAUGUUGCUGUAUACAUGGUGCUAGUUUUAUAUUUGCAUUAGUGUUAUUUUUGCAUUUUUGUUAGCUACUGCCAGAAAGUUUUAUAUUUUUGCAUGUCUAUUGUUAUUUUUGCAUUAGUGUUCGCUAAUGUCACGAAAUUUUAUGUUUUCUUUCAACAGGAUGGAUGAGAUGAAUGGAGAAAUAGUGUGCACCGUUGAAAAAUGGUGCAAGCUUGUUGCCGCUCUAUCGAGUGGUCAACGCGCUAGAGUGGCUGAUACAACAUUGCGCAACAUGCUGCAGAUACCAUCUAUUAAGAUGCGUACCCUAUUGAUUAGGUAUAUGAUUGAGAAUUUUUGAUGCCAGCAAGUCCAGAUUCAUUAUACAAGAGCAGGUUGGGGAGAUGACUCUCGGUGCGGUCGACGUCAAGUGCAUCUUUAACCUCGAGAACCAAGGACUCUCCGCUUCGGACAUUCUGAUUGAAGAAGGCGAGGACAUGAAGGAGCGGGUGACGCCACAAUUUCUCAGUAAGACAUCUGAAAACAUAGUGAUAGAUAAUCUCAUUGAGGACAUAAUUAAAAGCAAAGCCACCGACGACGAUUUCCUUCGAAAUUAGUCCUUGUCCUGUUAGGAACAAUUAUUGCUCCCAUGUCGAGCAAGAUUGUGCCAAAGUAGUACUACGCUUUGGUCCAUGAUGUGAAACGUAUUUCAAAGAUUAACUGGAAUGCGUUCAUCCUGUGUGUUCUCCUCGAUUGCCUUCGCAAAUUCAAGAAAGGCAAACACCUCCUCAAGUGGCCGAAAGGCAAUUUGGCUCUGUUGCAGGUACACAUAUGAGACCUGUUGCAUAAUGUCAAUUAUUAUAUCAUUGCUAUUUUAUGUGAUGUAUUAUACUAACUCUAAACCCUUAUUUUUUUUGUAGUACUUGUACUGGGAGAAGGUGCAACCUGUUGAAGGCGAUUGCGCCUAUAAUCCCAACUUGUGCAUACAACCUCUUAUGAGGAAUUGGACCGAAGGUGCAGCCACUAGGAGAUAUCGGUUUGACUAUGACAAUGGGCGCGGCCGUGAUAAUGUCAAGGUAAGUCAUUAUGUUCUUACUUUGUUAAAUGUUUUGUAACUAAAUAAUAUUUAUUUUUAAUUCAUCACAUGUACUUCAAUAUCACAUGCAGAUCGAAAAUAAUAUCACCCAAGAGUAUAGGGCGCAGGAGCCCAAAAUCCCAAAUAAUGUGCCUACCAUGGAGCCAAAAACCAAGCCUGCAAAUGGAAAUGGAAAGAAGUCGAUGACAGCCCCAAUGCCGGAAGAUUUGAUGGAGCUUAUAAUGAAGCGGUGCAUGGACUUCAUACACACCUAGAUGAGGCAAAUCCCUGAUCAAGUUGCUGAGGUGUCAUACCCUAACUUUAUAGUUUACAGAUUGUUUCCUGUUUUAAACCAUGCAAGCAUUACUAACUUUAUAUUUCUAUUGGAGAGGUUGUUGGAGAAGUUGAACAAAUCAGGUGUCAUGUACUAGCCAGCUGUUGUCGUGCCAUCCGUGGACAAUGAUGUGGAUCAAGAACUGAAUUCGUUCGAGAACGGUCCAUAUGAAAAGAAGGAAUUCAUGUACAAGGAUGACAUAGAAUCACACGGAGAGCCUGUCAUUGACAUGACGCAGCCUGAUGAAGUGGUUCCCAACCAUAAAACCGUACCUGAGGUACUAUGUAUAUAUAUUUCUGUCUAUAAUUUUCUCCUUUAAUUUUUUUAUGUGCUGAAAUGUUCACAUGAUUUUGUUGGCCAAACAGAAAACCCCACCGAAGAUGAAUGGACACAAGGAAGCUUCACCUAUUAAGCGUAAUGAUGAAUGUGGCACUACACCUGAAAACCCUUGGGUCGUUGGUAAUUCUACUCAAGCACCUUCAUCGGACAUAGACAUUUGUCCAUCUUCUGUCAGCAAGUUCAUGGCUAAGGCGAAUGGAAAAAGGGUGCAACAAUCGAUAAGGAUGAGGAAGUUAUGUCCGGUAAGCGGAAGCGGACCAUUCCCAAGAAAUUUUAAUCCCCCUACGCACUUGACAAGCCCAGCAGGUGUACCAACCGUGGUCAGAAACCCUACGGUACCCGUUCUGCUAGUAGAGGUAUCGUAACUAACUUUCUGAAGUUGUUAUAUACUACGAAUGCAUAUGAUCACCAUUGUUGACGUUCAUAUUAUUUCAUGCAGCUCUGUUUUCUGAAAAUGAUGAGCCGGAGGUUGUGGCAGAUGAGUUGACACCGGAAAUAAUUGAUGCAACUGUUUAAUUUGUUGAGUUAGCUGCUAGCACCGAGAAGAAUAAGGGGAAGAAAGUUUACUACAGUGAAGGGCGUGGCAUAUCUCUGACUUUCGAAAGGAUUUGACCGGUACUAACUCAUAGAUGGCUGUCGAACGAUGUAAGUACUACUUGAAUGACCUGUUAUUAACAUUCUCAAUAAUCUAUGUCUCAACUUUCAACAUGUAAUGCCCUCAUAUUCUAUGAAGGUUAUUAAUGCUUAUAUGGGACAUUUGGAGCUGCCCUCAUAUUCUAUGAAGGUUACCUCUGUCCAACGUGGAGGUCCAAAUUCCUUGUAGAUCUUGCUAUCGCACGAGACGAUCCAUUGUCGUCGAGCUGCAACAUGGAUAGUGCUCUGUCCAAAGCUGAAGCAGUUAAUAGAGUCAUGCAAGAGUAUACUGUGCGUGAUAAGGUACGUUAUGUUUGUAAUUCUUCACUACAGGGCAUUUCAUCAAGUAUUUCGUUUGAUCCAUAAUGGUUUUUUGCACUGUACACAUAUAUCGCGUUGAAUAUCGACAAUGCCCACUGGAUGACCGUGGUUAUGCACUUGAUCAAGAAAAAAUUCCAAGUUCUCGAUUCACUCUAUCCUCUGGACCUGACAGAAAAGACUAUGAAAGCAUUGGUAAUAUAACCAACAUUUGUACCAUUGGUCUUACAUGUUGUUUAUGAUUCUUCUUUAACACUAUCCUCUUUAUAGCGAAUGGCUAUAGCACACGAAAUGCACCAAGCAAAUCUUGUUACACCAGGGAAAUAUCCGGACGUAAGAAAGUGGCCUAUCAAGGAGUAUGACAUGCCCCAGCAAGAGGAUGGGUGAGUUAGUAGGACAUCAUGCACAUUCAAACAACAACACACAUGUUCGUAUUGCCCACCGCUAAUGUUUGCAUAUAUAUCAGGAACUCUUGUGGCCUGUUUGUCACAGAAUGUCUAGAACAUUGGGAUGGGGACUGAAUGACCCGUGAUUUUUCACAGGUAUGCUGUUUUUUAGGUUUGUAGACUAGCUAGUAUGGUUGUCUAGCAAGUUCGGUUCAUGUAACCUUUAUGUCAUUUUUUGCAGACCACCAUUAAUGCAAGAAGAAGAAGUUUCUUCGCCGAGUUGAUUAUGUCACCUUCGAACACGAUGCACUGUGUGAAGAACAAAAUUCGCGAAAUCGCAAGGAAAAGGCGCGCCUGAAGAUUUCAUGCGGCAUGCAAGAGUCAAGUUUUAGUGGUUUGGAUUAAGUCCGGUCGAAGGUUUCGAUGGCAUGAUUAUCUUUGGGUUUCUAUCAUUUUUAUGUAAUAAACAGGGCAUCUCGAAUAUUGUGACACAUACAUGUGUAUGUGUUUGUCAGAUAAUAGGCUCGUACCAGACAAUUUGGUCAUACAAUUCGCUCGGAGAAGACAAUUUGGUCGUACCAAUAAAGUUUUGGCUUCACUUAUCAAUUGUUCUUGCUUAAUAUUUUUCUCGUUCUCCAAUUUUUUAUAAUUGUAUUUAUCACAUUAAUAGUAUUCGCAUUCUAUUUUUCUCUUCAACUGCUCUAGAAGUUUCAUAUUAAAAUUUUCACAUUCUUUAUUUUUUCUAAAACUCUAUCAAGCUUAGCCUUCUGCCUUAGCUAUCUGCAUGUCAUCAUCUUGCGUAAUCGCCUGGUAAUUCCCCCUCAUCACAUCAUUAUGAAAAGUAGUCAUGUUAGCUAAGUAAAUAUAUCGAGCCAAAACGUAUUACACAGAUGAAAAUUAGUCAUGUCAGCUCAUUGGCUCUAUCGCAUGUUAUCAGGCAUCAUGUUUUUCUAUUUUGUUUUACAAACCUAUCGUUUUUUUAUUGUACAUAUAAUUAACUUUUUCUGUACUCACCAUGAUGUCAGGCAGGGCCCAUCUAACCACAUGAGGGGCCCCACAGGCGGGCUAUCAUGCCAACAGCGCUACACAAGCCCAUUUUGCCAGGUUCACAUUGAUCUUUCCCCUUUUCUCGUUUCCCUUCCAAAUCCCUAGCCCUCUCUCUCCAUUUGUGCCUCCAAAUCUCGACGGCGAAAGCAUGACAGCGAGUUGGGCGUCGGGCGGUGGCGGCUGCGGCGAGAAGAGCGGUGGCGACCGCAAGUUAGGUCAAACCCUGAGUCCUAGAAGCAGGUGGGCGGAUUCAGUGGAACAGGAGGCAGCGGCGGCGGAUCGAGUGGAACAGGGGAUGGGGGUUUCGUGGGCGGCGGCGGGCCGGGAGAACCCACGGCUAGGGUUUAUUCAGUGCUACACUUUGGUGGCAAAAAGGUAAGUUCUUUACCGUUGUUCUUUACAUCCCAGCAUUGUCGCCCACAAUUCAUGACCUGUGGCCCUGACAAGCUCCAUCUAUUUGGUCAUCAGGAAACUCCUGGUGGCUGUGUCUGCAUAGAUGCAAACAAUUUUGGUAGCACAUUAGUGGGAUGUGUGUUUGAGGUUACACUACUAGGGAAAAGCCAAUACACAGAAUCUUACCAGCAGCGCUCCCUAAAAUACCACGCUACUGCUAUUUAGCAGCAGCGCGUGUUAGAGAAACGCGCUGCUGACAGGAAAAUAGCAAUAGCGCGGCCACCGCAAACCGCGCUGCUGCUAUAAUUGCCAUGACCUCGCCCCCUCGCUAGUUAUAGCAGUAGCGCACUUUAUUGAACAGCGCUACUGCUAUAGAAGUUAGCAGCAGCGCACUUAUGGGAAAACCAUUACUGCUAAGAUCAACCCACAAGUUUAGUCCCACCUCGCUCCGUGAACAGGGUGUUUACCACCUUAAAUAUGUUAUUUCUAAAACUACCACAACUAGUUGGUCUUCACUGAACUCUAUGUGUAAAUUUGUGGACGCAAUAUGAGUCCUCUCCGGUUCCUACCGGAUAGGACUCAUAUUGACAAUUCAGAUUGUACACAAAAAUAUCAUUGAUGGCCAAUGUAUUUUUGCAUUGACGUAUUUUUUGUAUAGUUACACUUAGCAGUAGCGGUUUAUGUGCAACGCGCUACUGCUAUUCUGAUUAUCUGUAGCGCGUUUCGGCAAACGCGCUACAACUAUACCUACCUUAUCCCCACGCACACGACCGGCGCCCUCACUCACACUCUCACUCUCGCCCCCCGUGCCAAUAACCGUCGUCGUGCGUCGUCGCCGCCACCACCUUCGUCCGUCCGCCGCCGAGGUACUCCCCUCCUUCCGUCCCUCCUCCCUCCUGCUCGCACAUCCUCCCUCCGCCUGCGGCCGCCCCUCCCUCCUCCGCCGCCGCCCUCCUCCCUCCGCCUGCGGCCGCCCUCUCCCUCCACCGGCAGCCCUCCUCCCGCCGCCCUCGACCUCGCCGCCCCUAGCUACCUCUCCGUCGCCCCCACCCCCUGCCACUAGUUAGUACUAGAUUUAGCAGUUGUAGAUGUUAAUUUAGGGUUCAUAGCUAGUACUAGAUGUUAAUUUAGUUAGUACUAGAUUUUUAGUAGUAGUAGAUGUUAAUUUAGGGUUCAUAACUAGUUUAGUAAGUAAAUUAAUAAACUAGUUAAAGUAGUUGAAUUAAUAAAACUAAUGUAUUUUUAGUAAGAUGAUUAAUAUAACUAGUUGAACUACUUUAUUUUUAGAAACAACUAGUUUUUUUCUAUUUAUAGUAAGUUUAUAUUUAGUAAGAACUAGUUGAAUUAAUAAAACUAGUUGAACAUGUCAUAUUUGUUGUUAUUUUUUAGUUUAAGCAAUUAUUCGGGAUGUAUUAGUGAUAACUUAUAUGGUUUCAGGUGACCACCGCCGUCCCCGUCACCGACCCCCUCCGACAUCCCCGCCGUCGUCCCCGUCACCGACCCCCUCCGACAUCCCCGCCGUCGUCCCAUUCAGCGACCCCCUCCGACAUCAAGGUGAGACCAGCCAAAUAUCCUUGUAUAUCUUUUGUUGUUCCUCAAAUAGGAUAUGUGGUUGCCCAAGUGGCCCUUCAUGUUCAGUUUACAUCUCCGAGUGGCCUAUGUUUUGCCGGAGUGUUGAUUAAUUUCCGUUCUGGUAAGGCGCUCGAUAUGUCCUUUUAUAGCAAAGGUCAUGCUGGAUUUUUUCGUGAAUUCUGGCAUGACUUGUGCUAGAAUAUGUACAAGUUUAAUCUUUGAAUUAUGAACGUAGGAAAUGUCGUACUCGGACAACGACAGUCUCUCGGGGGAGUGUAGCUGGUGCCACGAUGAUCGAGGUAUGUGCGACAGGUUCGUUCGGCUGGACGAAGAUCGGCGCUUCAGCAUUAAGCUCGAGGAGACCUUCGAUUGUGAAAUGGUACGCAACAACGACAAGUGUUUUUUUCAUAAUUAAGCAUGACUUCAACUAUUUCAACGUCUAAUUUUCAUAUUUUACAAUUCGACUAGCUUAUCCCAUGCCAUGCAAGAUGCUAUGUCUUGGAGAGGAUGGGUUUUGAAGACCAUGAAAAUUUCAAAACAAAGAAAAUACACCUAAGGACCCAUCAUGAUAUGGAUUUUGAAGUAAAUCUGUGCAAUGCUCAGAGCGUAACCCAUUUUGGUUGCCAAAAUUGGGAAGCACUUUGCAAAAUUAUGGUUUUUAUGAGGGUAUGAUUGUCACCAUGGAUCUUGGUGAUCCUGACAUAGAGCAAGACAAUAUGGACAUUUGGGUCCUUGUUGACACGCUUCUGAUUGUACCGCUAUGUGAGUUUCUCAAACAUAGUUAUUAACUAAUUUAUAGUGUUUAUUUCAAAAUAGUUGAUAGCUUAUUUCCAUUGACAGCUUAUUUUGAUUCUUCAAAGACUGUGCGGAAGAUGGUAGAUAAAACCCACUACACCGAUGGUACCGAGUUAACGUAUAAGGAGAAAAAUCAUCUGAUCGCAUUUUGUACUCUUCUUGAGAAUUACAAUAACUAUUAUCAAACUCCUCCAAAUUAUGGUGAAUACGUGCCACUAGUGGAUGUGUUGAACCACGGUAACUUCUCUGGAGAUACCCUGGUAAGAUUUUUUACUAUUACGACAUUUGUGCAUCUUUUGCAUACUUCUAAAACUAGUACAUCAUUGCUAACUACGAAGUUAUUAUUAUGUUUUUCAACAGAAACUCCCGAUGGAUUGUGUGCCUCAUCUGAUGUCUCUGCAUGGUCGCCUCUCAGUUCUGAACAUACUGCCAGGUAAAUCUACGGAGCUCACCUGUGCAUAUCGGAUUUCUAAAACCCGUGAACACAUGUUCAUCAAAGAAUGGAAGAAAUGUAUGGACAUUCGCAAGGAGGUUCUUGGAAGUAACAUUCAGCGAAAGGCAAGAAUUGGAGAUAGGCUAAUCUCCAUUCUCCAUAAUGGAGAGUCAGGGCCUAUCUUGUUUUUUGCUAUUUUACCUUAGAAAAUGUAGUAGGUCUUAAUCAAAUGUAAUAGGUCCUAUGAGGUACAAUAUGUUUAUUAUGUGGUAAUGUGUUAGAGUUGAUAAUGAUGAUCUUGAGGAGGUGUUAUGUGAUGUCAAUGAUGAAAACGAUGAUCAUGAGGAGGUGUUAUAUGACAAUGAUGUAUUAUGAUGAUAAGUUGUUAAUGAUAUGAUGAUGAUGAUGAUAUCAUUAUAUCAUUGGGUGAAAGAACCGCGGAUUAGUUUCAAGUGGAUGGACAUCCACUUGAAACUAAUCCGCGGUUCUUUCCCCCCGUGAUGUAAUAACUCAUUAUGAUGUAAAAACAAUCUCUGAAUUCCUGUUGUAUGAAAACUUGUGUAAAGGUGUAUGAAUACAACAUGAAAUAAAAAAGAAACAAAAUACUAAAUAAUAGUAGUAGCGCGGGAAAGGAGAAGAGCUACUACUAAUUACCAGUAGCGCGGUUCUGAAGAAGCGCUACUACCAAGUCAAUUUAUCAGUAGCGUGGGUCCAGGCGCGCUAUUGCUAAGCAUUAGCUGUAGCACCUUAUCAGUAGCACUCCUGCCCGCGCUAUUGAUAGGCCUAAAACCCGCGCUGCUGCUAGGCUUUUCCCUAGUAGUGUUAGUCUACUGAGCAUGAUGUUCAAACUAGUACUGCUAUUACGGUCAAGCUGCAAAAAAGUUCAAUGUUUAACGCUUGCAGUGACAAGUUCAGUUAUAAAUUGACUUGAAUUGCUCAUGAUUUAUUUAGGAUGAUAUCACUUCUGAGUAUGUUGAAUGGGUUGAUGGGGAGUGGGAUAGCAAAGCAAUGUCAGUCAUUAAGUAUCUUGCCAUGAAGAACAAGAAACUGGAGACUAAGAUUACAGAAUAUGAAGCUGAAAUUAAAAGGAAUGAGAAAGAAAAGAGGGCAAUGGUUAAGAUGCACAAGGAAAUAUUGCUCUAUAGGGAUAGGAUUUUAGGAUUUGGAGGUCUUCUGUAUCUUGGCCAUCUUGCCAUUAUGAUUGCUAUCAUAGUUAGCAAGUAGAUUGUUCAUAAAGUUAUUAACAUCAUUGCAAUUGACAUGAUGAAAUGCUGAUUAAUUAUUUGCUAUUCAGUUUAUGGGCAAGGUGUACCAGAGAUUGCAGCAGAAAUAACAUGGGGCCAUCAUGUUUGGUAGACAAUGCACUUUUGGCAUGUUCUAUAUUUGGCAGACAAUGCACUUUUGGCAUGUUCUAUAUUUGGUAAGUGAUGCACAUGGGCACAUUACUGAUUUGUGCAGCAGCCUAGUUCAUUGUCUUGUUGCAACAUAGGAGCAACAUCUAGCAGCACCUACACCUUUGAUGCAACACUGAAGCAAAGCAACAAUACAUAUUCAAUAUUCUGAAAUUUAACGGAACUUGACACUUAGGGUGAGCAGUAGAUAUUCAGUUCUUCAGCCACAAAGAACCCGACCAAACCGUACCGAUUGCAUAACUUAUGUGCUUACAUAUAAAAGCAUACCUAACCAACAUCAAACCCAAAAUAAUGUGAACUUAUAUGCUGAAACAUAUAACAGCAUACCUAACUUAAGAUAACCAGCAGCUUCCUCCUCCUUCAGCAACUGUGCCCGUCUUCACUUCUUCAGAAAUUUGAGGCGGCAUGAGCGGCGCACCACACACGGAGAAGCCUUCUUCUUGACCAUCGUCCUGUUCGGCAGCUGCACCACCGGAUCCUGAGCCACCUCCUCUUCUUCCACCUUCACUAUGUCUGGGUGGAGGGGAAGGAGCUCGACGUCGAUGGGCAUUGUCUUGCCACCCUCGAUGGCGACCGGCGCUACCAUCUGCACGGCGUCCUCCUCGCCCUCCUCAUGGUCAUCAGGGAUGACCAGUACCUCGUCCAUGUCGUCCUCCACGAUGUCAGAGCCCAAUGGAAGGACUGGCUUCGGCACGUGGCAGACCUGGUAGUCCAGGAUGAUGGGCGCAGGGAGAGCGAGCUCGACGUCAACGCGCCCCGCCCUUGACGCGACGCGUGCUGGAUCUGGCUGCAGCUUCAUGGUGGUGGAGUGGUACAUCCACCACCUUGCACGUUGAACAGGGGAGUCGCUCAGCGUGGCCUCUCGCAUUGCCCGGACGAGGAGGAGAGCUGGAGGGACGCCGCGGCCGUAGGGGAAGGCGCGCUUCUUCUCGGCGUCGGUGAGGACUUUGACGAGGCCACACGCGUGGUUGACCAACAUCUCCGUGUUGGGGAACCAGCCGCACACCUCCGUAAAGUGCGCGCGCCACCCCUCGUCAUCGUUGGCGAGCUCCAUCAUCGCUCUCUGCCAGCCGAGGCUUUUCUCCAUGGAGGCGGCUGCAGCGGUCGCCGAUGAGGGUUUUCUCGAUCUACUGUGGGUGGGGAUAAGAGGGGAGUUCAAACCGGCACGCGAGGUAGGUGGGUGAACGUGUGGUGGUGAGUGGUAAGUUACUUAUUUAAUGGCAGUUAGGACGUGGGGAGGGGAAAUGUACAAUAUUCUUUCUACCAUGUAUAACUAAUUUAUUUAGGUCGAAUUUUGUUGUUUAUUUAGAGAUGUAAAAGGUUGACACUCCCACUAAACAAAGUGUCGAUCGAGUUACUACAAUAUAUAGGAACCAAACACUCGAUGUUAAAUGUCGAACUAAAUUUGAUGCCAUAAUGUGAAAAGGAUAUACUGUCCUGUUCACUCGAUUCAUCCAUAAAAAAUUGAAGCAAGUGGUCUACUCUUCUUCCUUCUCCACUUUUCUGCACAUCAUAAAAGACAAGUUAAUGAAUGACAAAUUUUUCAAUAAUCCACAAUGCAUACAAACACUUACUUCUGAUUUAGUUUGCAUUUCUUGCUAUGUUUAGUGUGUCCUAGCAAUUUGCAAGCGCCGCGCCGGGUUUUCAACUCAUCAAAAGAGAGUGGUCUACCAUUUUUCGAGACAGGGCGGUUCUCAUCUACCUUUGUUGCACAUUUGCUUGACACUUUCAUAGGAUCUUUAACUGCGACCAUGUUGCCUUCACCAUCGUCUACAUAUUCAACUGCACACUUACUGAAGUCAUUUGUAUUCUUGCCCAAAUUUUCCUGUAGCAGAUCAUACUCAUGACUCUUAGCUAUCACAGCCUUCAAACUAUCCUGUAACUGAUCCCACAAAGUUGGGUGUUUGCAUGUCACAUGCAUAGCUUCUGACGCUAACACACUGACCAGGCUAUAUUUCAUUCUUUCCCCUGCCCCAGUCCAACCAAAUCCCAACAGAUCGCUUGUGCGCCUCGCAGGCAGUCCCAACCUUGCUUGUUUCAUGAACCGAAUAAGAACUAAACACAUUGGUAUUUCAGAUAUGUUCAAGUACUUCAGUACGUGGAAUAUGUGCUUGCAAGGUAGACCCUUUCAAAUCAUUCUUCUGCAGCUGCACCGUAUAGGCUCUGCGGAAUUUACUGGUGUAUACUCCACCCAAAAACGGCUCUUCCAGUUAUUCUUCCAGGCCACGAUGUACUGCUGUGAUCUGUCGCCCAGCUUAAUUUCUACAAUCUCCAUGCCGUCAAUUUUUCUAAGAUCAUCUUACAACAUAUAGAAGUUUGCUGGAGUGAAGACGUGAGAAGCAGCUAUCUCAAGUUCCCUCGAGCUAGUAACUAGCACCGGUAAACUCUGUGAGGCCGUGCAGUCAUCUCGCGCCUCGUUUUCAUGGAUACGUACAACGGUGUUCUCAUAAUGCAAAAUCAUAUCUACCAGGGUCAUUUCACCGUCUAGGUGGAGGUGAAGGCAUGAGUUCAGGCUUUCACUCUAUUGGUUGCUUUUCAUGCCAAGCCAAAACCCCUCUGUCAGAUAAGCCGCGGCCCACAGUCUCCUCUUCUUAUACAUCCAUCUCAACCAUGUUAUAGUUUUUUCCGACUGCCAUCUUUUGGUAAACGCGUGGCAUCUCUCUUCAAACGUGGUCGUGGACGUGUUGUAGUACAGAAGAGUUCGGAACUCCUUCAAGGACUUGUGACUGAGGUGAAUCUUCAUAUUUUUUUCUAUAUGCCACGUGCAUAUACGGUGCCACACAUCUGCCAAGACUUCGUGAAUUGCCUUGAUCAUCGCAGCGGCGGCAUCUGUGAUUACACUCUUCGGCAUCUUUUGACACAUGGACCUCAAAAAAGUCUGCAGCAGCCACACGUAUGUCUGUUCGGUCUCGUCCGAAACUAUGGCACAACAAAAAACAGUGGUCUUCUUAUGAUUGUUAAGACCAACAAAAGGUAUGAAUGGCAUACCAUAGCGGCUCAUCUUGUAUGUGCUGUCAAAUACAAGAACGUCGCCGAAGUCCUCAUAGUCAUGACGAGACUGGGAGUCACACCAGAACAUCCUAUUCAAGUGUCCUUCCUUAUCUAGCUUGUACUCGAAAAAGAAGCUAGGAUCCCUCUAUUUCCUACUGGCCAUGAUGCAUAUGGCUGUGGCAGCAUCACCUUUUGAAAGCAGCUUCCACUUCUCCUUGGCGUAAAGGUUGUAUAUUUCACGCCUGGUAAAACCAACACCGCCAUACCAUACAUGUUUGCUGAUAAAGGAAUCCAUCAUGCCAUGAGUUCUAAUCCCUACAGCUCCCAUGGACAUUAUCUCAUGCUUCUGGUACACUUUGAUUUUUCCGUAGGACCAAAGAAAAGGUACCUCAUCCGGUCCUGCCAACAUAUGGCUAUGCUUGUCCUCAAAACUUGCAACAUACCAAACCCCACGCUUUUGGUCAAGCUUGGCAGUCAUGUGUGCUUCGCAAAAGCAGCGUGUCUCGGCUCUGAGCCUACGGCUGUGUCCUUCCUCGGUUAGCAACUUUCUGUCACGUUUCCCUUGUCUGGAACAAGCAAACCGCCUAUAACGCAUAUGAUGUGACUCGGUUUUGCUAUACCUGACCUUAUUCUUUCUAAUGCUGAAACCAUUAACUCUAGCAUAGCUCUUGUAGAAAUCAUACGCAGCAUCGUGAGACAUAAAAGUCAUAUCCAUUAUCUGCAUGAACAUAUCCCUCUUAUCAUCUGCACUGGUAGUAUCUUGGACAUUCUUUGCCCCAUCAUCUUCUGUCACCUACACAAUCAAAACAUAGCCAUGAAAACAGUUUUCUAUGGUAUAACAUUACUUUCAUAGAACAUUGAUUACACAAAUACCUCACUCAUGAUGACCACCGACUGCGAAUCCCCAGAAUCAGGUGUAUCUAAUGAUUCGUCAUUAAGGCCUGUCUCCGCGUCGGAUUCACCGUAAUAGUCGUACGCAUUAUGACAUUCAGAAAUGAACUGAAAAAUACAACACAAAUACAUAAUUACUUAUCAUAUAAUAUUCUAGAAUGAAUUCAAUUUGCAUGCCAAUAAAGAUUCUCACUUACAUACCCGACUAAUGUAAUCUUCAUUUGAGAGCUCCGAAUUGUUUUCCUGACCAGCAUCAUGCUCAUCCAUCUACAAAUUUUCAAUACAAAAAUAUAAUGUUGUCGGAUGGCACCAAAAAAUUACAACAUGAUAAUGCCACUCACAUUAAAAUCUUCCCAUUCGCUCCCAUUCUCUGACUGAUCUCCAAGAUCUGAAUUUUCAUCAUCUGACCAACCUUCUAUCCAGUCUUUCAUCAGUUCUCCAAAUUCCAUGUCUACCAUUAUAUCAGUUAACUCCUCGUCCUCCAUUUCCUACAACAAAUAAUAUGUAUCAACACAUGUGAAAACAUUAUCAAUGAAGAAAUAUCAACACAUAGCACAUGAUCACGGAUGUUAUGUAAAUAACCCCAACCGAGGCCGUUCAGAUGUGCCAAACCAAGUCAGGAAGAUGGCCACGACACCCGUCGUGAUCACUUUCAAUCGCGAGGAGCAGCACUACAAAACCUAGCUAGAUCUGUGAUUACCUCUGCCGUCGGAUACCUAGUUUAGCCGCCACAUCAAAUGACGAUAGUCCUGGUGGACACAGCCAACGGCAACCGACGCUACGUGAACCCUACACUGAACAAACCCAGAUCACGAGGAGCAGCACUAGCAGAACAAGAUCCAUGAUCACAUGCUCCACCGGGUAGGUAGGUUACCCGCCCCGCUAGGUUAACCACUACCUCUGGCGGCGGCAGUUUGUUCGAUGUUGCCAUGAGCGAGACUAGAGGGGUGCGGGGGGAUGCGGGAUGCGGUACCUGUGAGCGCUGGAUAUUCAUGAUGUUGUCGCGCCCGCUGUCCGACGAGAUCGCCGGAGACGAGAUAGCCGCGCGCCGCUGGAGAUCUACUGCGUGAAUUAUGGAGCUGCGAGAAUGCUCGCGAGAUUGAUGGAGCUGCGUGAAUGGUUGGAUCCGGCAGGUCCUACGUGGUCGUGGGGUUGUGUGAUGUUUUUUUCGGACCAGGGUACUAUACGUAUACGGUAUGGGUUGUACAGGGCUAGAUAGGGCUUGGCAGGGCUAGACAGGGCUUGGUUCUGGGCUACGGCAGGCCAGGAAAAAACCAAACUCGCAGGGAUAUAAAUGCCCCUCGGAAAUUAGGUUAGGGGGAGCACUGGAGCAGGGCUCUUGCAACACAAGCACAUAGCUAUGUGCUCUGUCCAUUUGCAUCCUUUUAUUCUGUUGAAUAUGCUUGUGUUAAAGUUAUCCUCUUAUUCAUUGACAAUCGAGCAAAAACAAAUUGGACAGAGCAUGUUGUUGUGUCGACACUGCCGGAAGACGAUCAGCAGGACGGCAAAAGGAAGAUGGAAGAACCAAAAAACUGCUGAUGUGCAUGCCUCCGGUGAUCAGGAUUAAGUGUUUUCCAGAAAUGUCUGUGAGAUUUGUUUCUCUCAGCAAGACCAAACAAUCAGGAACUCAUGUCAAGUAGCUUGGAAUAGUUGAUGUUGUGUUUACUUUUCUUUAGAAUUUUCUCCUCAAGUGAAGAUAGGAUAGUUGAUUCAGAUGGUGGGGCUUUUCUAUUGUAUAAAUGAAUUUGGUGUACACUGAAUGAAAGCUCCUGGUAUUUGAAGAUCCUUCUGAAAUUUGCAUCAUAUAUUUGUUGUUAUCCACUCUCCUGGUAACAAUGGUGUUCAAUGUACAGUGCGCUGGUACUAUAUAUCCACCCAUUGCGAUGAAAUUUGGAGUAUCCAUCCGUUUUUGUUCCACCUAUUCAAGGAGAUGAAAACACCAAAAUUUUCCAUGCCUGUGCGUCAGUACGCCGUCGUGGAAAUCAGAUCGCGUGUCUAGUUUGUGAUGGAGUAGAACACCGGGCACACAAUGACAAAGCCUCCAUUCUGCGUGUCUUUUACCUGGACCUGCUGGGGACGGCUGCUCCAGUGGAGGUUAGCCUUGACUUGCAUCGCUUGAUGGAGGGGGGCCCGGUUGGAUUCCUUCCAAUCAUCAAUCCUGGAUCUGCCAUUCUCUCCUGAGGAUAUCAAGGUCGCGGUUUUUGGGAUGCACUCUGGUCCUGCUACCGGCCCGGUUAGCUUUGGCCCUGCUUUCUUCGAACACGCCUGGGCUCUCCUUGCCACUGACCUCCAGGACUUGGCCAGAGACUUCUUUCACCACAACUCUGAGCUCUCGGGCAUCAACAGGGCCUACAUCGCUCUCAUUCCCAAAGUGGAUGCCCCCACGUCGCCUUCAAACUUCCGGCCCAUCUCGCUCCAGAACUGCCCCCCCAAAAAUGUUGUCUCAUAUAAUGAUGACUCGCCUACAACCUAUGAUUCCUUUCCUUGUGCACCCUGAGCAGACUAGCCUUUUGCAUGGAGGGUUCAUCUCGGAGAACUUUGUCUUGGCGGUACAGUUGGUUCAGUGCUGUCACAAGAGGAAAUAGCCGGCCUUUGUGCUCAACUUGGAUUUCAAGAAAGCUUUUGACUCUAUCUCCGGAAUUGCUAUGGACCGUGUACUAGAGGCGAAAGGCUUCUCAAGCAGGUGGCGUACGUGGGUACGCGACCUAAACACCUCCAGCCGCUCUGCUGUUGUGCUCAAUGGGGUCCCUGGAAAAUGGUUUGAGUGCAAAAAGGGAUGUGCCAAGGGGACCCCAUGUCCUCGUACCUCUUCACUCUGGUUGCCGACAUUCUGUAAUGCCUUGUUGCGGCGAUCGGAGCGGAGGGGGGUGAUAACACACAAGUGCAGGGGAUCGCAACAGUUUUCGAUAAGUAAGAGUGUCGAACCCAACGAGGAGCUAAAGGUAGAAUAAAUAUUCCCUCAAGUUCUAUCGACCACCGAUACAACUCUACGCACGCUUGACGUUCGCUUUACCUAGAACAACUAUGAAACUAGAAGUACUUUGUAGGAGUGAUAGGAAAGGUUUGCAAGAUAAUAAAGAACAUGUAAAUAAAAAGUAGGGGCUGUUUAGAUAAAGAUGCAAUAAAGUAAAUGUAGCGAGUAUGGAAAAGUGGUCGUAGGAGUUGUGAAUUUGUCCCUAAGCAAUUGACUAUGUUAAUAAACCGGUAAUCAUUAUUGCAAUUUUAUUUGAGGGAGAGGCAUAAGCUAACAUACUUUCUCUACUUGGAUCAUAUGCACUUAUGAUUGGAACUCUAGCAAGCAUCCGCAACUACUAAAGAUUCAUUAAGGUAAAACCCAACCAUAGCAUUAAAGCAUCAAGUCCCAUUUAUCACAUACGCAACAAUCCCCUUACUCGGGUUUGUGUUUCAGUCACUCACGCAACCCACUAUAAGCGAAUCAUGAACACAUUGCAACACCCUACAGCGGGAAUCCCUCACGCUUGCGCGACACGGAGGGCACCAUAGGACAGCACCAAUAAUAAAACAUGCAACUCAAACCAAUCAUAGCAAUUCAUCAAUCACCGAUAGGACAAUGGAAAUCUACUCAGACAUCAUAGGAUGGCAACACAUUGUUGGAUAAUAAUAUGAAGCAUAAAGUUUCAUGUUAAAGUAGAGGGUACAGCGGGUUGCGGGAGAGUGGACCGCUGGAUAUAGAAGAGGGAAGGUGAUGGAGAUGUUGGUGAAGAUGAUGGAGGUGUUGGUGAAGAUCGCGGUGAUGAUGAUGGCCCCCGGCAGCGCUCCGGCGCCACCGGAAGCAAGGGGGAGAGAGGCCCCCUUCUUCUUCUUCUUCUUCUUACUUGACCUCCUCCCUAGAUGGGAGAAGGGUUUCCCCUCUAGUCCUUGACUCCCAUGGCUUGGGAGGGGCGAGAGCCCCUCCGAGAUUGGAUCUAUCUCUCUGUUUCUGCGUUCUGUGUUUCUGCCCCUUCACUGUUUCCUUUAUAUCUGGAGAUCCGUAACUCCAAUUGGGGUGAAUCUUUCGCCCAGAUUUUUCUCAUAAAAUUAGCUUUCUUGUGGCAAAAGAAGAGCGUCAACCACCUUACGGGUGGCCCACGAGAGUCCAGGGCGCGCCCAGGGGGAUGGCGCGCCCCCUAUCUCGUGGCCACCUCGGACACCGUUUCGCGUUGAUUCUUCCUCCGAAAAAUCCCAAAUAUUCCAAAAUAAUUCUCCGUCCGUUUUUAUCCCGUUUGGACUCCGUUUGAUAUUGGUUUUCUGCGAAACAUAAAACAUGCAACAAACAGGAACUGGCACUGGGCACUUGAUCAAUAUGUUAGUCCCAAAAAUAGUAUAAAAAGUUGCCAAAAAUAUGUGAAAGUUGAAGAAUAUUGGCAUGGGACAAUCAAAAAUUAUAGAUACGACGGAGACGUAUCAGGGGGGCCCCAGCACCCUCUUGAUUCGUCUCUCCCGUGUCUGGUUCUCCAGUACACCGACGACACUCUGAUUUUUCUCAAAGCGGAGCCAGCCCAAAUUGCUAAGUUGAAGAGUGUGCUGGAUAUCUUUGAUGCUAACACUGGGCUCAGCCUUCACUACGACAAAUGCACCUUUGUCCCAAUCAAUGUUGAGGCAGAGGCGGCGCGGCACCUUGCUGCUGUGUUUGGGUGUCCGGUGGCAAGCUUCCCACAGCAAUACCUGGGACUGCCCCUCUCCGCAGCAAAAAUCAAGCUUGCCGACUUCCACCCGCUCAUUGCCAGGGUUGACAGGUGGCUGGCGGGUUGGUGCGGGCUCCUGCUCUCGUCUGCUGGAAAGUGGACCUUGGUGGAUGUCGUUCUCACGUCCUUGCCCACUUAUGCCAUGGGGUCCCUCCAGCUCGCUGGGAGAACACACGCCAGUUUUGAGAGGAAGUGUCGAGCUUUGUUUUGGGCAGAUGACACCUCUGUCAAUGGGGCUUAGUGCAAAAUUCCCUGGACUAAGGUCUGUAAACUGCGCAAUAGGGGCAGCUUGGGGGUUCGGGACAUGAGAUUGCAUAAUUCCUGUCUGCUAAUGUAGCUAUUGGCUAGGAUCCAUGCCCCCUCAUUCGCUAGCUGGCAGACAUGGUUUUCCUCACGGUACGGUUGGAGAGGAAAUUGUGAUAUGGGUAACUCCACUUCUCUUCCGACACAAGCUUCUUUGCCAAGCCUUCCCCAUCAACCGGAAAUCCAUUAAGAAAGGCAAGGGGCACAACGGCAAGGUCUAUCUUCGAUUUAUUUUUUUGGCUUUAUUCUUUAUUUAUUUCAUUUUGAUUUUUCCCUCUUCCUCUAUCCCUAUCCUCUAGGUACAGCAUUUGUAUCUGUUUGGAUCUUGGUCCAUGAUGGCCUUUGUAUUGAUUUUGACGAUUGGAUCUCUCUAUGAAUGGAAAAGGGGUGCUUCGGAUCGGGAGUAACCACUUUUACAGCCAAGACCCAUUCUUAAGUACAAGCCAGUGGUGGUGUCCGGUCGAAGGCCCAAAGAUUGUGAAGUGGGCUGGUUACGACUCAACUCCGUAUAAACCUAUGGAAAUCAUAGUAGCAAAUGACGCUAAGAUGUAUUGUGAGCACAAAUGUCGGACGCCUUGAUACCCCCACUUGGAAAUCUCUCCUGGCACUCCUGCCGCUUUUCUGGGCACAAACCGCGAGCUUCAUUGGCCAUGGUGCAACCACGUCCUUCUGGCGGGAUCUAUGGUUGGGCAGUUCAAUGUUUGAGCUCAGGUUUCCGGCUCUCUUCUCGCACACGAAGCGCCCCAAUGCUUGUGUUGCUGACUCCCUGCGGGGGCUGGAUGCCCAUCUCCAACCUCAUCUCUCUGCGAUCGCCUGCUCUGAACUUGCUAGUUUGACGGACGAGGUCCAUGGUGUGAUCUUAUGGCCUGGCGUGUCGGACGAGUGCGGGAUGCACUCUUCCGGAAGGGCGUUCACUGCUCGGGGGGCAUACCAGGCUACCAUGGCAGUACAUGAGUUGUACACCUUUGCGUCGAUGAUAUGGCGUAGCUUUGCUCCCGAAAAGUGCAAAUUCUUCCUCUGGCUGUGCCACCGCUGGCGUCUCCCGUGUGCUGCCCUGCUCCAUCAAAGGCACAUCAUUAGCAGUUCUGCCUGUGCUUUUUGUGGAGAAGUGGAGACCAUUGAGCACUUGAUGUUCGGAUGCCGGCACGCUUGUGCCAUCUGGGCAGUAGUAGCUCCUGGCGCUGCGACUGCCCUCUCUGUCGAAUACCUGUGCGCUGCGCACGGCGCCGGAAUGUCGCCCCCCCUCCCCCGCACGCCUUAGGGUCACUACUUGUGUUGCGAUUCUCUGGAACAUUUGGAAGAGUAGGAACGCCAAGGUUUUCCGUGGGCUGGACCUCUCUCCUCCUGAUGUGGCCCGUGCCGUCGCGGCAGAUGUCUCCCUGUGGAGAUGGAGAUGCUCCCGCAUCAUCUGUAAAAUGAUCCUUGAGUCGUGGGUUCAGUGUUUCGCUACCUUGCUGUAGGGCCUCGGUUCCUUCCCCACGCUGCUUUUCUUCAGUCUUUCAGCCUUACUCCGCUGCUUUUUCGGUGCAGUUGUAACUUGCAUGGGGGGCCUCCCUCUCAACCCCUCUCUCCCUUGUAACUCUGGUUUGAUCACCCCGGAAGUGGUACAAUGCUUUUUCUCCUAGGCUCUCGUGACUCCUGGGCGACGAGCGGUUCCUAGGGUUUGAGCGCCCUCUAGGUCUUCGAUUUCGUCGUUGAUCCUUCCUUCUUUCCCCCCAAAUCCAGUCUGAUCUCCUGCUACUCCUGGUGCGUGUGUUUCCUGGAUCUGGUCUCUGCUCGGGUGAUUAAGGGGGCUUCCUUGUACCGCUUCCCACCCUUGGCAGGUGCUAGUUUUAGGUUUCAGCAUGCACCUCAUGGCAGGGGCUCGGGAUGCAGGGGGAUCAGAUGCCCUUGGGGCCGGAAAGUUUGCGCCGGGCGGCGGAGAUGGCGAUGCCUCCCAGGCACCUCCGAUCGUUGGGUGGUUGAUGGCAGUUCCAGGUCCAUCUCCCUUGCCGGGCGGUUCUUCCUCUGCAACCCGCGUGGCGGAUCAUGUUGAGGAGAUGAUGGAAAGGCUUUGUCUGACGGCUGUCGAGGCGAGACCCGUGGUACUAGAUGAUGAGGAUGAGGCAGAUUUGGUGGCUCCGGAUUGCGCCCUGGUGGGGAAUGUUCUCUUCCCUAACAUCCUCCACAUUCAGACGAUUUCUUCUGCUAUGAGGCAUGCUUGGGGAAAUCCUAGGGGUUUGCUGCUCCAUCCCUACGGGGACAAUGUUUUUGUUGCUGAAUUUGGUACCCAGGCAGAUAGAACCAGGGUGAUCGAAGGCUCGCCUUGGAUGGUGGGAAAACACGUUGUUCUUCUCAAGCUCUUUGAUCUGAACACCCAACCCCUUCGUGUCAAGUUUGAUCGUCUGGCUAUCUGGGCCCGUAUAAUGAACUUUCCACCAUGGUUGAUCAGGGCUAAACUUGGUCUGGAAUUUGCAAAGCCUAUUGGUAGUAUCAUCAUGGUUGACGCUGAUUCUGACGGGUGCUGCUGGGGUGGAUAUAUGCGUGUUCGGGUGGAGAUUUCUGUUGGCGACCCACUCGUGCGUUAUGUGACAGUGACCUCAGUCAAGCUUCAGUCGACGGACACUUAUUCGGUGAUGUAUGAGAGACUGCCCUUUCAUUGCUUCUCGUGUGGCCUCCUUGGCCAUUCUUCUGUCCUAUGCCCAUCUCCAGGCUUCAGGGAUAUGAAUGGGGACCUGCCAUAUGCGGCUAAGAAGAUCUGUGUCCUAGAUGAGACUCACAAAAGGUCUGGUGGAUCGAAGUCCUCGAUGGCUUCCUCGUCCACGGGUUCUGAAAACAAGGCCGGCGGUCCUCGGCCUGCUCCCUCUGGUUGUGCUAGAGCUGUUGCCUCUAUGGACUCGGCGGCGGCUGAGGGUGAGGUCUCAUCCCCUGUCAAAAGAGCUGGAAGGGGCCGUGGUCGAGCCCCCUCCUCCCGAGGGCGAGGGAGAGGAUGAAGUGCGGCUGCGAGCAGGGAGCUGUUCUCGGGCAGUCAGGACAAGGUGGGCAUGUCUGGGCAAAAGAGGAAGGUGGCAAAAACUCAGGCCCCUUUGGUGAUCUGUGACCAGGUUCCUUCCGAAGCAAAUGAUCUAGCUUUGGUCUUGGCGUCGGACUCUCAAGCUGCUAAUGUUGGUGUGGAGCAGCUAAGUGGUGAGGAUUCAAACAAGAAACAACGCACAUAAUAUUCUCGAUCGGCGGAUCCGGCGGCGGCUGCGGCGCAGCCCCGCCAGAUGCAAUGAAUAUCAUAUGCUGGAACUGUCGAGGCCUGGGGUCGGACUCGACAGUUGGCGAGCUUUGCUGGCUUGUGAAGCUCUAUCGACCCUCCCUCCUCUUUCUUUCUAAAACUAAGAUGAGGGAUUCGCGUGUGAAGAAUUUCAUGUGGUCAUUGGGUUUCUCUGGUUGCUAUGCUAUCAGCAGUGAGGGACUCAGUGGCGGUCUCGCUUUGUUUUGGACUCAUGCGGCGGAUGUGACAGUUAAGGCAGCCAAUAAGAGGUGCAUUGAUGUUUAGGUGAAACUUGAUGAGGGUUUGCCGUGGAGAGCGACGUUCGUCUAUGGCGAACCAAGGAGAGAGGAUAGGUCCCUCUUCUCGGAACUCCUUCGGCAUAUGCAUCACUCCUAGUCGGGUCCGUGGUUUUGCUGCGGCGAUUUUAAUGAGGUGCUUACACUACUAGGAAAAUGCUUAUAGGUAGACAUUUAGCGGUAGCAUUGGUUAUAUACCCCCACAAUACUACUACUUAGCAGUAGCGCCGGACAAAACCAGUGCUGCAAGCGCACGUUACCAGUAGCGCUUAUUUUCCAGGCCAGCGCUGUUGUUAGUGGGCCACGCACUCGGCCCACUAUUGCAGCUUUAGCUCUAGCGCUGGGCCUUCUCCCCCACGCUGCUGCUAAGCCCACCUCUACUUCCUCCCUCUGGCCCGCGUGCGCUCUCUCACUCACUCUCACACUCACACGCUCACACUCACGCGCCCCUCAAUCCCCCGCUCCGGCCGCCGCCCCCGUGUCCUACGUCGGCUUCCCUCCCCUGCGCAGGCCCUCCUUCCCCGCCUGCCGCCCUCCCCCGCGUCAGCCCUCCUCCCCCACUGGCCGCCCUCCCCCGCCGGCCAUCCUUCCCCGCCGGCCGCCCUCCCCCGCGCCGGCCCUCUUCCACCGAGUGGUACUCCUCCCUCCUUCCUCCUCCUCCUCCCUCCCUCCCUAGUUAUAAUUAUUAGAGAGUAGUUAUUUUGAAUUCUAUAUAGAUGAAAAAAUGUAGGUUCUUAGAAUAAUGUAGUAUGAACCCUAGUUAAUUUGUAUGAACCCUAGGUUUUUAAAUUAGCUAGGUUUUAAAACUAGGACAGAAAUUUAUCUAGGUUUUUAAAUUAGGACAAAAAUUUAUCUAGGUUUUUAAUUAGGUGUAGUUAAUAGAAUUUAGGUGUUUUAGGUGUAUUUAACAUAAUUCUAGGUGUUUUAGUUGUUUUAGGUGUAGUUAACAAAUUCUGGGUAUUUAUUUAGUUAAAGCAAUUGUUGUUAUUUUUUUAGUUAAAGCAAUUUUUCCUGUUAUAUGCAAAUUUGCAGUGGACAUGUCAUAUUUUGAACAUGUCACAUUUUGGACAUGUCAUAUUUUUCCGAGUGGCUUAUGUUUUUCCAUAUUUUUACGUUAUGGCAAAUUUCAAGCACUCGAUAUGUCCUGUUUUUAGCAAAGUUCAUGCCGAAUUUUUCUAAGUGCUUAUUAAUUUUGUUUCCAUAAUUAAGCAUUUAUUAUUGACAUCUAUGAUGCCUGGCCCGCAUCCUCGUCGUCGACUCAGCGGAGGAGGCUUGCUUGAUUAUAGGGGCCAUGUCUGGGACUGGGCUCCGCCUGGCUGGUGCUGGGAGGUGCUACCUUCCGGGGCGCGCAGCUUGGUGAGGAGGCAGCCCAUCGUCGACCGGACCUUAUUUGGUGGCGGUCGCGUGGGCCAGUGACCGUGGGGAGGCCUUCGUCCACUACAGAGGUGGUAUCUCACCGUGUCAGCAAGGAGGAUGAGCACGUCCGUCGCUACAUGGUUGCGUUGGAGGGCAGGUCCGACAGUACCUGGAUGGUUCUUCAGGGAUCUCACUGGAGCUAUGAUCCUCUGAUGGUUCCUUCUCUUUGGGUGUCCACUGCCCGCGCCGACACCCACCGUUCACUAGGGUUCUAGCUGUAUUAGUGAUGUUAUAUAUAUGAUACAAUUCGAGAUGUAUUAGUGAUAAUAUUCGACGAUGUACGGACGCAAGAGAUGAUUUAGUUUUCUUAUUGAAUGCAUGCUCAUUUGAAUACUAAUUCAUUUUAUGAUUUAGUUUUGCUUAUUGAAUGCAUGUCUGUUUCAACUAUAUGAACAUAGGAAAUGUCUGACGCCGAUAACGAAAGGGAAUUAGGUAUGUGCGAAUACUGCGAAGAUGAGCGCGGCCAGCGCGACGGGCCUCACCUAGUUGGUGAUAGGCGCUUCAGCAUCAAGCUGGAUGAGACGUUUGAAGUGCAUACAGUAAGUCACAACGACAAGUCUUUUUUCAUAAUUAAGCAUGCCUUCUUCUUUUGCUUCAACUUAUAAUUUAUUUAUUUUUACUAUUCUACUAGUGUAUUCCCUGCCAUGCAAGAAUAUAUGUCUUGGAUAAGAUUGGUUUCAGUACUAUGGAAAGUAUGGAGGUAAAAAGAGUUAACUUGAGGACCGAGCAUGGUUAUAGUUUUCUCGCAAAAUUAUACAAUACAGACACCUACACCCAUUUUGGAUGCAAACAAUGGAGAGCACUAUGCAAGGUUUAUGCAUUUGAUUCGGAUAUGCUUAUCACCUUUGAUAUUCGUCCGGAAGAUGAUAUUGAAGAUAAUAUUGACAUCUGGGUCGAUGUGUAGACGCCUCCAGUUCUACCUUUAUGUAAGUUUCUCAACCAUAUUUAUGUCUUGGAUAUUGUUUAUUCAAAAAUAGUUGACAACUAAUUUCUGUCGACAGCUUAUUUCCAUUCAAGCAAACAUGUCCGGCGCUUGGUAGACAUGACCGACUACUGUCCCGGGGCUGAACUAAACUGCGAGGAGACAAGUCAUUAUGUUUCAUGGCUUGAGGAUCUUCAUAUUGUCAAGACAAAUUAUUUUCCUAGACUUAGGAAUGUUAGUACUCAAAACAUGCGACCAAUAGUGUUCGUACUAGGAAAGAUGGUAAGAUUUUUACUAUUUGUCCUCAGUGCAUCUUUUGCAUACAUUAUUUUUUAAGCUAAACUUCAUUGCUAAGUAUGUUACUACGAUGUUCUUCAACAGGGACUCCCGAUGAUAGUUGUGCCUCAGUGGAUCAAAGCUAAAGGUCGCAUGUCCAUGGUUAGCAUACAGCCAAGACUUCCUACAUUGCACAUGAGUGCAUUCAGGAUUUCUAGAAGCGAGCAAGUCUUAAUAGUCAAAGACUGGAACAAAAUUGUGAAGGAUCGCAGAGAAGUACUAGGGGGCAGCAAUCAGAAGCGUAGCCCACAAUUAGGAGACAGGUUCAUCUGCAUGCUUCAAUAUGAUGAAUCAGGAGCGCUCCACAUGUUCUAUGCUAUUUUACCUAAGAGAGAGCAGUAGGAGUGAUUAGCUAGCUAGAAUGAAUUUCAAGAUUAUGAUGAUGUGCUACACUAUGUAUCUAUGAUGAUUAGACAAUGUUGGUGGUAAUGACUAGCUAUGAUGAUUAUUAGCUAGUAGUGUUGGUGGUAAUUUUCCCUUACUUGCAACUCCUAUGCUGAAUUAGAGGCUAUGUUGAUGCUACUACUAAUCAUUGUUGGUGAAGCAAAUGCAUCUGAAUUUCCAUCCAUGGAUACUGCAUUUGAAUAUUAUUAUUUUUAAUUUCUAAUCAAUUAGAUGUAGCGUGGGGUGGAGAAAGUGACCCUACUAGUACAUACGUUAGUAGUAGCGUGUGUGUGGAAAGAAGCACUACUAGUACUUAGUAUAUCUGCAACGUGGGAUAGAAAACGCGCUACUGCUAAUAUUUAGCUAUAGCGCCGUAGCAGUAGCAUCGGCACCCACGCUACUGGUAUGAAAAAAACCAUGGUACUGGUAAGGGUUUUCCUAGUAGUGCUACUAGUGAUGAACAUUGUGCGCCCAAAGACCGGCUAUACUCUCAGAUGGCUGUAUUCAGGUAUUGCAUGUUGGAUUGUGGUUUGUAUGACUUGGGGUUUUCGGGUCCUAAGUUCACUUGGUGUAAUAGACAGGAUCCCAAUAGUAAUGUCCGGUGUCUCUUGAAUAGAGCCAUGGCUAACAGUGACUUCUCCAACUUAUUUGGGCUUGCAAUGUGGAGAAUAUUAUUGCCACCACAUCUGAUCACUAUCCGGUUCUUGUUCGGCUUGGGGCAGAUCUUCAGGUGCACCGCUUGGUCCCUGUGCAGCAAGGUUUCAAGUUUGAAGCGAUGUGGCUACGGGCGACUGAUUACCGAGACACUCUCGAGCAGGCUUGGUCGGCGGGCAGAGAUGGCAUUUUGUCUUUGAGCUCGACCUGGACAAACCUCAAGGGGGUGGCUAGCUCUCUGCGUACUUGGAGCAAGGAGGCAUUCGGCUCUGUUCGUAAGAAAAUUGGGAAGAUGGAACGUCGCCUUGCUACCAUUAGGGCGUCACCGCCCUCCCCGUCUUCGCUUGCUGAGGAGAAACACAUUGAGUGUCAGUUAUGCGAGUUGUUUGAGCGAGAAGAUAUCAUGGAGAGACAGCGGUCUGAAGUGGAUUGGCUCAAGGCCGGUGACCGUAGCACGGACUUUUUCCAAGCUCGAGCGACAGCCAGACGGAGAACAAAUAAGAUUCAUUCGCUUUUGCGGGAUGAUGGCUCGGUCUACUCUACUCAAAGUCAGAUAAAAGGAUUGGUGCAGUCCUAUUAUGAGAAGCUCUUCACAUCCAAACCUCGCUCCUCUGCUGAUGAGGUUCUGUAGGCGGUCCCAAAUAAGGUUUCUGAUGAAACAAAUGCUGACUUGUGCAGGCCCUAUUCUAAUGAGGAAAUUAGGACAACUUUGUUUCAGAUGGGACCGACCAAGGCCCCUGGCCCGGAUGGAUUCCCGGAUCUUUUUUACCAAACACACUGGGAGUUCUUGGGCGAGGACAUUUGUCAUGCGGUUCGUGGUUUCUUGGAAGGAAUACCAAUUCCUGAAGGGUUCUGUGAUUCGGUUAUUGUUUUGAUUCCAAAGACUACCAAACCGAAACUGUUGAAGAACUUUCGGCCUAUCAGUUUGUGCAAUGUGCUCUACAAGAUUGCAUCCAAGGUCUUAGCCAACCGUCUGAAAUCUAUUCUGCCUGUGGUGGUUUUGGAGAGUCAGAGUGCCUUUGUUCCUGGCAGAUUGAUCACGGAUAACACCCUUAUUGCUUAUGAGUGCCUUCAUACCAUCCGAAAUCAACGCGUGAAGAAACCUUUCUUUGCCCUAAAGAUCGAUAUGAUGAAAGCCUAUGAUCGUGUGGAGUGGAGCUAUCUGCAUCAGUGCCUGACCAAACUUGGUUUUGCAAACUCUUGGAUUGAGACUGACAUGAGAUGUGUGACUAAUGUCCGUUAUGCCGUGCGUGUUAAUGGUGAGUUAACUGAUCCGGUGGUUCCUUCUUCUGGGAUUCGUCAAGGGGAUCCAAUAAGCCCGUACAUAUUCCUCUGAUGCUCUGAAGGUUUGUCUACUCUGCUAUUUCAAAAGGAGGCUCGUGACGAGCUACAUGGGAUUCGCAACGGCCGUCAUGGCCCAUCUAUCUCACACCUCCUGUUCGCGGACGAUAGCAUCUUCUUUGCGAAGAGUGAUUAUCAGAGUGUGGCAUCAUUGGAAUUGAAAGAUCGAGGAUGUCGUCUAGAAGGGGGGUGAAUAGGCGCUUUAAAAUAAUUACGGUUUAGGCUUGAACAAAUGCGGAAUAACCUAGUGGUUAAUUUGUCAAGCACAAAACCUACAACAACUAGGCUCACCUAUGUGCACCAACAACUUAUGCUAAGCAAGAUAAGCAACUAUGUGAUAGCAAGAUAUAGACAAAGAACAAUAUGGCUAUCACAAAGUAAAGUGCAUAAGUAAAGGGGCUCGGGUAAGAGAUAACCGAGGCACGCGGAGACGAUGAUGUAUCCCGAAGUUCACACCCUUGCGGAUGCUAAUCUCCGUUUGGAGCGGUGUGGAGGCACAAUGCUCCCCAAGAAGACACUAGGGCCACCGUAAUCUCCUCACGCCCUCGCACAAUGCAAGAUCUGUGAUUCCACUAAGGGACCCUUGAGGGCGGUCACCGAACCCGUACAAAUGGCGACCCUUGGGGGCGGUCACCGGUACCCGUCAAAUUGCUCGGGGCGAUCUCCACAACCUAGUUGGAGACCCCGACGCUUGCCCGGAGCUUUACACCACAAUGAUUGAGCUCCGAAGACCACCAACCGUCUAGGGCACCAAGGCACCAAAGAGGAACAAGCUCUAGAGUGCCCAAACACCCAAGAGUAAUAAGCUUCUCAAACUUCACUUCCACGUAUCACCGUGGAGAACUCGAACCGAUGCACCAAAUGAAAUGGCAAGGGCACACGGAGUGCCCAAGUCCUUCUCUCCCAAAUCCCACCAAAGCAACUAAUGCUAGGGAGGAAAAUGAGAGGAAGAACGAAAGAAGAACACGAAGAACUCCAAGAUCUAGAUCCAAGGGGUUCCCCUCACUUAGAGGAGAAAGUGAUUGGUGGAAACGUGGAUCUAGAUCUCCUCUCUCUUUUCCCUCAAGAACUAGAAAGAAUCCAUGGAGGGAUUGAGAGUUAGCAAGCUCGAAGAAGGUCAACAAUGAGGGAAGAACAUGUGCUCAAAGGAUAAGGUUCAUUGGGGAAGAAGACCCCCUUUUAUAGGACCUCCCGAAUCCAACCGUUAUGUGCUCAGGUCGUGCACAAGCGGUACUACCGCUUGGAGGAGCGGUACUACCACCUAGCACGGUCAAAACAGUCCAAUCGAGAGAGAAAACACGAGUUUUUGGUCCGGGGCGGUACUACCGCUUAGGAGCCACGGUAGUACUGCUCUGGAGCGGUACUACCGCUCAGGAACCGCGGUACUACCGCUCUGGAGUGGUAGUAAAAAAAUUCAUCCGCUCUAGUCGCGGUAGUACCGCUGCAGCCUUUACCAAAACAGCCACAACUUUUGCAAACGGACUCCGAAUUCAACGAAACCAAGUUUGUUGGAAAGCUAACGACAUGGGCUAACACAAUAUUGAUAGAAAUAUCAAGAAUAAGCAAAUGAGAAAAGUCCCAUAAGAAAAUGGUGAGAACCUUUCAUCGGAUAAGACCGGUAAAACCUCCAACACCGAAAACAUCAUAGAAGACGCAUGCGAACUCCAUUUUCGAUGAACUCAAGCUUGCCAUCAAGAUGACCAUAAGCUCUAAGACUCACAAAGAUAACCAAACAAGAACCAAGAAACAUGAUGCAAGGAUGCAAUGGUUUGAGCUCUCUACUAACGAUACGAUCAAGCUACCAACUUGAGAGCCCCCCUUGAUAGUAUGGCAAACGAUCCUAUAACUCGGUCUCCCAACUACCACCACAAGACCGGUAAAAUAGAAAACCUAUCAAGGGAAAACCUUUUCCUUGCACAUGGUCCACUUGAGCUAGAUGAAGACGAUCUUGACUCCCUCAAGUUGGACCACCUUUCUCGAUUGCGUUGGCUCGAUGAAGACUAGAUGAUUGCUCCCCCAUAGUUCACUAUGGGUGAGCCACUCUUCGCACAUCUUCACAAGUCCAUUGACACCACAAUGGAUGGCAAGAUUCAAGCACUUGAUCUCUUCGUGAUGCUCCACCUGAACUUGCACACGGCAAUCUUGAUGACGAUCACCACUUGAUGUCAUCCUUUCCAUGGGUUGUAUGAUAUCUUCCUCUUGACGCAAGCCCAUGGAUACGUACCUAACCCCACAUACAACUCUCACAUAGACCAUGGGUUAGUACAUAAAUUGCAAUGGACAAUGCUUACCAUACCAUGGGAUCACUUGAUCCCUCUCGGUACAUCUUCUACGCUUUGUGAGUUGAUUAGCUUGAUUCACUCUUGACUUAGUCUUGAUCAACCUUGAAUCUUUACAACUCUCUUCAUUUGGAUGAUGUCUUGAAGGUAAACAUGAAUGAUCACACAACCUUCUUCUUCAAGACAUGCUUGCAAUAAGCUCAACACUCAUAUGACCAAUCUUUGGAUAAUUCCUUAAUAGCACCUUGAUCAUCACAAACUCUCAUUGAAACCAACAAAUGGACUCCAAGAAAAGCCUAUGGGCAAACCCUUCAAAUAAAACUCAAGGCAACCAUUAGUACAUAGGGAUUGUCAUCAAUUACCAAAACCACACAUGGGGGCACCACAUGUCCUUUCAAUCUCCCCCGUUUUGGUAAUUGAUGACAAUCACUUUCAAGAGAGUUUAUACAAGGAAUUAUGCAUCACCAUUCAAUGCACCAACCAAUAAUGCAUGCUCAUGAGAUGCAAAUGCUAAGGAAACAAAAACCAAAGCUACUCCACAAAACUCUCUAAAACUUCUCCCCCAUUGGCAUUGAUUGCCAAAAUGGGCGAAAAUCUUAGAAGGCCAAUAUAAAUUGUGGUCCUCCAUAAAUUGUGUAUUUCUCAACAAGAGAGUGGAAUGUAAUACACAUAUCCAACUUCCAAUACUUGGAGGAAGACAAACUAUAUUGAUGCCCAAAGAUUGCAACAGAAAGAUAUGCCACAAAGACAUAACAAAGAUAGACACAAGCAAUCAGAAGAUACCAAUUGAAGCAAGCAAUCAACGGAUAUCAAUUGAACCAACUAGACCAAUGAUCCUACAUGCCACAAGAAUAAAGAUAUUAUGAAAAGCGCAAAGGAGUGUUCUAAAGAAACUAGAGAAGCUCCCCAUGAUUUGUGCACACAUAGGAAUUUUUGUAUUUGAAUACAAAGUGCACAAAAUAGGAUCAUAGCUCCCCCAAAAUCAAUAGAAACUCACAUCCAGUGCAAGUGAGCAUAUAUGAAACAAAGCCUAGCGCUUGCAACAAGCACAUGGUUGAGCAACAUGUAAAAGAGGCAACUUAAGAAUAGGCUCAACCAAAAUGAUGUGUGUGAGUCAUGGCGAAGCACUUGAGAAGACUAAGAUUAGGAUGAGAAUUAAGCGUCAACAUAGUCUUGAAAGAAUGAGGCACACGGUGCAAGGCCUAUCAUUCCCACACCCAAAUGGCAAAUGGGUUCACAAGCUUAUUAAUAAGCAAAAGAGAACCUAUGCUUGUGACAACCCGUGGUGAAGAUAAACGAGGGGAGGCUCAUCAAGACGAGGGAUACAAAUUAAGAUGGCAAAAACCUCGUAAAGAUAAGCAAGAGGAAAAUAAUCUUCACCACACAAGAGUGCAACAAGAUGCAACUAUAGAGGACAUGCACUCAAGGCAAAAGCUUUCAUGGAGCCACCAAAGAAAUAACAUAAGAAGACAAGGUGGACGUGAAAGAAAAGAUAUCAACUAGAGAUGUAAUUUCUCUCAAGUGUAUAAGGUUCUAUGUAGACGAAAUCAUGAUGAUAUAUAUAUCUACAAAGAAGGAUGUACACCCGAAAUAGUUACAACAUGAAGGAACAAGAUAUCCACAAGGAAGUCAUAAAUAUACCAAUAAGAUAUUUGCUUGAAAGCAUAGCACAUGGCUAGAUAUGGUCUUAUUGUAUAUAAAUGAAGUCCAAACACACAUCCAUCAGAGGCAUCACAACUAGCAACAAGAGAUCAUCGUUGGGAUGCUUUGAGAAAGGAAACACGUAUCACAAGAUGUGAAAUGAAUAUCAUGCCAAGAUGCAACCUACACAAGGUUGAAUGCAAGAGGAGAAAGCAUGAAUAGAUACUUGUUACCGAGAUAUCAUUGGAAGGAUGUAGUAGAUACCAAUUGAAGGUAGAUAGUAGUUCAGUGAUCAUCCUAGCUUGACUCCAAUAUGCACAUGGUGACAACACCUUCCUUAUGAGUGAGCCGAGCAUCCAAUGCAUCUCCAAAUGUUCCUAGAAGAACAACACAAACUAAACGGUACCCAAACUCAUCAGGACCAAAUAGUUAGAAACACCAAUACAUAGGACAAACUCCACAUAAAUAUGUGCAUAUAGAUAUGAAAAUGAAUUUCAUGCACAUCUCAUCCAAAUUGAGACUAGGUGGAGUUUCCCCUAUAUAUUGAGUCAAAGAAAGAAAGCAUGCCAAAUGAAAUACAUGAAGUAAACAUGCAUGCUCAAGACUUUCAAAACCCGAAACCAAAAACAAAGAAAUGCCAAGUGAAGAGGAUACCAAAUGGAGAAAUCAUCACUUGGAAGAUAUCAUUAAAGAUACAUCAAGGAAUGAGAUAUCCAUUGAUACACACUAAACUAAAGAUGUCAAACUCCCAAAGAGAGGAUGGUUCCAAACAAACCAGGCUCUCAACAAAGUUUCAUGAUGGCACAAAGUACCAAAAAGAAAUGGCUUGCCUUCCACCAAAACACACUUGAUAAGGAUCACAAGAAGAGUGUUCUAAAGAAAAUAGGAUAGCUCCCCCACGAGUUGUGCAUUAUAUAGGAUUUGCAUUUGAAUACAAAAUGCACAAGGUGGGAUCACCACUUUCACUAUAUCUAUAAAACACUAGACAAGAACAAGAAAUAAACAAGAUCCACAAGUGGUAGGGAAGACAAUGGGAGUUGACACAAACCUUGGCAAGAGAAAAAGGCAAAUAAACAAAAGCCAAUGUAAAGAUGAUCAAUUAAAUUCUACCACACAUAAGUGAUUACCAAUUGUCAAAAGACAAGAAGUAUUUGGAAAUAAUUCCCGGUGGUAGAUAGCAAGGAUAUCCGACAUCAUCUUCACUCCAAACAAAAAGCAAAUUGCAACUUGUAGAGCUAACAUGCCACCUAGGAACAAGAUAAUUUACAAUAUCAAUUCUAGGUGACAAUAUCUCAAAUGUACACAUUUUCUAGGCUUGUACUAUGCACUUACCAUAUUACUCCCCCAUAAUGUGAUACCAAUAAGAACUUAACAAGAGGCAAUAAGAGGAUCCAACACGAGAUAAUCAAUGGAAUUUUUAGAAUUUGAAUUUCUCAUGAGAGAUAUACCACCUAGCGACUAGAUAAUCUUGUAAUAUCAAUUCUAGAUGGUAUUCCUCAUGUACACACAUUUAUAGGAUUGUGAGGUGCACAAAGCACAUCACUCCCCCAAAAUGGGAUGUUCCAUUGAUCUCUCACACGAGCCAACUAGGAUACAAACAGGAAGCAAAAAGGCUCAACGCACGACGCACAUGUACAUGAUGUGCAAACCAACACACACAUACUUGAUUGCUCAAGAUAAGCAAGUUGGAAGCGCAACAUAUACAAACACAUGCAAGGAACAAAACCAAAACAUGCAAGGGGGCAAGUAACUUUCAAGGUAAACAAUUUAAGUACAAGUUACCGCAAGGAGGCACAUUGGAUAUAAGAUAGAAACUUGAUAAUCCAAUUGACUUGGCUUGAGACAAAGAGAAUGAUGAAGUCCCCUUAAUUCUUCAUAAUGUAGCCAAGUCUCCAAUGCCCUCCAACAACACCUAUUGAUCAAGUUUGAGGUUGUUGCUCCCUAACCAAGUUGGGUCCUAAGAGGUUAGUCACAAUAGGUUUGGCUACCCAAAUGGUUCUUUGCUUGACACCACUUUGAGUACCAACAAACUUGGCAAACACAUUGCCAACCUUAUCCUUACCAAGAGAAUAGAUAUUAUCAAUAAUAAUUGGGUUGGAUAAGUUACCACGAUUGCAUGGAGAAGCGACGUGACCUUUCUCACGACAUAAGUAGGAAUGUCUACUCUUCACUUUCCUCUCACUUGAUUUCUCAAUUUGAGAAGCAUUAACUUGAGUCUUCUUGGGAAGAGGCCUUUCUUCAACUUGAUGUUGAGCAUGAGAUUGAACUUGUGCCCUCUUCCCUUGUUGCUUGACACUAAUGGCCUUCUUCUUCAAUGGGCAAGAUCUAACAUGAUGCCCUUCGACUUUGCACUUGAAGCAAACAAUCUUGGCCGAAUUCUUGACUUGUUCUUGGCCCUUCUUCUUGUUUAACUUGGACUUCUUCUUCUUGUUGGAGUUGAAUCCAAGUCCACCUUUGUCAUUGGGGGAUUUUUGCACACUCAAGAUAUUGUUGAGUGUGGACUUCCCUUCAUGACACUUUUCCAAGUCUUUCUUCAAAGAAGUGACUUGGGCCUUGAGCUCUUUGAUUUCCUCUACAUGGUUAGUCUCAACACAAGUACUAGAGGAAGUAUAAGCUUCAUCGUUAGAGCAACAAGGCAAGGAAAGAAAUUCAUCACAGGAUGUACCAACAUUGUGAGUAGAUGAAUUACAAGGACUAGCACAUGGCAAUAUACUAUUUUGACUAGAAGUAGUGCUAGUAUCCACAUGAGGCUCACUAGAUGUUACCUUAGCAAUCAUGGCCUCAUGAGCUAUCUUUAGCACACUAUGGGAUACUAGAAGAUCAUCAUGAGAGCUUGAGAGCUUUUCAUGACUUUCUUCCAAUUUCCCAUAAUUGCUAGAUAGCACCUCAAGUUGAGCCUGUAGCUCAACAUUCUCCUUCAAAAUGGAUGCUUCACAAGUAAUAGAAUUAGUAGCACAAGAAUCAUCAUUAACAACAAGAGGAGAAGGCAACUUGGCAAGUUCUUUUAAAAAAGAAGCUUCAAGUUGGACAUGAGACUCGGUCAGUUUGAUGAGCUCACCCUUGAUGACCCUUGAGCCAUUUUUGAGGUGCUCAAAAUCCUCAAGGAGUCUAGCAUGAGAAACUUCAAGCUUAGCAUUUUUAGUUUUGAAAUCAUUGGCCACCUCAAGAGCUCUAUCAUGAGAUUCCCUCACUCUAGAUAAUUCUAGAGCAAAAGUCUCCUCAAGAGAUUCGGAGGUGGUUUGUUCAUGUUCAAGAGCUUGAGAUAGCUCUGCGAUCUCAUUUGCGUAAUCACGCCCAUGAGCUUCCAUUUUCUCAAUGGUGACCUCAUGCUCCUCGAGAUGAGAUUCCAACUCCUCAAUAUAUUUGUUGCCCUUAAUGGCAAUGGACAUAAUUUCCAUGAAGUUGGAACGAGCAAUUUUAUUUUUAUGAAGAGCUUUAAAAAUCAUUUCCCCCUUAGUUUUUAAGGAGGCAACAUUAUCAUUCUCUUCAUCAUUAUCCUCACCAUCAUUAGCAUCAACAUCAUCAUCAAGAGACAUGGGGUACAAAGUAGGAGAUACCUUUGACGCCUUAGCCAUAAGGCAAAAAGCAAUGGAUGAUGGUGUAGGAUCCCUUGAGGCACCAUUAAACAUCACAUUUUGUUCCAUGGAGUGUUGGAUUUCCUCUACAUUGUUAGCACAACAAUUCGAGGAAAUAGAUGCAUUUUUAUCAUGGCAACAAGACAUAGCAAGCAUAUCAUCAUGAGAUUUAGUCAAGCAAUUUCUACAUGAUAUGCAAGGACUAUCAACACAAGCAUGUGAAACAUUUGGAGUGCUCGAAGUGUUAAAGCCCAAAGAAGGAGCAUUGCAAUAAUAUAGUGAUGAAGGAUCAUCCACAAUAAGCAUACUAUCAUCAUUGCAAUGACCAACACUACUCACCAUAUCAUUACCUUGUGGCAAACCACAUGUAGGUGAAGUAGAAGAAGUUGAGAAGACUAUACAACCGGAGGUGGAGGGAGAACAAUCAUCCCCACAAAUAUUGGACACACCAUAUUUAUCUUGAAGCUUUGUCCACAACUCAUGAGCAUCCCGGAACGGCAUGAGUUGAAAAAUAACUACAUUACUCAAAGCAUCAAAAAGCACAUUAGAAGCUUGAGCAUUGAGAUAAGAGUUUUUCUCAUCCUCUAAAGAUAAUCUUUGGGGAUCCUUUGGAGGAGAAAAACCCAUAUCUACAAUUCGCUCUAAAUUUGGGUCCAUGACCCUAAAGAGAUUAAGCAUGCGAAUUACCCAAACAUCAAAAUUUGUGCCAUUGAAACUAAGAGUGUCAUAGAAUCCUAAUCCCCUAGUCGACAUCUAUACUCUCUAGGCGGUUAAGCCUAACAAAGAGAGACGAGGCUCUGAUACCAAUUGAAAUAUCGAGGAUGUCGCCUAGAGGGGGGGGUGAAUAGGCGCUUUAAAAUAAUUACGGUUUAGGCUUGAACAAAUGCGGAAUAAACCUAGCGGUUAAUUUGUCAAGCACAAAACCUACAACAACUAGGCUCACCUAUGUGCACUAACAACUUAUGCUAAGCAAGAUAAGCAACUAUGUGAUAGCAAGAUAUAGACAAAGAACAAUAUGGCUAUCAAAAAGUAAAGUGCAUAAGUAAAGGGGCUCGGGUAAGAGAUAAUUGAGGCACGCGGAGACGAUGAUGUAUCCCGAAGUUCACACCCUUGCGGAUGCUAAUCUCCGUUUGGAGCGGUGUGGAGGCACAAUGCUCCCCAAGAAGCCACUAGGGCCACCGUAAUCUCCUCACGCCCUCGCACAAUGCAAGAUGUCGUGAUUCCACUAAGGGACCCUUGAGGGCGGUCACCGAACCCGUACAAAUGGCGACCCUUGGGGGCGGUCACCGAACCCGUACACUUUGGCAACCCUUGGUGGCGGUCACCGGUACCCGUCAAAUUGCUCGGGGCGAUCUCCACAACCUAAUUGGAGACCCUGACGCUUGCCCGGAGCUUUACACCACAAUGAUUGAGCUCCGAACACCACCAACCGUCUAGGGCACCAAGGCACCAAAGAGGAACAAGCUCUAGGGUGCCCAAACACCCAAGAGUAAUAAGCUUCUCAAACUUCACUUCCACGUAUCACCGUGAAGAACUCAAACCGAUGCACCAAAUGCAAUGGCAAGGGCACACGGAGUGCCCAAGUCCUUCUCUCCCAAAUCCCACCAAAGCAACUAAUACUAGGGAGGAAAAUGAGAGGAAGAACGAAAGAAAAACACGAAGAACUCCAAGAUCUAGAUCCAAGGGGUUCCCCUCACUUAGAGGAGAAAGUGAUUGGUGGAAACGUGGAUCUAGAUCUCCUCUCUCUUUUCCCUCAAGAACUAGCAAGAAUCCAUGGAGGGAUUGAGAGUUAGCAAGCUCGAAGAAGGUCAACAAUGGGGGAAGAACAUGAGCUCAAAGGAUAAGGUUCAUUGGGGAAGAAGACCCCCUUUUAUAGGACCUCCCGAAUCCAACCGUUAUGUGCUCAGGUCGUGCACAAGCGGUACUACCGCUUGAAGGAGCGGUACUAGCGCCUAGCACGGUCAAAACAGCCCAAUCGAGAGAGAAAACACGAGUUUUUGGUCCGGGGCGGUACUACCGCUUAGGAGCCACGAUAGUACUGCUCUGGAGCGGUACUACCGCUCAAGAACCGCGGUACUACCGCUCUGGAGCGGUAGUAAAAAAAUUCAUCCGCUCUAGUCGCGGUAGUACCGCUGCAGCCUUUACCAAAACAGCCACAACUUUUGCAAAUGGACUCCGAAUUCAACGAAACCAAGUUUGUUGGAAAGCUAACGACAUGGGCUAACACAAUAUUUAUAGAAAUAUCAAGAAUAAGCAAAUAAGAAAAGUCCCAUAAGAAAAUGGUGAGAAUCCUUCAUCGGAUAAGACCGGUAAAACCUCCAACACCGAAAACAUCAUAGAAGACGCAUGCGAACUCCGUUUUCGAUGAACUCAAGCUUGUCAUCAAGAUGACCAUAAGCUCUAAGACUCACAAAGAUAACCAAACAAGAACCAAGAAACAUGAUGCAAGGAUGCAAUGGUUUGAGCUCUCUACUAACGAUACGAUCAAGCUACCAACUUGAGAGCCCCCCUUGAUAGUAUGGCAAACGAUCCUAUAACUCGGUCUCCCAACUACCACCACAAGACCGGUAAAAUAGAAAACCUAUCAAGGGAAAACCUUUGCCUUGCACAUGGUCCACUUGAGCUAGAUGAAGAUGAUCUUGACUCCCUCAAGUUGGACCACCUUUCUCGAUUGCGUUGGCUCGAUGAAGACUAGAUGAUUGCUCCCCCAUAGUUCAUUAUGGGUGAGCCACUCUUCGCACAUCUUCACAAGUCCAUUGACACCACAAUGGAUGGCAAGAUUCAAGCACUUGAUCUCUUCGUGAUGCUCCACCUGAACUUGCACACGGCAAUCUUGAUGACGAUCACCACUUGAUGUCAUCCUUUCCAUGGGUUGUAUGAUAUCUUCCUCUUGACGCAAGCCCAUGGAUACGUACCUAACCCCACAUACAACUCUCACAUAGACCAUGGGUUAGUACAUAAAGUGCAAUGGACAAUGCUUACCAUACCAUGGGAUCACUUGAUCCCUCUCGGUACAUCUUCUACGCUUUGUGAGUUGAUCAGCUUGAUUCACUCUUGACUUAGUCUUGAUCAACCUUGAAUCUUUGCAACUCUCUUCAUUUGGAUGAUAUCUUGAAGGUAAACAUGAAUGAUCACACAACCUUCUUCUUCAAGACAUGCUUGCAAUAAGCUCAACACUCAUAUGACCAAUCUUUGGAUAAUUCCUUAAUAGCACCUUGGUCAUCACAAACUCUCAUUGAAACCAACAAAUGGACUCCAAGAAAAGCCUAUGGGCAAACCCUUCAAAUAUAACUCAAGGCAACCAUUAGUCCAUAGAGAUUGUCAUCAAUUACCAAAACCACACAUGGGGGCACCACAUGUCCUUUCAGGAAUCUACCCUCAACUCCUAUUGUUCGGGUUCAGGCCAAGCUAUUAACAAAUACAAGUCGGCGCUGUUCUUUGGCAGACACUGCCCCACAAGUGUCAAGGACAGGAUUAAGGCACAGUUGGGCAUCACCAACGAAUCCUUUCAUGACUCAUAUUUGGGUAUGCCAACGGAGGUUGGUAACUCUCCUACUAGUACCUUCAAGUUUCUUAUUGAUAAGGCGUGGCAGAACAUAUUUGGUUGGUCUGAUUGGCCUGUGUCUAGAGCUGGCACUGAAACUUUACUCAAAUCAAAGACCCAAGCUAUCUCCGCCUUCAUUGCAAGCUGUUUCCGUUUGCCGGUGGCUAUCUGUGAGAAGUUCAGGCAAAUCAUGUCUGAUCAAUGGUGGGGUCACGAGGAUGGCAAGAAGAAAAUGCAUUGGCGCUCUUGGGAGUGGCUUUCUACGCCGAAAUCCCUCGGGGGCAUGGGUUUCAGGGAUAUGGCGCUCUUCAACCAAGCUAUGUUGGGCAAACAAGGUUGGAGGCUACUGACUGACCCUGGAUCUUUGUGUGCUCGGGUUUUAAAGGGAAGGUAUUUUCCGUUUGGUGAUUUCUGGAAUGCUUCUGCUCCUAGUUCUGCCUCGGCCACUUGGCGUGCUAUUCUUCAUGGGCGGGACCUACUCAAGAAGGGUGUGCAAUGGGGGAUAGGGGAUGGCAGGAGUACUCUCAGUGUCAAAGAUCACUGGAUUCCUUCCACUCCUCCGGCUAUGCUUCAAACUCUUUCACCCAUCCCAAGCUCGGCUACAGUCCAUUGUUUGCUUGAUGAGGAGAGCGGGGGCUGGAACGAGGAAUCCGUGCAUGCUUUCUUCCCCGAUGAAGUGGCUAAUGACAUUCUCAAUAUUCAUGUGAAUCUAGAGGGAGGUCCGGACUUCGUGCGCUGGCCAUUCACAAAAUAUGGUCAAUACUCCAUUCGCUCAGCAUACAAUAUGGCCAGGACGAACAUGUUUCUGUUGGCGCGAAGUGGAAAUGGUGAGGGUCAGCACUCAGGUUGGCCUUUGGAGGAUAAGCUGUGGAAGAAGAUUUGGAACAUCAAGGUUCCGAACAAAAUGAAAUCUUGCUGUGGAGAUUUGUUUACAAUUGCUUGCCAUCGGGAGAACAACUACAGCGACGCCAUGUCCCAACGAGGACGGAUUGUGUGUUCUGUGGCCGGGCUGAAGGCAUCGAGCACGCGUUGCUCUUCUGUGGCCAUGCUAGAUUAGUCUGGGAGGAGAUCAAGGAUGUUUUUGGUCUCAAGCUGGGUCGUUCCUCAUUCACUUCUCCUAGGCAGUGGUUUUUUGAGCUGAUUGGCCGGUGUUCUGACAGGGAUAUCUCCGUCAUCACGGUCACAUUUUGGCACAUGUGGGAGGCCCGCAAUGCUGCUCGCAACAAUCCGGAUCCCCCUCAUCCAAAGCAGACUGCUGCGAGGUCAAGAGCUUAUGUGGAUAUGAUCUUCCAGCACCUCUUCAAGCCGGCUGCUGGCUCUGGGCGUGAAUCUUCGGGGACUGGCUUUCGUUGGACUCCGCCACCGCAGGGUACGUUGUUGGUGUCGUCUGACGCUGUGGUUUCUUCCGACAGUGCUUCUUCUGUGGCGGGGGUGGUGGUCCAGGAUCAUUCUGGCCAGUGUGUGGCGGCUGCCUCCGAACCCUUGCCCGGUGUCUCGUCCCCGGAGUUGGCUGAGCCCUUGGCGCUCCGCCGGGCGGUGCUACUGGCGGGCGAGAAGAAUUAUGGCCGGGUGAUCUUUCAGUCCGAUUGCCUCUCGGUGGUUCAAAGGAUUCAUUCUCCGAUCCUGGACCGGUCCAUGGUGGGUUCGAUCAUCGCUGAUAUCAAGAUGGCCUGUCGAGCUUUGUCUCGGUCUCUUUUAUGCAUGUUCGUCGGCAUUGUAAUAUUUUAGCUCAUGUUCUAGCUAGAUCUAGUCUGAACUCUGUGAGUCUUUGUGUUUUUCAUUCUGCUCCGGAUUGCAUCCAGGAGUCUCUGUGUAAUUUGUUUGCUUGAUUAAUAAAGGCUAACGUUCUCUCAAAAAAAAAAACUCUGGUUUGAUCUGGUUAUAUGAAAAUUCAGGUGGGCAGUUUUUCUGCCUCCCGGUGACGUUUCAAAAAAAAAGGACUACUGCGUAAAGCUCAUGGAGAUGGCACAACUCCACCACGUCCGGGUAGUGCGCUGAUGGUUCCUAUCUUCUUGUUUCCUUAAUGCUAGUUAGCUGGGCAUAUCAGCGAAAUGGUGAAAUUUACUUUAAGUUAUCCUUUUAUUCUAUAGCUAUAUGCUUGUGUUGCUACCGGAAUAUUAGUGAGCAUAUAUUGUCAAACCUUGUGUGUUUGUCUCCUUGGCAAAAUUAAUUUUCUGUUCAUGCCAAAUGGUUGUAUACACUUGUUGUAACAUUAAACUGAUGCUUUCCCUUUAUUCUGUAAUUAUUAUGUUCAUUAGAAUGAUCAUUUUUAUUUAUCUGAAAGUAAUGACUAUAUGCAAUCUAAUUUGCGGCACUGAAGAAGUAUAGAUGUUCUCCUCAAUACAAAAUUAUAUGUUUCAAGGUAGAUACACUAUUUUCAGAUAUGGAUAUGCGUGUGAGCUUGUUGAAUCAACAUAUAGGCAUACGUGCUAGUAGGUUCACAGUGUACAUCAAAUUCAUUUAUAGAACAGAAAAACUUCACAAUAUGCAUCAACUAUCCUAUCUUGACUUGAGGAUAAAAACCUGAAGAAAUGUGAACAAGAACCAACUAACCCAAUCUACUUGACUUGAACAAAGCUCCACAAUCUCUCUUCCUUUUGCCGUCCUACUGAUCGUCUUCCGCCAGUGUUGACAGCAAUGUCUGUGCAUUUUCCUUUUGGUCCAUUGUCAAUGAAUGAAAGGAUAACUUCAACACAAGCAUAUAUAGCAGAAUAUAAGGAUGCAGAUAGGCAGAGCACAUAGCUAUGUGCUUGUGUUGCAGCCAGCAGAUGAGCAGACAUGCUUUGUACUUUUGCAAAGAUGCGGCCAGCAGGUCAAUGUCGAGUAACUAGGCCACAUCCAGCGGAACCGAGCUGAGGAGGUGGCCAUGGUCGAAACGCCGGCAGUUAGCGGCAUAGCGAGCGCCGGUGGCUGCCGGGGUGCCAAGGAGCCUGAUCAUGGACGACAGGGACAGUAGCAGGGCCAGAGCUUCGGUGCUUCCGCGGCAAAACGAGCUUCCGGCGGCAGCAACGAGCGAAAGUGGACGCCGGAGAAGGUUUUUUUUUUUUUUUGGAGCUUAUGGCGGCGACAAGCAAGCAUGAACGCCGGAAAAGAAAGGGGAUCCGGAUUUGAUAGAUGGGGCGGCUGGAUGUUUGCAAUGGGAAUGGGGUUAGUUUUUUGUUAUUACUGGAAUUAGAGGAUUAAUGGCAGGCUGCGUUGAGAUUUCUUUUGUCAAGUGUCCUAUGCUGAAGAGGGUCGCAUGGUUGGAGCGUACGACCCGGGUCAGAGAAUUGCUGGCAGCUUAGUAUUAUUAGAAAAAAAUAAGAAGCUUGCAAAACACCGCGAUCGAAGUACAGAGGUCAAAAUAAAUAGAAUAAUGAUCAAUGGAAAAAGAAAAAAAUCCUUUAGCUGGAUAAGGGGCGCUUAUUUUCCAGGCAACUCAAGAUCACAUUAAAUUCAAACCAAGAAACUUCCAGAUGAAAUUCGGAGUGACACCCUUGCAACGAAUCCAAAGAAACAAACUGUACAGUUCGUCAGUGGUGACUUUAGCUGCAUAUGUAGAAGUAUCUGGUGGCCACAAAAAAACUGAGAGGCACCUAUGUUAUGUUAACCAGAACAAUUCAGAAAAAUGAAGUGGCAAUAUGAGGGAAACUAGUAUACUCUUUCAUAAUCCAGAUAGCUUUACUGAACUGCAAAAACUAAACUUUUACUGCAUGGAUCACAUAAAAACAAUGAAGAGUUCCGUUUCACGAGAUCAGAAUAUCACUCCAUCAGAUUUUGAAAAGGCGCAUUUCGAACAAGAAAUAGGCCAAAAAAGAUAAGAGAUCAAUCACAUAUGGGACAGAAUAUUCCAAGAAAAAUCGUCAAGCAGUGGGCUUUUUUGGGAAUAGAAAUGACAGAUACAAAACGAAAUUGUGUAGAAACAAAUGAAAUUACCCAUAUGCAGCUAUCGCGGAUACAUUACCUGACUUUUCUCAUAAGCUGCUAGAUUAUGUCGGCAGAGCGAGAUCCACGAGCCGGCGCAAUAAUCGCCUUGCCAGGGCAAAUCCAGCUUCGGGCAGCACAGGAGGGGAGCUAAACAGAGGGGCGCACCGCACACGAAUCCACAUUAGGCUUUGUUCAGUUGAUGGGGCUCUAAUACCCUUGGGGAUUUCUGUCCACCCAGCAGUAGGGUGAUCCCCACUCCCUCACCCAUUCCCUGUAGGGAUUAAACCUCCAUAUUCUUCCCAAUCCCUCUCUCAAUUUUUGUACGGUUAACCCCUCCCUCAACUAUGUACCUAUUUCUUAUAGGAUUGCGCUUGUGUAGCUAACAUACACAGAGACUUCACUGAACAUAUGCUUGUACAAUAGAAGUACUACUAACUGAAAAUUAAAUUUACAAAUGCCUGCUCCUGAUCUCAAAGUAGUUCAUGUGAAGAGACCAUUUGUAAAUGUCUCUAAUUAAAAUCUAACAGCUGGCAUUCAAAAUGUAAGUUCUUCAUAUAGGUAAAACAGAUUAUCUCAAAAGUGAUAGCCAAGAACUCGAAGUUUUAUCAUUCUUCGUAUGAGCCAGAUAUUAAACUGAGCAGAUAACAAAGGCAACUAGUGAGCAACCGUAGAUUCAUAUAUACUUAUAUCAGACGGGACAACCAAUACACUUGUAGACAUACAUUUUAUACAACAAACUGCUUACCCCAAAAGAUCUCUGGAAACACAAAGGCAUGGCAACCUCAUCUAAGGUCACUAUUUAGCAAAAGUAACUAGAUAGAAGCUAACCCAGGAUGGGCACUAUACUACAAAUUUAGCAUGACUUAGUUGCCUUCUCCAACCCAACAUAAGACAUUUGCCUCCAAAGAUCAAUCGGAACGGAAGGAUAAGCAGUAGCUCAUACCAGAUUGGCGUACUA